GACUUAAGAUUAAUGAUGUAUUACGUCAAGUACAAAUUCAUGAAAUUGAUCAGUACUUUGUAAUAUAAAGCCCAGCCUUGAGGCCUCUAACAGUUCGCAAUUCAGUUUUGGAUGGUAGAAGUCCCAACCACAAACAUAAACAGAGACAUAAUAGAGGCUUGAUUUUAUAUGGUUUGAGAUUUGCUACCAAAAAAAUAUUUGGCUUUAAAUACAAAAUCUCUCUAGUUGAGAAUCAAUCUUAUGGUUACAAAAUGGAUGGUAAGUCAGUAAGACUUUCCACAAUGAAUCAAGCUCCCAGCACCCAGGAAGAGACCAAAAAUUGCAGCACUUCCAACUGUGGUUUGCCCAAUAUACCUUACUUUCAAAAGUCCAGGAACCUGUAUGUUCAAAAAGCAAAAGUUAGAACCAUCAGGGAUAUCAGUCACCCAACUAGCAGCACAGUGAAAAAGUUAUUAUGUGUCUAUCCUUAAAUCCUUAACCUGCACAGAGGACUUCAAUCAAAGAUGAACGACAAAGGUGAUAAAGAAUCAAUAGAGGGAUAGAUAGGAAAACGACGGAGAGCUGACUUAGUUUUGAGAGCCUAGUAGACCUGCAGCUUGAGUGCUGAAAUUUUUCUGUUCAUGACAAUUUCUAAGAGCCCUGAUUUCUUUUGNNNNNNNNNNNNNNNNNNNNNNNNNNNNNNNNNNNNNNNNNNNNNNNNNNNNNNNNNNNNNNNNNNNNNNNNNNNNNNNNNNNNNNNNNNNNNNNNNNNNAGAUUGCAAACAACUUGCUAGUCUACCUGAUCUUGGAAAUUUGAAGCACUUACGACAUCUGAAUCUUGAAGGAACAGGAAUCGAAAGGUUGCCUGAAUCUCUGGAAAGGUUAAUCAACUUGCGGUAUCUUAACAUCACAGGCACCCCUUUGAAAGAGAUGCCACCACAUAUAGGUCAACUGACAAAGCUCCAAACGUUGACUGACUUUCUCGUGGGAAGACAGAGUGAGACUAGCAUUAAAGAAUUGGGAAAGCUACGACAUCUACAGGGAGAUCUUCAUAUUCGGAACCUUCAAAAUGUGGUGGAUGCUCGGGAUGCUGGUGAGGCAAAUUUGAAAGGUAAAAAGCACCUUGAUAAGCUGAGGUUUACAUGGGAUGGUGACACUCAUGACCCGCAACACGUAACAAGCACGCUCGAGAAAUUAAAGCCACAUAUAAAUGUGCAGUAUCUUAAGAUUGAUGGUUAUGGAGGUGUAAGGUUUCCGGAGUGGGUAGGAGAGUCCUCUUUCUCCAAUAUAGUGUCCUUGAAGCUCAUUAGAUGUACAAACUGCACCUCCUUACCACCGCUCGGGCAAUUAGCUUCUUUAGAGCGUCUCUCCAUUGAAGGAUUCGAUAAAGUUGAGACUGUGGGCUCUGAGUUCUAUGGGAAUUGUACAGCUAUGAAGAAGCCAUUUGAAUCCCUCAAAACAUUAUCUUUUAAAAGCAUGCCAGAGUGGCGCGAGUGGAUUUCAGACGAAGGCAGCCAGGAAGCCUUCCCUCUUCUAGAGUCGCUUUCAAUCGAAGAAUGCCCGAACCUUGCAAAGGCCCUUCCUAGGUUUCCCAGGUUGCUCUCUCUCGAUGUUUCUGGAUGCCACUCCCUAGAGUCCCUACCCGAGGAAAUUGAUCAAAUGGGUUGUUCACCCUCUGAUUUAGGGCGAAUUGAAAUCAAGGGCUGUGCUUCUCUCAAAUGCGUCGCACUGGACUUGCUCCCCAAGUUAAAAUCUCUUUCUAUCUCUGACUGUCGAGAUCUCGAAUCAUUAUGUGCACAUGAAAGACCUCUCAAUGAUCUCACCUCUCUCCAUUCUUUGAAAAUCUGGGGGUGCCCUAAAUUAGUUAUCUGCUCCAGUCUUGACACAACUUCAUUUAGUAAACUGCAGCAACCUGAAGCUGUUACCUGAGAGAAUGCAUUCCCUCCUCCCAUCCCUUAACCUUUUGGUAAUAUAUAGUUGUUCAGAAGUUGAGUUGUGUCCAGAAGGGGAUUUUCCCUCCACAUUACAAUCACUUGAGAUUACGAAUUGCAACAAACUCAUUGCAGGCCGCAUGCUUCUGCCCUCAAGUCUUAAAUCUCUUAACAUCUCUUACCUAAAAUCUCUUCCAAGGCUUCAACACCUCACCUCCCUUACACAAUUGACAAUAAGUAACUGCCCUCUGAUUGAGUCAAUGCCAGAAGAAGGGUUGCCCUCCUCCCUUUAUUAUCUUCAAAUUCUGGGUUGUCCUAUGCUGAGUGAAAGUUGUGAAAGGGAGAAAGGUAAAGAUUGGCCCAAGAUUUCUCACAUUCCUCGCAUACAUAUUUAACCCAUAAUCAGCGGAGCAAAGAUGUAGCAGUUAAAAGGAGGUUUUCUUUCAAUCGUCCAACAUAUUGAGGUAUUGCUACUAAAUAGUUUAUUUUCUUUUCAGUAAUCCAAAGCAAUUUCAAUUAAAAUUUGGAUGAAUGAAAUACGGAUAUUGUCCAUUUUGUAUUGUUUUUAUUUGUUGGAUGUAGAAAUACAGAUAUUUUCUUCCUAUUGUCUCUCAUUCAUCUCCAUAAAUAAUAAUCAUCAUUCUAUUUCAAUAUAUCAAGCUGGAGGAUCAUCACAUGCUUCAGAUUUUGAACUGCCAGCACCACCCUUAAUUUGGACAGGAGGCUAUUGUCAUUGAAUUUUAGCAACGGAAUAUUUCUUUUGCUAAUUUAACAACAAAAUGUGUAUAUAUGAUUUUUUUUAAUAUUAACAAUGACAUUAGUGAUAGAAAAUCCAAGCUAAAAAGGAUUUAAAAAAUAUUAAAUUAUUUAAGUAAUUUGCAACGGAUUUUUCAUUGUUGACGUGCUUGGCAACAUCAAAUCUGCAACUGAUUCCAAAAAUAAAUCAAACCCUUAAUUAUAUAAAAUCCCCAUCCUUUCUCCUUUUCUCUUUUCCCGCAUCUUCAAAAAUUAAAAAAAAUAAAAAAUUCUCCAUCUCUUUCUCUAGUCUCUUCCCUUCUCCAAAAAUUCAAAAUUCAAAAACUUUUUUUUAUCUUUUAUUUAUUAUUUAACUUUGAUUAAAUUGUUUUUAUUCCAUAUAAAGCAGAAGUUAAAAAAUGAUUUUGGAGUACAUGUAAGUCAUAUCUUUUUUGGAGUUUACUGUUGUUCAGGACAAAUAAUUAGUCAUUUUCAUAUCAUCCGCCAUUUCCGCUCUUUAGUUAACUUGCAUACAUACAGAGAGAUCAUUUUGGUAAAAUUAUUAAGAAGCAAAGCAAAUUCCUUCAUCAGAUAUGGGAUUUCAAAGGAAAAAUAGGGAUUUAAAUCUUUACGGACCAUUCGUAAACCAUUGAUCUGAGAGAGGGAUAUUUGGGUUUCGUGCUUGUUUCAUAAAUAAAUAAAUAAAUAAAAUUUUCUCAUGAGGAGAUUUCAGAUAUAAUAAAUUAUGUUCGUUUGGAUCUACGAAGGAAAGAGGAAGAAGAAGUGGAAUGGCUAAUGGCUAAGUUCUUAAAUUGGAUGACCGGCUUAGCAAUUAAAGGGUUACUGGCUACUAAAAAAAAUGAUAUGAAUUAUUAACAACAAACAAUUAAAUAAAAAAGAAGCUGAUAACUGAAAAAUCAGCAACGAAAAUCCAAUGUGAAGCUAAAACCUAAGCUAUUAGAAUAGUCAAGUUAACUGUUUAAACUUACAAUUGUGUUAGUGGAAGUUGGAUAACUCGUUAAAAAAAUAUUAUAUUAAAAUAAAAAAUUUUAAAAAAUAUUGAUUAAAAUAUGAAGUGAAAAGAAAGAUUGGUAUAUAAUAAAAAUUAUUCCAAUCAAACCCACUUUUUCGACCAUGGGAUCUCUUGGCAAAUAAAGCAAGUAAAAUUAGUAAAAUGUGGGACCUAGCUCCAAUUUCCUAGCACUCAUAAUCGUAAUUUUAAAACUCAGCAUAGCGGGUUGACCUGGAACAUGGUUGAUUUGGGGCUGAAACCUAAUCGAAUUGAAAAAAAAAUCCGAUAUGACUCGAUUGAACCAGCGAGUUGAUCCGACCGCAAGCCCAUACUUUAUCAAUGAAAUAAAAGUGAUAAAAGAAAAGGAGAGAAGAAAUAAAGUGAAGUCUUCUUCUGCAUUAUUAGCACAUCACGUGAAAAGAAAGAUACAAACAAAGUUACUCCAUUUUCCUCUCACUUUUUCAACCGAUGGGGCUUCUUGGCAAAUAAAGCAAGGACAGACCGAGUUGAUGCGCUACCUAACUCCUUUUUCCUGGCCCGCGCAAUUCACGCAUACACAAACACAUCAAAAUUUACUUUAAUUUAGAAAAGAUUUUAAAAUUUUAUUUUUUAAUUUAAUAAUAACAAAGUUUUAUAUUAAAUUGGUUCACCUAAUUUAACCUGUUAUUUAUAAUUCAGGUUAUGAAAUUAUAAUACCUAAUUCCCAAAUAACCAAAUAUGAUUAAGUUUUUCCAAUCAAACCCCUCUUUUUUUAAGAUGUAAAGUCUAGCAAAAUAAAUCAAAGACAAACAGAGUAAAAUUUCAAAAAAAAAGAGAAAGAUGGAAUAUCCCACCAAUAUUUAACCCACUUAAAUUGAGUCCAAAUCAUAAGAGCAUCUACAAAGGAUUGUUAAAUGAAAAGUUAAAAGUUAAAAAAAUAUAUAUUAUUUUGACUCUUUCAUGUUUAUUUUAUACACUUCAAAAAAAUAUUAAAUAACAUAUCAAAAUAUCUUUUCUUUCUUAUAAAUACUAUUUCUACAUAUCUAUAAAAAAAACCAAUACUAAAAAAGUAGGGUCAUCAAAAAAUAAACCAAUUAAAUAUAGUCAUAUGAAAAAAAAAACAUCAAACUCAUUAAAAAAAAUAAAACACUUUUUUCUCUCACUCUAGUACAAUUAGCUUUUCAAAUAGUUUUUUUCAUUAAAAUAUAUAUAAUAAAAAAAUUAUAUUUAUAUUAUUCAAAAUACUAUUUUAUCAAUUUAGCUAUUCAAAACAUUGUUAUUAAACCCGACCCGGCCAGGUAGAUCGACCGAGUGACUAGACCUGUCCGGGCUUGUCAAAAAACUGGUCAGUGCAAUAACCUGGCAAAACUCAAUUGACCUGACGAGUUGACCCAUGACCCGGGGGAACUUGGACGAGCCCUUUUUUUGUUUUUUAAAUGUGGUUUUUCUCCUAUCCCUUUUUUUUAUAUAUUUUUUAGUUGGUUAUUAAUAUUUUUUAAAAUUUACUAUAUAAAUAUUAGAAAAGUAUUUUAUUUUUUCAAUGUAAAAUUUGAAAUCCUUUAGUAUAUAUACUAUAUUUUGCCAAGAAAAAAAUUUAUUUUUUCAAUGUGAGAUUUGAAACCUUUUGUAGAUAUAUUUUAUGUUCACAAGGAAAAAAUUAUGUUUUUUCAAAAUAAAAUUUGAAACCCUUCAGUAUAUAUACUCUAUAUUCCCAAGAAAAAAGUUAUUUUUUCAAAAUGAGAUUUGAAACCCUUUAAUAUAUAUAAUAUGUGUUUUCAGAUCAUUUAGAUGUGUUGGUAUCAAAAAUAAUUUUUUAAGAAUAAAAAAAUAUUAUGCAACCAACUUGGGUUAACCCAUUAAGCAUUAUUCUCGUAUCAUGGUUCAGAAUAACCUAAUAGAAAAUAAAUAAAACAAAUCAUGAAGUGUGAACCCCGAUUGAAAAUUAGGCAGAAAAGUAAUCUAAAUGUUUAUACAAUAGAUUUAACAGAAGUACCAAAUAAGCAUUAGAACAAACCAAAUACAAGCAAAAGAAAAUAUAUAAGUAAAUGUGAAUAACAUAAUGUUGGAAGUGAGUUACCUAAAAAUAAAAUUAUCAAUAUGUAACUAAAUAAAAUUCAAAUUCACCCCGGUAAAUUUUUUAUAUAGACAAAUGCCAGGUUCAGAAAUUUUUUCCCGAGAACAUGAAAUUUACUAUUUGGAUAAUAGAGGGAAUUUGGUAAAAUUUAAGAGUGGGCGCGCGCUCGGGUGAGAAGAAAAAUGGAGAAAAAAAGAAAGAUGAGAAACUACCAUUUACAUGUGAGAGAGAUAGAAUUGUAAUGAAAACAUAAAAUUUUAAGGGAAGAUCUUGAGGGAACAUUAACCAAGCUUAGUGAGCAUUAAUUGGAAGAAAUAAAAAUCAUGUGAAGGUGAGUAUAAAUGGAGAGAGGAAGUUCCACCAAGUUAAAGAAGAGGAGGAGUUGAAAGUUUCAUUUGGGAAGUGUUUAGAGUUUAAUUGAAUUUUAAUGGCUUAAAGUUCUUAAUUGAUUGAAUUCUUGAAAUUAAAAAGUUAGGGUUCUUCAAUAAAUUUGGGGGAAAUAAAAAUUAAUUGUAAUUUGUCAUGGAAAAUAGUGUGAAAAUUAGAGUAAAGUAAUUAAGUUAUUGUAAUUGAAGUAAAGUAUUUGAUAAUUAAAUAGAGUUAGUGGCCGGCCAAAUGAUGAGAGAUUUUAGGGGAUUUAAUUGUGAAUAAAUGUUGUGAAUUGAUGAAUAAUAUAGUAAGUAGAACUAUUUUUUAAAUAUCUCUUUACAACUUUUUAAAUUUCAUGGAACACUUGUGUUGAUUCUUGAGAUUGUGUGAAAUAUUACUACCAUAAAAAUAAAAAAAGAAUUGAUGUCUAGAUGAGGAAUAUCAUUGAAUUGUUGGUCCCUAUUAGAUUUUGGUAUGUAAUGGAGUCAUGAGACGUUAAAAAUUCUUGAGAGAUGUUAAAUUAGUGGCUAAAAUUCAUAGAAUGGUCUAUUUUUUAGAAAUAUAUUUUACUAUGAAAUUUAUUUGAUAAAAGAAAAGUAGGAAAUUUAUGGUAUAUUUCCUUGACAAUGAGUACCCGAUUAAACAAUAUGUAUAUUCAAUUAAAACUUAUAGUAUAUUUCCUUGACAGCGAAAUAAAAAAAAGUAGGAACCCUGUAAUAUCUAGGUAAUUUCUAUGCCCUUUUAAUGAGUCCUACAAACCGAGGCUGUAAUGAGCCCAUGACAGAAGGAGAUAGGAAAGUGUAAUUUCAGAAGACCAUCACACAAAUCAACGGCUGAAAUCCAAUCACUCAAGGGAUGGUGACACGUCGCAUGAGUAGAGACAGCUAGUCUUUAGUACGAAAAGAAAAAGAUAAAUUAUUUUUACUCUUGAUUUGUUUGAUUUAAAUAAUAUUGAAUUAAAAUUAUAAUUAAAAAUAUUUAGCUAAAAUUAUGAUUAGAAUUGAACUACCACAAAAGAUACUGGUGAAGGUGGAGAGGAUGUGAGAGGCGAUUGGGAUCCAAAACAUCAACUGUUGUGGUCAAUUCUGGAGGACUAAACACUUCAGGCUCCUUUCCCGUCCUUUUCCUCGCUGGAUCCUUGAUAUCUUCUUCAAGGUGUGCAGGCGCCUUGUUCGAGGAUUGAGCAUAGAAAGACUAAAAAUAGUUAAAUAAAUACGAAAAGACAUAAGGUGAAGUUUUUAUAAUAUUCAUAGCAAUAGCCAUCACCUCAUUUAUAAUUUACUAGUUACAUGCCCCACGCGAUGUCGCGAGUCAAUUAUUUUUUGUAUUUUAAAAAUAGUCAAGAUCUAAAAGUGUUAGGUUUUUUUAUAAAGUUAUACCCAAAAGUCUCAGUUUUGGUUGCUUCGCCUGAUCCAAGAGUAAUGUUUAUAAUAUUAAUAAUAACAUUAAACUUGGGUUAACCCUUAGCAUAAAAGUGUCUGGACUACAAUAUCAGAUCCAAUAACAUUGGACGUGGGUCUGGCUGCAAGGUCGUGUCAUAAAAGUGUGAUAAUUAAAUAGAUUAAUUAAAAAAAACCAACAGGAAGAAAAAAACUAAUAAAAAAAAAGAAAAAAAAUGAAUUAAUUGGGUUAACCCUUCAAACCAGGUUAACCCGUCAUACCUUGAAUUCGCAUCAUGAAAGUUUGAUAAUUAAAAAAAAAAAAUUAAUGGGUUAACCCAGAAUUAACUGGGCUAACUCGUCAAAUCAGGUUAACCUAUCAAACCCGGAAUCCGUGUAAUGAAAGUUUGAUAACUAAAUAGAAAAAAAUUAACAUUAAUAAUUUAAAUUAAAUGAAAAAAAUUAAUUAAAAAAAAAACAAAAAGCAUCAGCCUUUUCACUGUGGACUGCACUAUGCAGUCCACAGUCAAAGGCAUAAAAAAUAAAGGCAUCAGCCAAAAACUACUUAGAAAAAAAUUUAAUAUUAAUAAACUAAAUUAAUUAAAUAAAAUUAAUUAAAAGAAAAAUAAAAGAAAAAAACCUCUAAGAAGAAAAAAAACUAAAUAGAAAGAAAUUUAACAUUAACAAACUAAACGAAACGAAAAAAAAAUUAAAAAAAAAUUCAGGUUAACUCGUCAAACCAAGUUAACCCGUUAAACCCGGGAUCCGUGUCAUGAAUGUCUGGUAACUAAAUAAAAAAAAGUGAACAUUAACAAACUAAACUAAACAAAAAAAAAUUAAUUAAAAAGAAAAAAAAUCUGGGUUAACUCGUCAAACAUACAUACCGUUAAACCCAGGAUCUGUGUCAUGAAAGUCUGAUAACUAAAUAAAAAAAAUUAACAUUAACAAACUAAAUUAAACAAAAACAUUUAUGAAAAUAAUAAUAAUAAAAAUUAACGGUCAACCCGGAAUUAACUGGGUUCACCCGUGAAACCAGGUUAACCUGUGAAACUCGGGAUAUGUGUCAUGAAAGUCUAAUAACUAAAUAGAAAGAAAUUUAACAUUAACAAACUAAACUAAACGAAAAAAUUAAUUAAAAUAAUAAAAAGCAAAAAAAAAAUCUAUUUUAACUUGUCAAACCAAGUUAACCCGUUAAAUCCGAUAAACGUGUCAUGAAAGUCUGACAACUAAAUAAAACAAUUAAACAUUAAUAAACUAAAUUAAACAAAAAAAAUUGUUAAAAAAAACAAAGGAAGAGGCAAAAAAAAAAUCCCAAAAAACAUAAAAAAAACUAAGACAACUUAAAAAAAAACACCUAAGGAAUCAGUGUUUUACUGUGGAAAUGAAAAAAUUAAUUAAAAAAAAAUCUGAGUUAACCCAUUAAACCUGGAAUGCGUGUUAUAAAAGUUUGAGAUAGAAAAAAAUUUAACAUUAAUAAAAAAUUUUAUUUUUAAAUAUCCAUUAAAAAAAAUGAAGAAAAAGAAAAGCAAAAAGUAAAAAAAAACAUCUGAAUUAAUUGGGUUAACCCUCAAACCAAGUUAAGCCGUCAAAACAGGGAUUCGCGUCAUGAAAGUUUGAUAACUGCAUAAAAAAAAAAAUUAACGGAUUAACCCAUAAUUAAUUUGGUUAACCUAUGAAACCAGAAAAAAAAUCUGGGUUGACCCGUUAAACCGGGAAUGCGUGUUAUAAAAGUUUGAGAUACAAAAUUUUUUAACAUUAACAAAGUUUUUUUUUUUUUAAAUAUCCAUUAAACAAAAAAAGAAAAAAAAAAAAAACAAAAAAAAAAACGAAAAAAAAGACAGCUCAGUUAAAAAAAAAAAAUGAAAAAAAAGACUUAAAAAAAAAAAAAAAAAAGGAUCGGUGUUUUACUGUGGACUGCACUGUGCAGUCCACAGUAAAACACAGAUCUCUUUUAGCUAUAUAUAUAUAAUAUAAUAUAAUAAUUUAUCUAUUUAUCAAUGAGUUAAAUGACCCGCGCGAUGCCGCGGGUCAAUUAUUUUUUACAUUUCAAAAAAAAAGUUAAGAUCUAAAAGUGUUAAGUCUUUCUACAAAGUUAUACCCAAGAGUUUUAGGUUUGGUUGCAACGUCUAACCCAAUAGUAACAUCUAUAAUAUUAAUAAUAACAUUAAACUUGCAUGACUCAAAUUUAAGUGGGUUUGACUGUAAUACCAAACCCAAUAGCAUUGGACGUGAGUAUGGUUGCAAGGUCGUACGAUAAAAGUGUGAUAAUUAAAUAGAUUAAUUAAAUACAAAAAAACAAAGAAAAAAUAACUAAUAAAGAAAAAGAAAAAAAAUGAAUUAACCCUUCAAACCAGGUUAACCCGUCAAACCUUAGAUUCGCGUCGGAAAAGUUUGAUAACUAAACAGGAAAAAAAAAAAUUAAGGGGUUAACCCAGAAUUAAUCGGGCUAACUCGUCAAACCAGGUUAACCCGUCAAACCCGGAAUCCGUGUCAUGAAAGUUUGAUAACUAAAUAGAAAAAAAUUUAACAUUAACAAUUUAAAUUAAACAAAAAAAAUUAAUUAAAAAAAAAACAAAAGGCAUCAGCCUUUUUAUUGUGGACUGCACUGUGCAGUCCAUAGUCAAAAGCAUAAAAAACAACAAAAAAAAGAAAAAGAAAAACUAAAGGCACCAGCCGAGAACUACAUAGAAAAAAAUUUAGUAUUAAUUAAAUAAAAUUAAUUAAAAAGAAAAAAAACCUCUAUGAAGUAAAAAAAAAUUAAAUAGAAAGAAAUUUAACAUUAACAAACUAAACUAAAUUAAAAAAAUAAUUAAAAAAAAGCAAAAAAAAAAUUCAGGUUAACUCGUCAUACCAGACUAACCCAUUAAACCUGGGAUCCUUGUCAUGAAUGUCUGAUAACUAAAUAAAAAAAGUGAACGUUAACAAACUGAACUAAAUGAAAAAAAAUAAUUAAAUAGAAAAAAUUUGGGUUAACUCAUCAAAUUAUGUUAACCCGUUAAACUCCGGAUCUGUGCCAUGAAAGUCUAAUAACUAAAUAAAAAAAAUUAACAUUAACAAUCUAAAUUAACCAAAAAAAAUUAUGAAAAUAAAAAAACAAAAAAAAUUGACGGGUCAACCUAGAAUUAACUGGGUUCACCUGUGAAACUCAGGAUAUGUGUCAUGAAAGUCAGAUAACUAAAUAGAAAGAAAUUUAAUAUUAACAGACUAAACAAAACAAAAAAAAGUAAUUAAAACGAUAAAAAAAAGCAAAAAAUAAAUUAUGAGUUAACUUGUCAAACCAGGUUAACCCGUUAAACUUAAAAAACGUUUUAUGAAAGUUUAAUAACUAAAUAAAAAAAAUUAAACAUUAAUAAAGUAAAUUAAACAAAAUUUGUUUUGUUAAAAGAUAAAAAAAGAGCAAAAAAAAAAUCCUGAAAUUCAUAAAAAACAAUUAAAAAAAUAACACAACUUAAAAAAAAAAAAAAACAAACCUAAGGCAUUAUGAUCAUUGUUUUACUGUGUAUUGCACUGUGCAGUCCCGUGAAGGCCCCAGUCAAACACUGAUCUGUUUUAGUAUAUUUUACAAAUAUAAUAAUUUAUCUACUUUAUCAAUGAAAAGUAAUAAAAGAAAACGAAGACAAGAAAUAAAGUGAAGUCUUCUUCCGCAUUAUUAGCACAUGUGAAAAGAAAGAUUGGCAUGUAAUAAAAGUUAUUCCAAUCAAACCCACUUUAUUAAAGUUGUUGCAAAUAAAGCAAGGACAGGCCGAGUAAAGUGGGGGACAUACACUAAUAAGUUAACUAGCUUUGAUACCCGUGCGAUGCCGCGGGUUAUUUUUUUUAUAUACAAAAUAUUUUAAAAAAUAAAAAUAUAAAAAUCUUGAGUUUUUCUACAAAGUUAUACCCAAGAAUCUUGAGUUUGACUGCAACGACUGAUCUAAGAGUAAUAUUUAUAAUAUUAAUAAUAAAAUUAAACUUGCAUGACUCAAGUUUAAUUGAGCCUGACUGUAACACUGGACCUAAAAAUAUUAGAUGUGGGUCUGACUAUAAGGUCGUGUCAUAAAAGUAUGAUAAUUAAAUAGAUUAAUUAAAAAAAAACAAAGAAAAAAAUCAACAAAAGGAAAAAACUAAUGAAGAAAAAGAAAAAAGAAAAAAGAAAUUAAAUUAAUUGGGUUAACCCUUUAAACCAGGUUAUCCCGUAAAACUUGAGAUUUGCAUCAUAAAAGUUUGAUAACUAAAUAGAAAAAAAAAUGACGGGUUUACCCAGAAUUAACCGGGUUAACCUAUCAAACCUAGUUAACCCGUCAAGCCUGCUAAAAAACAAAAUCAGACCCAAUAGCCUUGUAUGCGGAUCUGGCUGCAAUGUCAUGUAAUAAAAGUGUGAUAAUUAAAUAAAUUAAUUAAAAAGAAAAAAAACCAAUUGAAAGAAAAAAACUAAUGAAGAAAACGAGAAAAAAUCUGAAUUAACUGGGUUAACCCGUUAAACCUUGGAUUCGUGUCAUGAAAGUUUGGUAACUAAAUAGAAAAAAAAAUUGACGGGUUAACCCAGAAUUAACCGGACUAACCCGUCAAACCAGGUUACCUAUCAAACCUAGGAUCCGUGUCAUGAAAGUUUGAUAACUAAAUAGCAAACAAAUUGAACAUUAACAACCUAAACUAAACGAAAAAAAUUAAUUAAAAUUUUUUUUUUUUUAAAAAAAACAAAACAAAAGACAUAAGCCUGUUACUAAUGAGGAAAAAGAAAAAAAUCUGAAGCAACUCAGUUAACCCUUAAAAUUAGGUUAACCCGUCAAACCUGAGAUUCGCGUCAUGAAAGUUUGAUAACUAAAUAGGAAAAAAUAAUUGAUGGGCUAAACGAAAAAAAUUAACAAACUAAACUAAAUGAAAAAAUUUGAUUAAAAAGGAAAAAAACAAAAAAAAAUUGGGUUAACUCAUCUAAUUAAGUUAACCCAUCAAACCCGAGAUCCGUGUCAUGAAAGUACGAUAACUAAAUAAUUUUUUUUUUCCACAUUAACAAACUAAAUUAAACAAAAAAAAAUUCAUUAAAAGAAAAAAAACACAAAGAAAAAACUAAAAUAAAAAACUCAUAGGCAUAAAAAAAGAAGGGAAAAAGAUCUGAAAAAAAAAAAAAAAAACAAACAAACACUUUAGCUACAGUAUUUUACCUACGCGUUUUAGUAUAUUAAUAUUAAUAAUAAUAAUAAUAACACUAAUUUGAGAUAUUUUUUUUACUUUGGAGUUUACAGGCAAAUAAAGUGAUGGAAGAAAAAGUCUUCUUCUGCAUGAUCACAUGAUGCGAAAAGCUUGGCAUUUGCUGAAGUUUUUCCAAUCAAACCCACUUUUUUCAAAGAUGGAAUUUCUCGGAAAAUAAAUCAAAGACAAGCCGAGUAAAAUGGAGUUCAGUGUUCUAUAUAUUUCUCAAGGGGAAAAAAAUAACGUCGUUUUCUUUUCUAUACAACUGUUUUGUUAGAGAUCUUAGCCGAUGCAUCUGAAUUAUAAUUUUUAGCAAUUAUAAUAUUUUAUAGCGCUAAUAUCUUACAAAAACAUAUUUUCUAGCUUUUUUUUUUUUUAUAGUAUGAUCAAAUAUUAAAAAAUAUUUUUCAACUCAUUAUCUUUAAUACAAUUAAAUUUCAUAGAAUUGUCUAUUUUUUUGAAAUAUAGUUUACUAUGAGAUUUAUUUGAUAAAAGAAAUUCACUUUGUAACAAUACACUAGAAAAAAAGAAGAAGAAGCUAAUGAUCAUUUAAACAUAUAGUCUCGCCAGAGAGACUAUAUUGGAAUCAUCUUGCUCAACAUGUCGAAUGAUGCAAGCGGAAGCAUAAUAAAACAACAAUAAACACAGACAAAAUAGAAAAUAAAGUUGAAUUAGGGUUAAACAUAAAAAAUCCUAUAACCUUAUUAUAUGUUUGAGUUGGCUUUUUAAAGAGGUUUACGAUGUUUUUUAUAACCUAAAAAAAACUGAUUACGCUAGAAAAUAAAAUUAAAAUCCCUAAAUAUAAAAGAAAAUAGCAUAAAACCAAAAACAAACAAUAAAUCUAAAAAUAUAUAAGAAAAAUAAUAAAUAUGAUCAAACAAACAACUUCAAAACCCGAAUCAUGCAAGUUAUAUAAUGAACAUAGUGGCUUCCCAUUAGAAAAAUACACAAGUUAUAUAUAUAUAUAUAUAUAUAUAUUAUAAUUAAAUUUAAAAAUUAUAACAAAUUAUUCCUGUUUUUAUUUUUUAACUUAAGGAUGAACAAUCUUGAAAAUGUGAGGAUGUUUAUUAAGGACUUGAGAUUGUUAACGUUGCAUCAACAGCCGGCUGAUCUUGUCAAUUCUGCUUAGACAAAAGGGUGUUGGCAAGUGCUUUCAAACGAUGUCAAGGAAAAAAUAAAUUUAAAGGAUAAAUUUUUUUUAAAAUCAAAACAAAAUAUAUAAAAUUAAAAGAUUGAAGAACAGAUUUUAUAUAAUCAAUAAAUAAUUUAAUAUAUUUUUUUAUUUUUUUACAACUUUUGAAAAAUAUAUUUGACUCAAAAUAAUAAAAAAUAUUUUUAUGAAAACAAGUCAAACAUUUUUUUAAUUUAGAAGUUUUUUUUAUUAAAUAAAUUUUUCAACGACAAACAAAUAUAAAAAAAGAAUUAAAAAAUGAUUUAUCAGAAAACCACAAACAAACUGUGCCUAGACUUCUUUAAUUUAGAAUUGCAAAUGUAUUUUGUUUGCAGUUUCUUCGUCUCUCUACCCUCCAAUCGAGGAUUUGACAACGACAUUGCAUGAUUUCUCUCUGGUCUAUGAACCAUUAAACAACAAUCACUCGAAACCCACGUACAGUCCCUGCCAUCCUCUCUUUCCAUUAAAAUGGAAGUCGCUGCAUGUGUUGCAUGUUCUCAUUAAGUCAAUAUGUGCAUGCAUGAUUAAUUAUGCACUUUGUAACCAUAAAUCUUCCUUUAAUCAUUCCAAAAAAGAAAAAAAUAGAAAAGAUUUUCUCUGAUCUGUUUGGUGAGUCCCAAUUAUCACUGGCUUUCAAUUUCCAUCCCGUCCUUUCUAGCUGGAUUGCGUGUUUUUUCUCUUCUUUUCUUUUUUGCUGGAAUACAAUAAUGCAUCACAAUGGUUAAUUCCAUGGUAAUUUCUUUAAUCAUUUAUAUACAUAAAUUUGGUUACAGAGGAGAAUGACACUUCCACCUCUAUAUUCAAAUAUUUAUUAAAAAUAUAGUUUAAUUGAUUAGGUUCUGAAUUUGUUUUUUAAAGGUUAAUAAUUCAAGUUUUAUAAACCUCAUAGUUAUUAAAGACUUACAUGAUCAUUAGCUUAGGACCUACGAAAUUAGUUGAAGUACGCACAAACUAGUCAAGAAAUCCAUGUUAAUUUUUAAAAAAAAAGUUUUGUAUUUUUAUUCAUUUUUAUUUAUAUAGUAUCUUUGAAAACAAAACAUCAAAUAUAACAUUGAUGGUUCAGAAAUAAUUCCAAAUUUCGAAGUAUACCAAAUAAUUACUUCCAAUCCACCCCAUUCAUAGAUCGUGUUAAAAACCAUGCUGUAUAUAUUUGAGGGGUGCAAGCGCCUUGUUUGAGGAUUGAGCAUAAAAGACUAAAAGAGUUAAAUAAAUACUAAAAGACAUAAAGUGAAGUUCUUAUAAUAUUCAUGGCAAUGGUCAUCAGCUCAUUUAUAAUUUAUUUAUAUACUUUAUCAAUGAAAUAAAAGUAAUAAAAGAAAAGGAGAGAAGAAAUAAAGUGAAGUCUUCUUCCGCAUUAUUAGCACAUCACGUGAAAACAAAGAUCGGCAUAUGAUAAAACCCAUUCUUUUCAAAGAGCAUAACAAGGGCCGAGAGAGACAAGGCUUUUGCGAGUUCUGUAUAUUUUUCUGUGGUGGUCCCAGCUAUUAUGUUGCUGACACUGGAUAGAGAGACUUCAACCACCAAUCAAAUUAUUUUUAUUGACCUUUUGUGCUGUUCGUCACUUUCCUUCGCUCCUUCUCUCUUUGCUGUCAAAUUUCAAAAACCUUAGCUAUUAGAAUAGUUGAGUGUUUGUUUUUGUAUUUUAAAAGAGUUUUUAAGAAUUUUAAAUGUUUUUAUUUUAAAUCAAUUUUUUAAUUGACUCCAUAAUAGAAAAGAUGCCAUCCCCCUAAUACAAAACUCUAAAAAAAAACAAUGAUCGUGCCACCACCGGUGGUUGUGCUGUUUUAUGACAUCACAAGCCAUAUAAGUAGCUGAUUAGAAUGAUUUUGUAUGGGACCCAGUUGUGACAUCAGCUGUUUUUGUGUUUUCUCUUUCAAUCAUAGCUAAAGACUAGGCAUGGCAUGAUAAUCGAUGGAUGGGGGUAGGGAUAAUGGGAGCCACAUGAUCCAUUUCGUGGUUGUUUCUUUCUUCUAUAAAGAAGAUCAUGCCAUCACGGAUCUUACGGGAUUGAUAUCUUGCCCGGUGUUGAUUUACUACAAUGGCUGCACGUGAACCCGUCCUCCAGGACAACUCCCAACAAGUGUCUGUCUAUCACUCUCAAAUUAAUUUGAUAUUUCUGUUCCAGUGCCUCCAUAGAAGAGUAUAGGUGUUAAUCAUUUUUUAUUUUUAUAUUUUAAAAGUUUUUUUUAAUAAUUUUUAUUUUUUACUUUAGAUUUUUUUUUGAUAUUUUUAGAUAUUUUGAUAUAAAAAUAUCAAAAAUAAUUUUUUUAAAAUAAGAAAAUAUUAUUUUAAUAUUUUUCCAAAUAAAAAACAUUUUAAAAAACAACAACAAUCAUAUUUUUAAACAACUCCUAAACCUUUCCCAUUUUUUUUGAGAUUAUAGUACCGAUGUUAUUUUAAUAUUUAAAAAAAAAAUCUUAAUUUUUUUAAAAUUAAAUUAAGCUUUUCUUUGAGUUCAAACAAAUCAAUGAGGAAGGUUGGUUAUUUGUCCUGCCGCACCAUCCUAAAAUGUAAUGUAAUAACCAAUGUAAUUUGAUGUUUGUGUUUCAUGGGUUCGUGUUGUUGAUGCGUGCUAUUGUACUUUCUAGGUGAUAAGGAAAAAAUUAUUUAUUUUGUCAAAUAAUUUAUAUUUUUUUAUAUUUAGCUUUGUUUGUAAUUGCAUUUCCAAUGUUAAUUUAUAUAGGCCUUGAAUUGGUACCUUUUUAUCAGUUUGAGCGUAAUUACCACCAACUUUCUGUAGGAUGAUAUGGGUAUUUUAGAUAGUGUAGCAUGAUCUUUACCUGUUACGUUUUUUUUUUAUAGGAUAAUUAUUCUCUCUUUUUAUGUUUAUUUAACUUAAGGAUAAUCAGUCUCGAAAAUGCGAGGAUGUUUAUCAAAGAGCAGAGAUUGUCACGCUGCAUUAACAACCAACUGUUGUAGUCAAUUCUGGUAGGCUAAAAGUCAUCCACUUGAUUGAUUAAUGGACAUUAGCUGUUUAGCACUCCAUGGUACUUCAGGCUCCUUUCCUACCCUUUUCCUCGCAAGUGACUUGUUAAUUUGCUUUAUUAGUAUCGGUAAUUUUGUGCAGAACUGUUAUUAUUCUUUGAAAUCAGGCACGGUUCGAGGAUUCAGCAUAAAAGAAUUUGGGUAUAUUAAUUAAAGCUAAAUUUAUUUUUUUUAAUCUCAACACAAAAAAAAUUGAAACAGACAUGUUUUUAUGUACUUUAUAUCUUGAAAAUACAAGAAUCCGUCUAAAUUAAUACAUAUUUAUUUUAUAUCUUUGUUUUCAUCUCCUUGAGCAAACGUGUUUUUAUCAUUUCAAUGUCUAUCGUUUUUAUUUAGUAAUAUUUAACCAAAGGCCACCUUAAAGAUUCAUGCAUGAAACAUCCAUUUCCUAAUCAAGUACUAGGCCAAUUCUUUCAAGUUUAUAUGUUAGACUUACAAUAAAACACUAUGUUAUGUUUGGUAACCAGUAUAAGCAUCAACAAAGUUAAAUAAAAGGAUCAAACCCAAACACAUUAGUGUAAAACAAGGAUCCAAUUAUCAUCGAGCCUAUUUUAACUUAAUCUCAACAAUCGUGUCACUAGUUAUUAAUUAUAACCCAUAUCUUGCACCAGAAAAAAGAAGUUACCAUAACCAAAGCACAUGCGUCUCAUAUAAUUUGAUUACUUGAAAUAUGUCUUUGAGGUAUAAUGACAUCGAAUAGACAAGGUAAUUGAAUUAAAUUAUAGGUCUUUUACCGAUAUUUUAUUAAAAUAAUAUUUGUUUAUUUUUUUAAAAUAAAAUAAAUCUUUUUUAUGCUGAUUUAACUAGGUUUAGAUCAGGUUUUGUCUAAUAAUAAAAUCAUUAAAAAUCUAGUAAGGUAAACAUAGUUUCAUUGCAUCAAUGCUUUUCUAAUUUAAUUUUAAAUUUGAUCAUGUCAAGAUUUGAAUUUUAUAGCUUCCAAUAGCAAAUCAAAUCACGGACAUAAUUAAAAAAUGAUACUAUAAAUAAAUAAAAAAGAUUUUGGAAUAAAAUGAUCCACAUAUAUAUAUAUAUAUAUAACAAGGUAAAGGGUCAAACGGUGGAAGAUAAAAACCAAUAAUGUCUCAUAAUAAUUUCAUUUAUUGUGAAGAGUUACUAUAUUGAUUGUUUUUAUAUUUUUUUUUAAAAUCACAUCCAUUUAUCUAAAAUUACUAGUCUUUAAAUAAUAAAAUAAUUUUUUAUAUAUAAUUUGCUCUACAGAUCACAGUUAUUAAACCCGGCCCGGCCCGGCGAGUCGACCCGGUGCUGGACCGGUUCGGGUUUAAUAAAAGACCGGUUGUGGCAACAGCCCGGCCAGACCCAGGCGACCCGGGCAAACCCGGACGAGACCCGAGUUUUUUUUUUUUUUUUUUAAUUUGGGAUAAAAAAAAAUUUGGUUUAAAUAUUUCAACUUAAAAUGAUAACAUAGUAUCUUUUCAAUGUGGGGUUUGAAGCCCUUUCAUAUAUAUACUUUAUGUUCACAUGAAAAAAAUUAUAUUUUUUCAAUGUGGGAUUUAAAACCCAUUAGUAUAUAUACUUUAUGUUCCCAAGGAAAAAAUCAUGUUUUUUCAAUGUGGGAUAAAAAACCUUUUAGUUUAAAUACUUCAACUUAAAGGGAUAACAUAGUAUCUUUUCAAUGUGGGAUUUGAAGCCCUUUCAUAUAUAUACUCUAUGUUCCCAUGAAAAAAGUUAUGUUUUUUCAAUGUGGGAUUUGAAACCCAUUAGUAUAUAUACUCUAUGUUCCCAAGGAAAAAAUCAUGCUUUUUCAAUGUGUGAUAAAAAUCCUUUUGGUUUAAAUACUUCAACUUAAAGGGAUAACAUAGUAUCUUUUCAAUGUGGGAUUUGAAGCCCUUUCAUAUAUAUACUCUAUGUUCCCAUAAAAAAAGUGAUGUUUUUUAAACUAAAAUGUUUUUUAUCCCACAUUGAAAAAACAUGAUUUUUUUUCUUUAGGAAUAUAGAGUAUAUAUACUAAUGGGUUUCAAAUCCCACAUCGAAAAAACAUAUGAAAAGUUUUUUGAGUUAGACAAAUACUAAGCAACAUUCUAGCAUGUGCAAUGAAGUUUUUACAAUAUUCGUAGUAACGGUCACCAGCUAAUUUAUAAUUUAUAAAUCUACUUUAUCAAUGAAAAGUGAUAGAAGCAUAGUUAUUAAACCCGAUCCGAAAGCCGGAUUUCAGAUUUCAUGGAUCAACUCGGAUUAACCUAAAAAAAUUAAAAAUACAUAUUUAAAGUUUUAAUAUUUCAUAUAUAAAAAUUAAGAAAAAAUUAAACUCAUGUAAAUAUAGGCUAUACUUAUUGUAAAUAAUGAAGUUUAAAAAAUAUAUUUUAAUUUUUUUUUAUCAUACAUUAAAAAGAUACUAUAUUAACCUUUUAAGUUGAAGUAUUUAAAUCAAAAACGUUUUUUAUCUCAUAUUGAAAAAAUAACUUUUUUCUUUGGAACAUACAAUAUAUAUAUUAAUAGGUUUCAAAUCUCACAAUAAAAAACAUAAUUUUUUUCUUGGAAACAUAUAUAUAUAUAUAUAUAUAUAUAUAUAUAUAUAUAUAUAUAUAAAAGGACUUUAAAUUCUACAUUAAAAAAAUAUUAUAUUAUCCUUUUAAGUUAAAGUAUUUAAACUAAAAAAUAUUUUAAAUUGAUCUGCUGAUAUGGUAAAAUCCAGAGAUUUCUUGGAAAAUAAAUGAAAGACAAACAGAGUAAAAUGGAGUCCAGAGCAUACAAGAGCCGAGAUUGAAACAGGAAAUGCAAGAAAAAAAAGAUGGGCCCUUGUUUUCUCUUUUUUAUGGCCGGCGACUGGAUAUAAAAAGGGAGGAGAUGAAGUGCCCGUUUGGUAACGUGGCUGCGGGUGAGGUUCACCCGCAGCUACGCCAAAUGCCGUUUGGUUAACAAGAAAAAAUUGCUUUUUUGAUAGUGGAACACAUGAAAUUUUCAGACGCGCCACAUGUUUUGGAGAAGCAGCAAAAUGCUGCUUCUCAUAGUAUAGAAAAGCAGAACAGUGGAGCCAUGCUCCACUGUUACAGUUUUAGUUUUUUUUUUUUUUGAAAAACAUUGCGAGAAGUUAAUUUUUUUUUUCUUGAAAAAUUAUUUCAAUUAAUUGAUUUUACUCGCAUUGUGAACGUGAACAUGAACAAUAUUAUUUUUUAAAAAAAUUAGUUUAAGGUGAAUUAAAUUUACUCGUAUUGUAAUAUCAAUUUUAUUCCUGAUAAUAUUUUAUUUAAUUUUAUUGCACGCUCAAAAAAUUAUUUUUUCUGUAGUUCUUGUCAAAUGAAUUUUAUACAUAAUAAAAUUGUAAUUUUUUUAAAAAAAUUUUGUUUUACUUGAAAAACUACUAUUUAAUAUUAUUUAAUAACACAUCAUAUAAAAAGAAAUUCAGUUUUUAUUUUUAUUUUAAUUGUGUUUUAUUCAAAAACUUAAAAGGAGAUCGCUCAAUGACGUAACAAAAAAUUCAGUUUUUUGUUGUUGCGCGCUUAAGAAACCAUGAAAAAUAUAGUCCUUGUUAGAUAGAUUUCGUAUGUAAUGACAUUGCACAUAGUUUAAUGGAAGAAUAAAAAAUAUUUGAUAUCAAUAUUAUUUAUUUCAUGAUAUAAUAACAGUGGUUAAAUCUACAAUAUUUAAAUUAAAAAUCAUUAAUAUAUAAAUUUUUUAAUUAUUUUAUAACCUCAAUUUGAAAAGUAUUUUUUUACCAGACACAUUAAACUACUUUUUAUUCAAUUUCAACCACAGUUUUAACUAAACAUAUAUUUUUUCAAACCAACCUUAACUAAAAAUACUUUUUAUAAAAUAACUUUUUUAAAAUAAUAACCACAAUAACAACCUCAAUACCAAACAGACCCGAAGCUUUCAAAUUAUUUACAAUUUUGCGGUCACUUAUUGUGUCCAUGUCGUUUUGUGUAAUUGCCCAGCUACCGGUACUAUUUUAACACUGUUAAAAGUCUAAAUUAUCAAUAUUUCCCCAAUUUAUCUCUAAAAAAAAUUCACUUCAAUUAAUAGCAUUUUUUUUUAUUUCUUUUGUCAAUGUUUACCUCUUUUUGAUAAACUUGUAUAUUUUUGUACCAGAGGUCUAAAAUUAUUGUGUCCACUUAUUACUUAUUUAAAUUCAUUAGAAUGUUUUAAAUAACUUUUUUAAAUUUUAAUCCCAGAGUUUACAUGCGUAAUACAUGAGUUAUAUAAAUUAUGAUUCAAAAUAUUGUUAUAACUAAAUUAAAAAAAAAAUACAAAUGAUCAAACCAUUGAUGCUGGUGAUGCUCUCGUCUCCAGAAUGGUCCGCUUGUACUUGGCUGAUGGAGCUGAGGGAAAGCCAAUGGCUACAAAGUGCGAAUGUGAUUUUCGCGAAAUGAAUUAGGGCAAGCAAAUUUUGUUCUCCGUCAUUUUGUAAAUUCUCGCAGCUGCUUGUUAGACGCCAUAAAUAGUCUAAGCUUGUUGUUGAGAUUUUUUAUUUUCUGUAUAUGAAUUUAGAGUUAAUUUCUUGAAUAUUAAGUUUUCUGAUUUUUCUAUAUAAUUAAUUUUUUAAUUUGAUUUGAUUAGUAUUAUCGUACAUUUCUCAUUCUAAAAAAAAAAAAAUACCAGAAGAAUAUUUUCUUUCUAUUGAAAACAUUUGUGGUUAGAACAAAGUAAUUUUUACUGGAGUGUCGUUUUGGGAUGCAGCAUGAACUUUACCUGUCUAAUUUGUACGGCGUGAGAAGAUGUUGCUUUCCAUGGCUUCUCCUUAAAAAAAUUCCAUCACAUUUGACAAUUUUGUUAUAAAAACAAAAGAUAUAUCUUUUAAAGAAGAGAAGUGAUACCUAAAAUUUAUAAAUGAUCUAAACUCUUAAUUUUUAAUCGAUGAUCAUGUUACUGAAAAAACGUACUACGCUUGGAGGACAUAGAGAACGUCCUACGCUUUCAUUCGAGUUUAGCGCACACGAGAAACCUGAAUUCUUUAUAAGAAGCUUGGUAUAAAUAUAUUUCUUCUUAGACAUUAAUUAUUCAUGCAAUUGAAGUUGAGUUUGGGUUAGGUUUUGGAUAGGGCAUGGUAAUAUCUAACCUGAUCUGAAACUUGAUUUUUUAUCUUCAAGUUUUACAUCAAAUCAACUUGAAUUAAAAAAUUUCUUAAUUAUUUGAAUAAGUUCAAGACAAUAUCCAUAGAAUUCAAGUGAAAUCGGCCCGAGGAGGAUAUACAAGUAGACUUCUAGUUUUCUCAAAUAUUUUAAUUUUAAUGAUUGGACAAGAGAGCAAAAAUACCAUAUUAAUAUUUUUUUUCUUUUUAUGAAAAUAAAACAUAUCUUUUCUCACUAGCACAUAUUCAUCCCAACUUGAAAAUACAUUUUUAAUAACGUGAUUAUACGAUGAGGUCCCCACUUGUCAGGUAAAGCUUCGGCACCUCCUUCAAUCCUAGUUUGGGAAACAGAAGCACUCUAUCACCAUUAGUUUUCCCCGAGGAAGACAGCACCCCGAUUCCCUCCUCCUGUGCUGAUGAUGGGGCAUGAGAGAGAGUCCAUACGAGUUCAAAAUAAAAUUAUUAAUAUAUAAUUAAAUAAAAUUAAAAUUCACCUAGGUAAAAUUUUUAUAUAGACAAAUGCCAGGAUACAAAAAUUUUAUCCCGGGAACAUGAAAUUUACUAUUUGGAAUAUAGAGGGAAUUUAGUAAAAUUUUAGCGUAUGUGUGCGUGCUCCAGUAAAAAGAAAAAGAAGAAAAGAAAAAGAAGGAAACUAUCAUUUACAUAUGAGAGAGAUAAAAUUGUAACGAAAACAUAAAAUCUUAAGGGAAGAUCUUGAGGGAAAGUAACUAAGCUUUGUGAGCAUUAAUUGGAAGGAAUAAAAAUUAAAUGAAGGUGAGUAGAAAAGAAGAGAGGAAGUUCAACCAAGAUUGAAGAAGAGGAGGAGUUGAAAGCUUGAUUUGGAAAGUGUUUAGAGUUUAAUUACUUGCUUGGUAAUGCAUUCUAAAGACAUUUGAUCUAAAUUUUAAUUGCUUAAAGUUCUUAAUUGGUUGAAUUUUUGAAAUUAAAAAGUUAGGGCUCUUGAAUAAAUUUGAGAAAAAUAAAAAUUUAUUUUAAUUUGUCAUGGGAAAUAAUAUGAAAAUUAGAGUAAAGUGAUUAAAUUAUUAUAAUUAAAGUAAAAAUUUUGAUAAUUAAAUAGAGCUAGUGGCCGGCUAAUGAUGAGAGAUUUUAGAGGAUUUAAUUGUGAAUAAAUAUUGUGAAUUGAUGAACAAUAUAGUAAGUAGAACUGUUUUUUGAAUAUCUCUUUAUAACUUUUUAAAUUUUAUGGAACACUUGUGUUGAUUCUUGAGAUUGUGUGAAAUAUUACUACCAUGAAAAUAAAAAAAGGAAUUGAUGUCUAGAUAAGAAAUAUCAUUGAGUUGUUGGUUAAAAUCCAUAAAACGGUCUAAUUUUUAGAAAUAUAGUUUACUAUGAAAUUUAUUUGAUAAAAGAAAAGUAGGAACUUUAUGGUAUAUUUCCUUGACAAUGAGUACCCGAUUAAACAAUAUUUAUAUUAAAUUAAAACUUAUGGUAUGUAUCCUUGACAGCGAAAUAAAGAAAAGUAGGAACCUUGUAAUAUCUAGGUAAUUUUUAUGCCCUUUUAAGGAGCCCUACAAACUGAGGCUAUAAUGAGCCCAUGACAGAGGGAGACAGAAAAGCAUAAUUUCAGAAGACCAUGACACAAAUCAACAGCUGAAAUCCAAUCACUUAAGGGAUGGUGACAUGUCGCAUGAGUGGAGACAACUGGUCUUCAGUACAAAAAGAAACAAAGCGUUUUCAUUGUUUAAUUUGUUUUUUGAAGUGUCUUUGUUCUCGUGAUUGCUCUUGUGGUGAUGGAGACUUUAAAAAGAUAGUUUAUAAAAAUUAUUUUCACUCGUGAUUUGUUUGAUUUAAAUAAAUAUUUAAUUAAAAAUGUUUAACUAAAAUUAUGAUUAAAAUGGAUGUUUUAACUUAAAUUACCACAAAAGACACUGGUAAAGGGGGAGAUGAUGUGAGAGACGAUUGGGUAUUUUAUUUAAUUGUCAAAACAUUAACUGUUGUGGUCAAUUCUGGUGGACUAAAAGCCAUCUACUUGAUUAAUGGCCCUUUUCCUCGCUGGAUCCUUGAUAUUUUCAAGGGGUGCAAGCGCCUUGUUCGAGGAUUGAGCAUAAAAAGAUUAAAAAGAGUUAAAUUGAAAUAUAACUAAAACGGAUGAGUGUUUUAUUUUUAAGUGGUCAAUUCCUAUUGUUUUACGUGUUUUUUUUAAAAAAAAUUUUGCUUUUUUUUUUAAGUUUUUUUUUUUUUUUUUAAUUGAGCUGUUUUUUUUUUUUACUUUUUGCUUUUUUUUUUCUUUGUUUUUGUUUAAUGGAUAUUUUAAAAAAACAAAAUUGUUAAUAUUAAAUUUUUUUGUAUCUCAAACUUUUAUAACACGCAUUCUGAGUUUAACGGGUUAACUCAAAUUUUUUUUUCCUGGUUUCAUAGGUUAACCAAAUUAAUUAUGGGUUAACCCGUCAAUUUUGUUUCUAUACAGUUAUCAAACUUUCAUGACGCGAAUCCCUGGUUUGACGGGUUAACUUGGUUUGAGGAUUAACCCAAUUAAUUCGAUUUUUUUUUUAUUUUUUGCUUUUCUUUUUCUUCAUUUUUUCUUUGUUUUUUUUAAUGGAUAUUUUAAAAAUAAUUUUUUUUAUUAAUAUUAAAUUUUUUUCUAUCUCAAACUUUUAUAGCACGCAUUCCAGGUUUAAUUGGUUACCUCAGAUUUUUUUUUUUGGUUUUUCUUUUUAAUUAAAAUUUUCAUUUUCACAAUAAAACACUGAUUCCUUAGGCCUUUUUUUUUUUAAAUUGUCUUAGUUUUUUUAGUUGUUUUUUUUAUGUUUUUUGGGAAUUUUUUUUGCUUCUUCCUUUGUUUUUUUUUUAACAAAAUUUUUUUGUUUAAUUUAGUUUAUUAAUGUUUAUUUUUUUUUUUUGUCAGACUUUCAUGAUACGUUUACCGGAUUUAACGGGUUAACUUGGUUUGACAAGUUAAAAUAUUUUUUUUUUUGCUUUUUAUUCUUUUUAAUUAAUUUUUUUUUUGUUUAGUUUAGUUUGUUAAUGUUAAAUGUCUUUCUAUUUAGUUAUUAAACUUUCAUGACACAUAUCCUGAGUUUCACGGGUUAACCUGGUUUCACGGGUGAACCCAGUUAAUUCCGGAUUGACCCGUCAAUUUUUUUUUUUUCAUAAAUGUUUUAGUUUAAUUUAGUUUGUUAAUGUUAAUUUUUUUUUUAUUUAGUUAUCAGACUCUCAUGACACAGAUCCUGGGUUUUACGGGUUAGCAUGGUUUGACGUGGUAACCCCUGUUUUUUUUUCUUUUUAAUUAAUUUUUUUUUGUUUAGUUUAGUUUGUUAAUGUUCACUUUUUUUUUAUUUAGUUACCAGACAUUCAUGACACGGAUCCUGAGUUUAACGGGUUAACUUGGUUUGACGAGUUAACCUGAUUUUUUUUUUAAUUAUUUUUUUCGUUUCGUUUAGUUUCUAUUUAGUAUUUUUUUCUUCUUAGAGGUUUUUUUCUUUUAUGUUUUCUUUUUAAUUAAUUUAGUUUAUUAAUAUUAAAUUUUUUUCUAAUUAGUUUUUGGCUGAUGCCUUUAGUUUUUUUUUAUGCCUUUGACUGUGGACUGCACUGUGCAGUCCACAGUGAAAAGGCUGAUGCCUUUUGUUUUUUUUUUUAAUUAAUUUUUUUUGUUUAAUUUAAAUUGCUAAUGUUAAUUUUUUUUCUAUUUAGUUAUCAAACUUUCAUUACACGGAUUCCGGGUUUGACAGGUUAACUUGGUUUGACGAGUUAGCCCAGUUAAUUCUGGGUUAACCCAUUAAUUUGUUUUUUUUUUUAAUUAUCAAAUUUUAAUGAUGCGAAUUCAAGGUAUGACGGGUUAACCUGGUUUGAAGGGUUAACCCAAUUAAUUCAUUUUUUUUCAUUAGUUUUUUUCUUCUUGUUGGUUUUUUUUAACUACUCUAUUUAAUUAUCACACUUUUUUAACACGACCUUGCAGUCAGACCCACGUCCAAUGCUAUUGGAUCUGGUAUUGUAGUGCAGACACUUUUAUGCUAAUGGUUAACCCAAGUUUAAUGUUAUUAUUAAUAUUAUAAACAUUACUCUUGGAUCAGGCGAUGCAACCAAAACUGAGACUUUUGGGUAUAACCUUACAAAAAAACCUAACACUUUUAGAUCUUGGUUAUUUUUAAAAUGCAAAAAAUAAUUGACCCGCGGUAUCGCGCGGGGCAUGUAACUAAUACUAAAAGACAUAAAGUGAAGUUUUUUCAGCUCAUUUAUAAUUCAUAAUUUAUUUAUCAAUGAAUGAAAAGUAAUAAAAGAAAAGUGAUAAAAGAAGAAGAGAGAAGAAAUAAAGUGAAUUACCAUCUUAGGAUCUCUUGGCAAAUAAAGCAAGUAAAAUUAAUAAAAUGUGGGACCUAACUCCAAUUUCCUAGCACCCGCAACCCACGCAUACACAAACCCGUACUUUAUCAAUGAAGGAAAAGUGAUAAAAGAAGAAAAGAGAAGAAAUAAAGUGAAGUCUUCUUCUGCAUUAUUAGCACACCACGUGAAAAUAAAGACUGGCAUAUAAUAAAAGUUAUUCCAAUCAAACCCAUUUUUUCGACGAUGGGAUCUCUUGGCAAAUAAAGCGAGGACAACCGAGUAAAAUGGGGGACAUAACUCGUUUUUCCUGGCACACGCAACUCACGCAUACACUAACACUAAUUUGAGAUAUUUUUUUUUACUUUGGAGUUUACAGGCAAAUAAAGUGAGGAAGAACAUCUUCUUCUGCAUCAUCGCAUCACGUGAAAAGCUUGGCAUUUAAUGAAGUUUUUCCAAUCAAACCCACUCUUUUCAAAGAUGAAAUUUCUAGGAAAAUAAAUCAAAGACAAAACCGAGUAAAAUGGAAUUCCCGGCAUAAUGAUUAUUUUUUAAUAUAUUUUUUAUUUUUAAAAAAAUUAAAUAAUAUUUUUUUAUUUUUAAAAAUUAUUUUCAAUAUCAACACAUCAAAAUUAAAAUGAUUUAAAAAUAUUAAAAAUAUAUUCAUUUAAAAUAAAAAAAAUUUAAUUUUUUUUAAAAAUACUUUCCACCAAAAACAUAUUAGUCAAUAUCUGCAUGAUUAAUUAUGCACUUUGCAACCAUAAAUCUUCCUUUAAUCAUAAGAAUAUCUGCUGUUCAUAACGAGUCAUUCAAGUAUGAUUAUUUACUUAAAUAAUUAAUUAUGUUUAAUUAGAUCUAUCCAUAAGUUUGCAAUUGAGCUAAUUGUUCUAUAAUUACUGUAGCUAUGAAAGGUCAAGCACAAUUUCAUCCAAAACAAAACUCGUUAUUUUCAAAAAGAAAAAAUACCCCAAUUUUUUUCUUAUAUUUUAGUAUUUUUUAUAUUUAAAGGCAGUAUAGUUGUAAUAUUUUCAAGUAAUCGAAACAACCACCUAUGCAUCAAUUAUAUGAUAUACUGACUUGACUUUCCCAAGUGUUUUGAGUUUUGAGUACUAGAAGAAGAAAAUAUACUUCUCUCUAAAAAAUAAGGAAAUUUCAGAUGUAUUUUCUUUUAACUGGCGAAAAAACAGGAAGACGAAGAAAGGAAUAUUUUAUUUCUUCUAGGAGUAUGGUUAGCACGAGAGAAAAGAAAAGGGAAAGGCCUAUCGACUCUUUUUUUUUCCAUGUUCACGGGUAGUACGGAUCGCUUACCAUGAAAGCUAAUGGAAAUGCUCUUUCUCCAUGAAAGCUAAUGGAAAUAUGUAUAAAUCAUCAUUUUAUCUUUAUGUAGCAUAUUGUCCGAAGAUUGGGAAAUUUCGUGGGAAAUUGUCCGAAGACAGGAAACGUAAUUUCUCUCUAAAAAAUAAGGAAAUUUCAGAUGUAUUUUCUUUUAACUGGCGAAAAAACAGGAAGACAAAGAAAGAAAGGAAUAUCUUAUUUCUUGUAGGAGUAUGGUUAGCACGAGCUAUAAGAGUUGUACACGAGAGAAAAGAAAAGGGAAGGCCUAUCGAUUCUUUUUUUCUAUGUUCACAGGUAGUACGGAUCGCUUACCAUGAACAUCAAACCUAUCAUUCAUAAACUGUGCCUAGACUUCUUUAAUCAUUUACAUAUAUAAAUUUGGUUAAUCAAGUUGGAGAAGUUCGUGUCAAGAACCAUGCUGUAUAUGUUUGAUAAUGCAGUGAAUAUAAUUUUACAACAAUAUUUUUCAAUUAAUAAAAUAUUUCUUAAAGAAAUUUUCAAUAAUCUUGUUAAGAAAUUUGGGUGGCCAGACAUUUUAAAGAAUGAUGCUAGUUUCUGGCCACAAGUGGUCAUGCUAGUGACUAAUCACUUUUUGAUCAUGUCUGAUACUGGUGGUGAUCUUUUUUAUCAUCGUAUUUUCCAUCAAUUUUUUUUAACAAAAAGAAAGUUUUUAAAAUGAUUUUGUGAAAAUAACUUUUUAUAAAACAAAUGGUAACUAGUUUUGCAAUAUAUGCGCUUCAAAAGAAAGACCAAAGGUGACAUUUAUUAUAACUUUGCAACCACUGCUAGAUGUUCAUCAUGGCGUCUUCUUCUUCUUUGCCUAGACCUGUUUUGGUUUCCGAUGUAUUUCUAAGUUUUAGAGGUGAAGAUACUCGCAAAAAUUUUACGGAUCAUCUUUACACUGCUUUAGACCGAGCAGGAAUCCAAGCAUUUCGAGAUGACGAAAAACUUCGUAGUGGUGAAGAAAUCUCCUUACAACUCUCCAAAGCAAUUCAAGAAUCCAAGAUUUCUAUAGUGGUUUUCUCUAAGGGCUAUGCUUCCUCCACUUGGUGCCUUGGUGAACUUCUAAAGAUUCUUGAAUGCAGACACACAACUGGUCAGAUUGUUCUACCUGUUUUCUAUGAUAUCGAUCCUUCUGAUAUUAGAAAACAGACGGGGAGUUUUGCUAAAGCUUUCCGUAGACAUAAAAGACGUUUUAAGGAAGAAAUGGAGAAGGUCCAAAAGUGGAGAAAAGCUCUUGUGGAGGCUGCAAAUUUAACUGGGCUGGAUCGUCGCAGUAUCGCAAAUGGGUACUUCUUUUCUUCCCCUAUAUCAAUAGCAAAGGCUCAUAACUUUUACCCUUAUUACAUUUUGUAUUUUAAAUUUGCAUUAAAUUCAAAAGAUUAUCUUUCAUCGAUGAGUGAUGACUUUCUUUUUCUAUCCACAGGCACGAAUCAAAAUUAAUUCAAAAGAUUGUCGAAGAAGUUUCAAGUAAAUUGUAUCCCAGAAGCAUGAACGUUAGUAGUCUGCUGCAGAAGUUGAAGACAGCAAUGAUACCUGGCAGGGGGCUGCUUGACGAUGCUGAGGAGAAGCAGAUAACAAAUGCAGCUGUGCGGGAUUGGCUGGUCGCGUAUAAAGAUGCUGUCUAUGAAGCCGACGACUUCUUGGAUGAGAUUGCUUAUGAAGAUCUACGGCAGGAGUUGGAAGCUGAAGCUCAAAUCUUCAUUAUCCCACGUGAAAUAAUGGGGUUGAGAGAGAUUAGAAGAAAAAUCAAGAGCCUCCAUGAGAGACUAGAUGACUUAGUAAACAAAAGGAUGCCCUUGGUUUGAAUCAACCGCACUGGAAAAGAACCAUCAUCGCAAGACAAAACUUCUCUCGUGAUGAAUCUGGUGUUUAUGGUAGAGAUGAUGACAGCAAAGCAAUACUGAAGUUGCUUCUAUCAGAUGAUGCAAAUGGACAAAACCCAGGUGUCGUUCCCAUAGUAGGAAUGGGCGGGGUUGGUAAAACCACGCUUGCGCAGCUUGUAUACAAUCACAGCAGAGUACAAGAGUGGUUCAACCUCGAAGCUUGGGUUUGUGUUUCAGAAGAUUUCAGUGUUUUGAAGUUAACCAAGGUUAUCCUUGAGGCGUUCGGUUCAAAGCCUGAUUCUGAUAGACUGGAUAAGCUCCAGCUUCAGUUGAAGAAGAGAUUGGAGGGAAAUGAAUUCUUGCUUGUUUUAGAUGACGUUUGGAAUGAAGAUUAUGAUGAAUGGGAUAGGUUUCUUACCCCCCUGAAGUUCGGAGCACAAGGGAGUAAGAUUCUUGUCACAACACGCAAUGAAAGUGUAGCAUCAGUCAUGAGAACUGUUCCAACUCAUCAUCUAAAAGAAUUGACGGAAGACAGCUGCUGGUCUGUGUUCGCCAAACAUGCAUUUCGUGGUGAAAAUCCCAAUGAUUAUGAAGAGUUGCUAGAGAUUGGCAAAGCUAUAGCAAGAAAGUGUAAAGGCCUUCCUCUAGCUGCAAAAACACUCGGAGGUCAACUACGCACCCAAAGAGAUGCCGAGGAGUGGGAGAAGUUAUUGGAAAGCAAUCUAUGGGAUUUACCCAAUGAAGGUAUCCUCCACAUCUGAAGCAAUGUUUUGCUUAUUGUGCCAUAUUUCCAAAAGACUAUUCAUUUAAAAAGGAUGAAUUGGUUCUCUUUUGGAUGGCAGAGGGCUUCUUAGACCCCUCUGCAGUAGAUGAUGAGAUGGAAAAAGCAGGUGCUAUGUGCUUUGAUGAUCUCUUGUCAAGGUCCUUUUUCCAGCAAUCAAGUGUCUCUCGCUCAUCAUUUGUGAUGCACGAUCUCAUGCAUGACUUGGCUACCCAUGUGUCCGGUCAAUUUUGCUUCAGCUCCAGGUUGGGGGAAAAUAAUUCUUCCAAGGCCACCAGAAGGACUCGACAUUUAUCACAUACGGGAGCCGGUUUUCGCAGCACAAAAUUGGAAAACAUCCGUGAAGCCCAACUUAUACGCACAUUCCAAAAUUGGCAUCAUUUUCCUGGUUGGUACUAUAAAGAGAUCUUUCAUAUAUUGCCAACACUUGGGCGCCUACGUGUGCUAUCCUUGUCUGUCCAUCCCGGUGCAGCUAAGAUGCUUUGUUCAAUUAGCAAGUUGAAGCAUUUGCGGUAUUUGGAUCUCUCGUCGUCAGAAUAUUUAGUAACGUUGCCUGAAGAAGUGAGUGCUCUUCUCAAUUUGCAAACGUUGAUCUUGAAAAAGUGCCAACAACUUGCUAGUCUACCUGAUCUUGGAAAUUUGAAGCAUUUACGACAUCUGAAUCUUGAAGGAGCAGGAAUCAAAAGGUUGCCUGCAUCUCUGGUAAGGUUAAUCAACUUGCGGUAUCUUAACAUCUCAUGGACGAAUUCUUUGAAAGAGAUGCCACCACAUAUAGGUCAACUUGCAAAGCUCCAAACGUUGACUUUAUUUCUCGUGGGAAGACAAAGUGAGAAUAGCAUUAAAGAAUUGGGAAAGCUACGACAUCUACGGGGAAAACUUCAUAUUGAGAACCUUGAAAAUGUGGUGGAUGCUCGGGAUGCUGCUGAGGCAAAUUUGAAAUGUAAAAAGCUUGAUCAUCUGAUCUUUAGCUGGAAUGGUAAGACUCAUGACCCGCAACACGUAACAAGCACACUUGAGAAAUUAGAGCCAAAUAGAAAGGUGAAGGAUCUUCAGAUUUACUGUUAUGGAGGUGUAAGGUUUCCGGAGUGGGUAGGAGACUCCUCUUUCUCAAAUAUAGUGUCCUUGAUGCUCUAUGGAUGUACAAACUGCACCUCCUUACCACCGCUCGGACAAUUAGCUUCUUUAGAGGAUCUCUCCAUUAAUGAAUUCCACAAAGUUGAGACUGUGGGCUCCGAGUUCUAUGGGAAUCGUACCGCUGUGAAGAAGCCAUUUGAAUCCCUCAAAAAAUUAUGUUUUGUAAGGAUGGCAGUGUGGCGCGAGUGGAUUUCAGACGAAGGCAGCCGGGAAGCCUUCCCUCUUCUUGAUGAGCUUACAAUCGUGGAAUGCCCCAACCUUGCAAAGGUCCUACCUAGUCACCACCUUCCAUGUGUAACAAGACUUGAAAUUAGAGCAUGUGAGCGGCUCGCGGCCCCAUUUCCCAGGUUUCAUAGGUUGCAAUCCCUCGAUGUUUCUGUAAACCGCGACUGGCCACCUUCUAAGCAAAUGGGCUGGGCUGCUCUCAAAUGCUUCGCCCUGGACUUGGUCCCCAACUUAAAUUCUCUUUCUAUCUCUUCCUGUCCAGAUCUGGAAUCACUAUGUGCACAUGAAAGACCUCUCAACGAUCUCACCUCUCUCCAUUCUUUGUCUAUCUGGGGGUGCCCUAAAUUAGUUUCAUUUCCCAAAGGAGGGUUACCUGCUCCAGUCUUGACACGACUUGUGUUAAAUCAUUGCAACAACCUGAAGCAGUUGCCUGAGAGUAUGCAUUCCCUCCUACCAUCCCUUAACCACUUGGAAAUAAGAGGUUGUUUAGAAGUUGAGUUGUGUCCAGAAGGGGGUUUUCCCUCCACAUUACAAUCACUUGUGAUUAGUAAUAGCAACAAACUCAUUGCAGGCCGCAUGCAAUGGGGCUUGCAAACGCUCCCUUCUCUUUCACGCUUUGUUAUUGGUGGCCAUGAAAAUAUUGAAUCCUUCCCUGAAGAGAUGCUUCUGCCCUCAAGUCUUACAUCUCUCAGCAUCAUUGGCCUAAAACACCUGAAAUCUCUUGACUACAAGGGGCUUCAACACCUCACCUCUCUUACAUCAUUGAGAAUAAUUAUCUGCCCUCUGAUUGAGUCAAUGCCAGAAGAAGGGUUGCCCUCCUCCCUUUUUAUUCUUGAUAUUUACUAUUGUCCAAUGCUGGGUGAAAGUUGUGAAAGGGAGAAAGGUAAAGAUUGGCCCAAGAUUUCUCACAUUCCUUACAUAGACAUCAGCACAGCAAAGAAGUAGCAGUUAAAAGGAGCUUUUCUUUCGAUCAAAGGCAACAUAUUUUUUUGAGGUAUUGCUACUAAAUAGUUUAUUUUCUUUUCUGUAAUCAAAGGCAAUUUCAGUUAAAAUUUGGAUGAAUGAAGUACAGAUAUUGUCCAUUUUGUAUUGUUUUUAUUUGUUGGAUGUUGAAAUACAGAUAAUUUCUUCCAUAAAUAAUAAUCAUCAUUCUGUUUCAAUAUAUCGAGCUGGAGGAUCAUCACAUGCUUCAGAUUUUGAACUGCCAGCACUAGUAAUUAUAAAUCCAUUGUUAAAAAGGAUUAAAAAAAUUAAAUUAUGUAAGUAAUUUGCAACGGAUUUUUCAUUAUUCACGUGCUUGGCAACAUCAAAUCUGCAACUGAUUCCAAAGAUAAAUCAAACCCUUAAUUAUAUAAAAUCCCCAUCCUUUCUCCUUUUCUCUUUUCCCGCAUCUUCAAAAAUUAAAAAAAAUAAAAUUCUCCAUCUCUUUCUCUAGUCUCUUCCCUUCUCCAAAAAUUCAAAAUUCAAAAACUUUUUUUAUCUUUUAUUUAUUAUUUAACUUUGAUUAGAUUGUUUUUAUUCCAUAUAAAGCAGAAGUUAAAAAAUGAUUUUGGAGUGCAUGUAAGUCAUAUCAUUUUUGGAGUGUACUUUGAUAAAAAAACAGACAUAAAGAGAGAAGAAAUAAAAUUCAUGACUCUUUAUCUUGCCCAAAAUAACAGCGAGGGCUCAUGGAUGCUGCACCAGGGUAAAGCUACAAAUGCCAACGCUGAUGAAGAGUUACAAGAAAUUGGUAGAGCAAUAGUGAGGAUUGUCUGAUGUUCAUCUAUAAUAGCAGCAGAUAAAUAAUUGUAGCUGAAGAAAAGAAUGGUGUGCGAGAGCAAUUUCAUAGAAAUGAAACUGCUUUUAUUGGACGUGAAACUUCUUGCCUCCAAUAUUUGUGUUUUGAUCUUCUAGCCUUUUGGUGUUCUAUGGCUUUGUUGCUGCCUUUUAGUCUUUUGGUGUUCCACGGUGCUGCUGCUUUUUGGCUCUUGAUUUAAUGGAAAUGCUGUCCUUGUAUCGUUUGGGUUUUGGCAUCGUUGGCUCCUGCCGUUGUCUGUUCUCCGGUCAUCGAAGCUGACAGCAAUCCUCCGACUCUGUUAUUGCAGUCAGAUGCUUCCUCAGUUUUAUCCUUUGGUCAUUUUCAAAAUCAGAUACUCCUGUAAAUAUUACAAAACAACUGUGACACUGCUUUUACUAUAUCUUAAUAGCUAUUUUUUCUUGGGAUAUUUAAUUUAAUUUACAAUAAAUUCUGGUUAAUUUACAAUAAGUUUAUAUAGCUUGAAAGUGAAGCUCAUCUUCUAUUUAGUUUUCUUAAAUAUAUAAUUUUAAAUUAAAUUACUUUUAAAAUAAUUUUGAGUAUAUCUUACAUGUUUAAACAUUAACUUUGUUGGAUGGAUGCAUUUUUUAUUGUAAAAAAAAAAACUUCAAAAAAAAAUUUUCUAACAAAAAAAAUGUUUUUUUAGAAAAAAUAUGAUUAAAAAACGUUUUAAAAACUCAUGGUCUAAAAUGGACAUUACUGAAAAGCUACUUUUUUCCAAGUAUUACAUAGGCAAGUAUGCGUAUAUGUUUAGGGUGAUAGGUAUGGGUCGAGUAGUAGCAAAAUAUUUUUUAAUGGUAAAACAUGAGAUAGGCUCAUUCACCUCUUUACCGGUCUUUAUUUCUUAAUAAAUUUUAUCCAAAUAUUUUUUUUAAAUGGAUAAAAUGGAUUAUAAUAUUUGUAAUGGAUAAUGACUGUUAAAAAAAAAAUUAAACUCAAAUUAUAAUUUUGCAAAUUUUAGUAUUUAAAAUAAAAUAAUUCAUAAGUGGUGAUUAAAGAGGUUACUAUCUUGGGUAACAUUCAAAUUCCAUCUAUGGGUGUUCUCUGAAAACUUGGCAAAUCCUCGCAAUCGUUGUUCUCUGAAAUCUGUAAAGAACGUUGUAGGAGUUCUAAAUCCUAGCACCCACCCAGCAUUGUUUUGAAGAAGUAUACCUUCUUUACUUGUUCUUUACCCUUUUUUAUGUUUGUAAUUCUUAUAUACAAGCAUUUGCUUUGAUUUUUUUGUCAGGAAAGUAUUAUGUAAACUAGAUUCAUUAUUUCUAAUUUGUAAGAGAAUAUAUGAUCAUAUUUAAAUACAUUAACAAAUUAAUUUCCUCAUUUCUCUUAAUUUUUAAGAAAAUCUUUCUUCUAUUAUAAUUAUAGUUAUUGUUUUUUUAAAUCUAAAAUCAAUGUCAUGGUUAAAUAGAAUGGUAUGUUAUCCUUAUUUUUAUUAAAUUAAAUUAAAAUAAAAAACUAAAUUUCUUAAACAAAUUACUGUUUACUAUGACCAUGAUAAAGUUGUUCUUUAACCGCUAAACCUUUUAACCCUUUAUGAUUUUUUAAUUUACAAAUUGUUUUCAAAUUAAGGAAAUUCUUAAGAAAAUCUAUCAUAUUAUAUAUAUUUUUUAAUAUCACCCCUUUAAUUUUUUAAUCGUUUAAAUUUAAUCUUUAUUAUUUUUCAUUGCUUUUUGUUUUUACAAUUUUAUUUUCCUUGGGUUUUUUUUCUAUGAAAUGGUAUCCUUAUUUUUUUUGUUGCUAUAUCUUUUAUUUUUGCAAGUUUUUUUAUUGAACCCGGGUCUAGAAUUACACGAGUUGCCAGUUUUAGAGUUUGACCAAGUUUAGUAGGUUUAUCCGACUUUACUUGGUUUUUUUUUUCUUUCUUGAGCUGAUUUUUUUUAUUUUUUUAUAGUUUUGCUUUGUUAUUUUUAACAGCUUAUCUUUUAUAAAGUUAGCCCUGAGUUUAUGACUAGAAUCAUCGGUUUCAAUGGGUUAACAUGAGAUGAUUUUAAAUUUUUUUAAUUAAUUUAUUUCAAUUUCAUCAUUCUUUUUUUUUUAUAUUUUUUUUUUCUAUGAGACUAUCUCAAUCUUAUAUUCAUGGUUGCGAAGUUGAUGAGUUUACCUGGUUUAAUAGAGUUUUUUAUAGUUUCACCUUUUGUUAGAUAAUUCGGAGGGCUCAAUUCUGUUUUUUUUUUAGUUUUUUUGUCAUUGUUAUUUUUUUAAUUAAUUUAUUGUAGUUGUAUUUUUUAUAUAUAUUUUGAACCAAUUAGUUGUAUCUCAGUUUUUUUUUAAUGUAAUAUUAUUUUUUUAAGUUAAAAAAAUACUUCCUCUCGCAGUGGAGCACGGACACAUGUUCCAGGGUACAUUUUAUAAGAUAUGAUCCGAGGAUACGAUGUAGAUUUUGUUAAGGAGGUUGUGUAUUAAUUUGUUAAUAUGCAUACUGCCUACUUGUGGAACUGAGUUGCAUAGCUGAGUGGUACUUGCAGGUUCAAAUGGUUUGAAGAUUCUGAAACAUUAUUAAUUUGUGCUCAAACUCUUUGCAUUUCAGCAUCCUCUACUGGUUGGUGCAGGCCUUAACUAAACGAAAAGGUGAUUUUAUUGUAUCUCUUUUUAUAAAAUAUUAUUUUUUUAAACAGUUAUAUCCUUUAAAAUUAUAUUUAUUAAGAAUUGAAUUUUAUAACUUUUAUAAUUUAUUUAUUUACUUUAUCAAACUUCUGCUGCAUGAUCACAUGAUUCACAUCACGUGAAAAGCUUGGCAUUUAGUGAUGUUUUUCCAAUCAAACCCCCUUUUUUCAAAGAUGGAAUCUCGAGGUAAAUAAAUCAAAGACAAAACCGAGUAAAAUGGAGUCCUGAGCAUAACAAGGGCCGAGAGAGAAAAGGCUUUUGCGAGUUCUGUGUUUUGUAUACUUCUCAAGGGGAAAAAAUAAUGUUUUGUUAGAGAAUUGUUUUUGAUAGAAUUGUUAGAGAUCUUAGCCGAUGCAUCUGGAUUAUAAUUUUUUAGCAUUUAUACUAUUUUAUAGCGCUAAUAUCUUAAAAAACUUAUUUUCUAGCUUUUUUUUCAUGGUAUAAUGAAAUAUUAAAAAAUAUUCUUCAACUCAUUAUCCUUAUUACAAUUAAAUUUCAUAGAAUAGUCUAUUUGUUUAGAAAUAUAGUUUACUGUAUGAUUUAUUUGAUACAAAAAAUUCACUAGAAACUAAAAAAAGAAGAAGCUAAUCAUCAUUUAAAAAUAUAGAAUAUUGGAAUCAUCUUGCUCAAUAGGUGAGUUUGGGAGUUUGGUUGCUUAACAGGUGAGUGAAGGUUAAAUGUACCCAAUUAAAUCAUAUCUACAUUCAAUUAAAACUUAUGGUAUAAUUACUUGAUAGCAAAAUAAAGAAAAGUAGGAACCUGUAACAUCUAAGAAAUUUCUAUGCUCUUAAAAUUAAGCGUCCAAACUAAGGCUAUAAUGAGUCUUGAAUCUACACAGAAGAAAUUUCAUGGGAAAUGUAAUUUCAAAGACCAUGACUCAAAUCAGCGGCUAAAAUCCAAUCACUCAAGGGAUGGUGACAUGUUGCCUUGAGUGGGAGACAGCUGGUCUCUAGUACGAAGAGAAACAACAAUAUAAUUUUUUUUUUAUUAAAAGUGAGUGUAUGAGCUUCCAUGUAUUUUAAUUUAUUUUAUUAAUUUUAAAAUUAAUAAUUAUAUAAAUUUUUAGUAAUUCUAAAAAGAUUUGAAUUCAUAAUUAUUAAAAUAUAAAUAUAAAACCUAAUCAAUUAGUACCCCCACAGCAGUGUUUUCAUUGUUUAAAAUGGAGUGUUUGUUUUUCUUAGAGCUCGUUUGGGUACGCGUUUGCGUUCGCGUUUCUUCGAAAACGCAUGACAAUGCUGUUUGGUUACAGAUCGUUGAACAAUUAAAAUACAUGGGCCCCACCAUUUACCUGCGGCUGGAACACAAUUUUUUAAAAGCAGCAAGAUACUGCUUUUUUACGAGUUUCAACAAUAUUCACCAGCGAAUUGCACUGUUCACGUGACUUUCUUUCUUCUUCUUUUUUUAACAGUUUUUUUUUAUAAUUUUUUUUUUAAAAAAAAGUAGUUUAGAGUGAAUUAAAUUUACUUACAUUGUGAUGUGAGCAAUAUUUUUUUUCCCUGAAAAACUAGUAUAAAAUGAAUUAAAUUCACUCAAUUUUAUACCUGAUAAUGUUUUAUCUAAUUUUAUUACACGCUCACAAAAUUAUAAAAACUGUAGUUCUUAUUGGCUGAAUUUUAUACAUAUUGGAAUUAUAAAUAAUUUAAUGGAAUAAUAAAAAAUAUUUUAUAUAAAGUAUUAUUUAUUUCAUAAUGUAAUAGGAGUAGUUAAUUCUACAAUAUUUAAAUUUAAAACCAUCAAUAUUAAUAUAUAUUUUUUAAAAUUAUUUUAUAACCUCAAUUUCAAAAGCAUUAUUAACUAAACACAUUAAACUACUUUUUCUUCAACCUCAAUUUCAACCACAAUUUUAACCAAACAUCUAUUUUUUUAAACCAACCUCAACUAAAAGUACUUUUUAUAAAACAACUUUUUUCAAACCACAACCACAACAGCUACCGCAAUACCAAACAGACUCUUAGUGUUUUUGUUCUUGUCAUAGCUCAUGAUGGCGGGGGCUUAAAAAACAUUUAAAGAAAUUAUUUUUUCUUGUGAUUUAUUUGAUUUAAAUAAGUAUUUAAUUAAAAUUAUAAUUAAAAAUGUUGUUUAAUAAAAAAUAUUUUAAAAUAUUUAAUUAAAAUUAUAAUUAAAGAUAUAUUGUAACUAGAAUUACUAUAAAAAAAGAUCCUAGUGAAGGUGGAGAGGAUGAGAAUAAUGAUUGGAUAUCUUAAUAAUUGUAAAAAGAAAGUAUCUUUUUAUGGUGAAGUUAUCGGUAGAUGAGAAAAUACUGAGUUUUGUAGCUCAGAAAAAAACGUCAUUCAACUAAUAAAAUGAUCCAUCUACAUAAUAAUAAUAAAAAAAACCCGCCAUUCCCACGUGUGGAAGAUAAAAUUAAUCAACCUAAUCUUAUUGGAUUACAUUUUAUUAUUUAUAUCAAACAAUCAGUAUCCUUAAUACUGAUUAAGGAUAUUUUUGUUUUUGCACAACUAUACAUUUUAAUAUAAUAAUUUUUUUAAUCUAAUUUUUUAUUAUUAUUAUUUUAGUAUCAUUUUGUUAUUUCUAACAGUUUGCGUUUACAAGGUUAGUCUUGAAUUAUGACUAGAAUCAUCAAUUCUAAAUAGGAAUGUAAGUUGAUUUUUAUUAUUUUUUAAAAUUAAUUUAUUUAAAUUUUAUCAUUAAAUUUUUUUUUUCAUGAUUUCUUUUUAAGAGACUAACCCUUUAUCGACAAACACUAAUGUACUCUGAAAAACAUAAUCCUAUUGCAUCUUACGCUUUAAAUUCCAACAAGGAGUAGGAACCCUGCAUCUGGGAAAUUUUUACUAGGCCUCCAAUCUGAGGCUGUAAAGAGCUGAUGGGUUGAUGUCAGAGGUAGACAAGGAACCGUACUUUCAGAAGACCAUGACACAAAUCAACGGCUGGAAUCCAAUCACUCAAGGGAUGGUGUCAUGUUGCCACGAGUGAGAGACAGCUGGUCUCCAUCUGAAUGUUUAAAUAUGAUUGGGUAUCUUAGUAAUUGUAUAACAAUUGAUUUUUUUUUUUUAAAGUUGUCGGUGUGGAUGAAAAAUACUGAGUUUGUAGCUUAGUAAAAACAUGUUGAUGUUACUUUUUAUUAGCUCAUGGUUGGCCCAUAAAUUGUAAUAGGUCCCACAAUCACAAACCUACUAUUCACAUGUAAUUUAUGUCUUACAACUUGUUUUUUAAAUUAUUAUUUUUAUAUUUUUAUACCAUUUUUAUUUUAAAAAAUUUAAGUUUAAAAAAUAUUAUUUUAAUAUAUUUUUAAAUAAAAAAUAUUUUAAAAAACAAUAAUAUCUGAAUGUUUUAUAAAUUUUUACAAUCACUUUUACAUUUUUUUUAGAUCACAUUUGAGAAUGCAGUACACCACAAUAAAGUUUCGUUGUUGCUACAUGAUUAAAGGUAAGUAAUUGUCUUGCAUUUACCUUUAAAACUGCUAUCAAGAAUUAAUUAAUUGCGUCAAUUCAAUUAUUUCUAUUGACAUUGAUACCAAACAUGUUAAUUCAUGAUAUAAUUAAGCAAUUCAAUACAAAUUUACUAAUAUAAUUUAUUCCGGCGUAAAGCUUUGAAUAUAGCCAAAUGCAGAGGUUAUGCAAGUGAAAUACCUUAAUAAUUAAAUUAAAAAAAGAAAACAAAAUAUAAUGUAUAAAAUAUAAUAAUAUAAUUUAUAAUUUAUUUAUUUGCUUUAUCAGUGAAAAUUGAAAAGAGAUGGAAGGAGGGAGAGAGAAGAAAUAAAUUGAAGUCUUCUGCUGCCUGAAGAGCUUGGCUAGUGAUGUUUUUCGAUCAAACCCACUUUUUUCAAAGAUGGAAUUUCUCGGAAAAUGUGUGAUCCAGAGAAAAGCCUUUUGCGAGUUAUUAUGUUGCUGACACUGGAUAGAGACACUUCAACUAUCUUUUCAUUAUUUUGAGCGCAGUUGCCACCCACCUUUCUGUGGCUUCAUGCUCCUUCUCCAAACCAUUCAUAUAUAGUGCAGCCUGAGCUUUACUGGUUACGUUUCCUUUGAGGAUAAUUAUUGUUAAAUUAUUUUUUGUUUUAAAAUAUAUUAAAAUAAUAUUAUAUUUUUUAUAAUUUUAAUAUAAACACAUUAAAAUUAUUAAAAAAAUCAAUAAUUUAAUAUAUUUUUAAAUAAAAUAUAUUUUAAAAAAACAUACAUUACGAACUAUUCUCUCAAACACACAAUUUUAUUCCAUCUUAAAACUUGAGAUAUUAGAAUAGUCAAGUUCCCUCGUUAAAUUUACAAUUGUGGUAGUGGGAGUUGUAUAACUCAUUAAAAAAUAAAUUUUAUAUUAAAAUAAAAAUUUUAAAAAUAUAUUGAUUAAAAAUGUGAGGUGUUAUUCUGCAUUAUUAGCACAUCACGUGAAAAGAUAGAUUGGCAUAUAAUAAAAGCAAUCCCAAUCAAACCCAUUUUUUCGACGAUGGGAUCUCUUGGCAAAUAAAGCGAGGACAAACCGAGUAAAACAUGGGACCCAACUCCAUUUUCCUGGCACACGCAACUCACGCAUACACACACUCAUUUGAGAUAUUUUUUUUACUAUGGAGUUCAGGCAAAUAAAGUGAUGGAAGAAGGUCUUCUUCUGCGUGAAAAGCUUGGCAUUAAUGAAGUUUUUCCAUUCAAACCCACGCAUACACCCUGUAAUAUCUAGGAAAUUUCUCUGCUAUUUAAAUUAGGCGUACAAGCUGAGGCUGUAAUGAGCCCUUAAUCAACAUAGAAAAAAUUUCAUGAAAAUGGAUUAAUGUCAAAAAUAUAUUUCAAAAAAUCAUGACUCAAAUUAGUGAUUGAAAUCCAAUCACUUAAAAGAUGGUGACACGUUGUCAUGAGUGAGAGAUAACUGGUCACCAGUACAAAAAAAAACAGUAACGUUUUCAUUAUUUAAAAUGGAGUAUUUGUUUUGCUAAGUGUCUUUGUUAUCAUGAUAGCUCUUGUGGUGAUGGAUGUUUAAACAUGAUUGGACAUCUUAGUAAUUGUAAAAACAAUUUUUUUUUUUUUGGAUGAAGUUGUCGGUGGAUGAGAAAAUACUGAGUCUGUAGCUUAGUAAAAACAUGUUGAUGUUACUUUUUAUUAACUCAGGGUUGGCCCGUAAAUUAUAAUGGGUCCCACAAUCACAAACCUCUGAUUCACUUGUAAUUUAUGUUUUAUAACUUUUUUAUUUUAAAUUAUUAUUUUUUAUAUUUUUAUACCAUUUUUAUAUGAAAAAUAUUUUUUAAAAAAUAAAAAAUAUUAUUUUAAUAUAUCUUUAAAUAAAAAAUACUUUAAAAAACAAUAAUAUCAAACACCUAAAUGUUUUAUAAAUUCUCUACAUUCACUUUUACAUUUCUUUAGAUCACAUGAGAAUGCGGGACACCACAAUGAAGUCCGUGGUUGCUACAUGAUUAAAGGUAAAUGUCUUUUAAAACUGCUAUCAAGAAUUAAUUAAUUGCGUAAAUUCAAUUCUUUCUAUUGACAUUGAUGCCAAACAUGUUAAUUCAUGAUAUAAUUAAGCAAUUCAAUACAAAUUUACUAAUAUAAUUUAUUUCGGCUUAAACCUUUGAAUAAAGCAAAAUGCAGAGGUUGUGAAAGUGAAAUACCUCAAUAAUUUCUAUGCUUUACAACCCUAGGAGCCACACAAAAUAUAAUGCGUUUGUUACUAUUAAUUUAUUUAAAAAAUAAAUUAAAAUAUUUUUUAAUAUUUGAUUAUGUUAUAGAAAACGAGUCAAAAAAUAAUUUUUUAAUUUUUUUCUCAAGUUUAUUAAAAAAAUAAGAAACAAAUCUUACAAAUAAAAAUAUUGAAGGAGAAUGAAAUUGAAAAAUAUAUAUUUACAUAAAUUAUUUUAAAUAAAAUAAAUAACAAUCAUAAGAAUGAGAGCCAAAUAUGACAUAUAAAAAUAUUUAAUAAAAAAUAAAACAAUAAUAAAUAAAUAAAAUUAAUAUAAAAAUAAUACUAAACCAAGAAUUAAAUUAAAAAAAGAAAACAAAAUAUAAUGUAUAGUUUAUAAUUUAUUUAUUUGCUUUAUCAAUGAAAAGUGAUGGCAGGAGGGGAGAGAGAGGAAAUAAAGUCUGCUGCCUGAUCACAUCACGUGAAGAGCUUGGCAUUUAGUGAUGUUUUCCGAUCAAACCCACUUUUUUCAAAGAUGGAAUUUAUUGGAAAAUAAAUGAAAGACAAACCGAGUAAAAUGGAGUCCAGAGCAUACAAGAGCCGAGAUUGAAACAGGAAAUGCAAGAAAAAGAAGAUGGGCCCUUGUUUUCUCUUUUUACGGCCGGCGACCGGAUAUAAAAAGGAAGGAGAUGAAGCUUUCAAAUUAUUUAUAAUUUUGCGGUCACUUAUUGUGUCCAUGUCAUUUUGUGUAAUUGCCCAGCUACAAUUUAUAAAUGAUGUAAACUCUUAAUUUUUAAUCGAUGUAAAAUGUUGGAGUAUCAUGUUGCUGAAAAAAUCUUUUUAAGUGUAUAAUAUGUUGCAUUUGGGGCAAAAUUAAUAGUUUUGAAUGUUUUUAUUACCGAAACCUUUUUUUUUUCUCAACCUCUUUCUCUCUCUCUUCUUGUCAAAUACAAAAGUUUUUUUUUUUCAUUUUUUUAAAUGAUUUAAUUUUAAUUUUAUUUUAUUUUAUUUUUAUCUUUUGUAGAUUUGUAUUUUAUCGUUUGAUUUUAUUUAAUUGUUUUUAUUAAACAUGACCUUUAUUUACUUUAUUUAUUAUUUUUUUAAUUAAACGUUCUCUUAACAUUUAUUUUCAAUAUCAGAUUUAAUUAAUCAUAUUAAUCCUAUUUUAUCUUACACUUUAAAUUCCAACAAGUACCCGAUCCAACAAUAUCUGCAUUCACACUUGAGGGUCUAACUUAUUGGUCAACUGCAAGACUUGUCUUUGCGAACGUCUUGGGUUCGAUCCUCUUUGUGUACCCUGUCACCCCGCGGUGUCUUACCUGUUCACCGGGCUUGCAGGAUAUUCAGUGGACUCGAGGAUUAGUUGUGAUGCGCGCAAGCUGACCCGAACACCUCGGGUUAUAAAAAAAAAAAAAACAAUAUCUGCAUUCAAUUAAAACUUAUGGUACAGCGAAAAAAAAAAAAAAGAGUAGGAACCAACUAAGAAAUUUAUGUGCUGUUCCCAGCUAUGUUGCUGACACUGGACAGGAGAGACUUCUUCAACCACCGAUAAAAUUAUUUUUAUUAACUUUUUGUGCAAUUUGUUACUUUGUUUCGAUCUUUCUCUCUUUGCACCACAAACACUUGGACACGGUAGAAACCAAGCACGGUUUUUCUGUCAAUGUACGAUACCGUAUUUAACAAUAUCUUUUUAUUUUUAUUUUAUGAAGAGUAGUAUGUUGGUGAUCUAUGUAUGUUUUUUUUAAAAAUCACAUAUAUAUUUAUCUAAAAUUAUUGAUAUUUAAAAAAUUACAUUAUUUUUUUAAUGACUCCUUCCACUGUUCUUGUAGAAUUAAGCAAAUAUUAUGCAAAGCUUCAAGUUUUGUGUAAUUGUUUUUAAUACAAGAGAGUUUAACCAUUUUAAAAUGUUUAAUGAGUUCUUUAAAAUAUUGAAAGUAAUGUACAAAAACUAAUUUAUAAUUUUAUUACAGAUCGUGCUUUAUUAUAGGUCAAGUCAAGUUUUUCUUAAGAAUAAAAAAUUAUUUAAAUUAUGAAUGUUUUAAUUUAUUCUGGUAAAAAAAAUUUAAAUCAUGAUGUGAUCUAACUUGAUUGAAUUUGUAGUUCACAAAACAACCUAGAUAACAAAUAAAAAUAUAAUUUAACUUAUAAAUUUUUUCAAGAUUACAUAUAUUUUUUUAAUAUUAAGAUAAUAACAAAUUAAAUUGAUUUGGAUAAACUCAAUUUAACUUAUUAAAUUCAUAACCCGUGUUAUGAGACUAUGAUAAACCUGUAAAAAACAAAUUAUUAAGUUUAAUUCUCAACCACCAAAUAUUAAAAGAUAAAAUUAAAAUAAAUAAAUAAACCAUGUGGAGAUUAACUCAAUAUGACUUAAUUGAUUUAGCUUGUUCAAAAACAACCAAGAUAAUCACUAGAAAUAUAAUCUGACUUGGAAAAAAUUUCAAGAUGAUAUUUUUUUUUAAUAUAAAGAUAACAAAGUAAUAGAUCGAAUUGGGUUAAGCAGAGUUAGCUUGUUAAAUUUUUUAUUUGGGUAUGAGACUAUGAAAUCUAAUUCCUAAGCAACCAAAUAUUGAAUGGUAUAAUUAAAAAAAUAAUCAAUUAAAAAAAUGAUUUAAAAAUAUGAACGGAGUUAACAUGUCAAGUCCAUAACCUAUCUUAUAAUAAAGAUAUAAUCUUAUAAAAAAAAUCAAAAUAAAUUAUGAAAUUCAAUCUUAAACAGCUAAAUUUUAAAAGAUAAAAUUUUAAAAAAAUAAUUUUAAAAAGAACAUAAAAAUGACCUAAGUAAAUCCCCCAAACCCAUAGCUUAUUAAGAGAUCGUGAUAAUCUUGUAAAAAAAAAAUUACAUGAUUUAACUCGUUAAAUUUAUGACUUUGGUUACAAUACCGAGACAACCUCUUAAAGAGUAAAUAAAAAUAAAUUGAAAAGUGCAAUCCCUAAUUGACCAUGUCAAACCCGAUGUGAACGAUGCAAUUUUUAAAAUUUUGAAUUAAAAAAUAACAUAAAAAAUAAUUUAGGUUAACCCAUUAAGCAUCAUUCUUAGAUUACGAGACCAGGAUAACAUAAUAAAAAUAAAAUCAAAACAAACCACAAAGUCUAAUUCCUAAUAAAACAUUAUUAAAUAAUAAAAUUGAAAAAAAAAAAGUUAAUUAAAAGAAAUUUGAGUCAAUUAGGCUAACUUGCUAAGCCUGCAAGUUAGGUUAUGAAACAUAAAUAACUCAAUAAAAAACAAAUUUACUAUUGAAGGACUAGUGACGCAGGUCAUGAAAUAAAGAUAACCUUUUACAAACAAAAUUAAAAAACAACUCAAUUUAAUUUGGAUUAAAAUGUCAAAACCUUCGUCUCUAAUCAUGAGACUAGGAUAACCAUGUAGAAAAUAAUUUGAAAUAGAUUAUGAAGUUUCAUUCUCAACUGACCUGAUAUCGAAUGAUAAAGUUGGAAAAAAAUUCAAUUAAAAAAAUAUAAAAUACAACCUGAGUCAACUGAGGUUAACCUGUUAAGUAUUAUUUCCGGGUUACGAGGUUAGAAUAAUCUAAUAUAAAUUAAACAAAACAAAACAUGAAACUUAAUUUUUAAUUAAAAGAUAAAAUUGUAAAAAAAAGUUAAUAAAAAAAAAUCAAGUUAACUUUUUGUUAUAAAAGUGAGACAACUUAAUAAAAAAAAUUAAUAUUAAAAUAAAAAAAAUCAUUAAAAAAUACUCAUUCAAAUAAUUGUAUAAAACAUAAUAAUAUAAACUAUAAUUUAUGAUUUAUUUAUUUAUUUUAGUAUUUAGUGAAGUCUUUUCAAUCAAACCCUUUUUUAAAAAGAUAUAAUUUCUAGGAAAAUAAAUUAAAGACAAACCGUGUAAAAUUCUAAAAGAAAAUAAAGAUGGGAUAUUGUUUCAGUUGCGGCUUGGAUACGUGUUUCAAAAAUAUUUUUAAAAAAAAUAUAUUUUUUUAAUUUUAAAUUAAUAAAUUUUUAGUUUUUUUAGAUCUUUUAAUAUAUUAAUAUUAAAAAUAAUUUAUAAAAAAUAAAAAUAUUUUAUUUUAAUAUAUUUUUAAAUAAAAAACAAUAAGAGACAACCGUGACCACUUAAAUGAAGCAUACCAAGUUGAGAGUUGAGGAGCCGAGAGAGAAAAAGCUUUUGCCAGUUCUUUACGCAAAUUCUUUCCCCUUCUGUCACCUGAACAAAAUCCCCUCUUCUUCUUCUUCUUCUUCUUCUUGUUUGUUUACUCUUCCUUCGUUACUUUGCAAAGAGGAGAAACCAUGGCCGGGGCUUUAGUAGGAGGAGCUUUUCUUUCUUCUUUCCUUAAUGUUUUGUUCGACAGGAUGGCCUCUCCCCAGGUGGUGGCCUUCUUCAGAGGGAAAAAAGUCAACGAUAGUAAUCUGCUGCAGAAGUUGAAGACAACAAUGACAUCUCUCAGGGUGGUGCUUGACGAUGCUGAGGAGAAGCAGAUAACAAGUUCAGCUGUGCGGGAUUGGCUGGCCGAGCUUAAAGACGCUGUCUAUAAAGCCGACGACUUCUUGGAUGAGAUUGCUUAUGAAGCUCUACGGCAGGAGUUGGAAGCUGAAGAUCAAACCUUCACAAGUCAGACGCAGAAGCUUCUUUCUUUCAUUAACCCACUUGAAAUAUUGGGGUCGAGAGAGAUCGAAGAAAAAUUAAAAGUCCUCUUGCAGGAUCUAGAUCCCUUAGUUGAACGAAUGGCAGCCCUUGGUUUGAACAACCGCAAUGUAGAAAAUCCACCAUCGCAUAGAACACCAACAACUUCUCUCGUGGAUGAAUCUGGUGUUUAUGGUAGAGAUGAUGACAGGGAAGCAAUACUGAAGUUGCUUCUAUCAGAGGAUGCAAAUGGAGAAAACCCUGGUGUCGUCCCCAUUAGGGGAAUGGGCGGGGUUGGUAAAACCACGCUUGCUCAGCUUGCUUCCAUUCUCUCCUUUUCUCCUUAUCCGCAUCUUCAAAAAUUCAAAAUCUUUUCCCCACCUCUUUCUCUAAUCUAUUCCCCUUCUCCAAAAAUUCAAAAUCCAAAAACUUUUGAUUUAUUUAUUUUAUUAUCACUUAACUUUGAUUAAAAAACUUUUCUUGAAGUUUACUUCCAUCAAAGAUCUUUUAUAGAUAUAAAAAGAAGAGAUAAUAUAAAAUUCAUCCGCGUAUUGGAAUCACAAUUCAGAAUCAAGUUAAAGCGGCCAAUGUCACUCGAGAGAGUAGGCACUUGCAAAUCUGCUAAUAAUUAUUGGAGCAUCACCCUUCCGCACAAUCAACAGAAAGUCAUCAUCUUGAGAACCCACAGCAAAGAGUUCAUUUUUUUGCAGUAGAUACGUAGCUAUAUUAACAACGAUACUUCCAGCAUGCACAAAUGGGACUUCUUGAUGGUUACGCUGCUAAAGACAUUUACAAAUCCCCAUCAAUACUGGUGUUUAUUCCUCAUGAUGAUCCAGUGAGCUGACAAUAAAAGAAAACCUCGGCAUUACUAGUAAAUCGUCACUGCAAGCAUGGAAGAGAUUCAGGUAGGAAUUACCCUUGUCUUCAUUGAGAGGCUUUAACCUCCCUUGUCAGCAGGCCCAUGGUUCGAUGCAUCCUCUGAAGCGUCUAAGCAAGGAUUGCUUUUACACUGACUUACAGGCUGAGAAAGUUGGGACCCCUUUUGCGAAAAGUUUGGUUUACCUUUCGGAGUCUCAGACAGGCUUCCCGUUGACAGCUUUGCUAGGCCCAUUGUCUUGUGCUCACGCGGGAGCUUUGUUGAAAAAGGUGAUUCAGGUGUAUCAGGAUGCUUCCCAGGAAUAUCCAUCGGUCUAUGAAACAGCAAAUGAGCCACAGUCCGGUCUACCGGAUUGGUCUCUGUUUCCACCUCAGGCAUCUUAACCACCCUGCAGUAUACUCAUAAAAUCCAUGAGGAAAAUGACAGGAAACUUUGAGAUUGCCAUACUCUAAACAAAUUGAUAAAGACUUGAUUAAUAAUUUUGUGCAAACAAAUUGAAUGAUUUGAAAUGGGAAGGACGAGAUGUAAAGGAACAAACCCAUUGGAACAAGAAACAAUCACAUUGUCGCUUACAACAAAAAAUCGAGUUUCAGAUCAAAACAGCUUAUGGUUUUGGCUGGAAGUGUCCCAUUUAGACAUUGAUGAGCCGAUUAGAAGAUGAUUUGAGUUCUUAAAUUUCUUGCUUAAAAUGUAAUGUAUCAUGAUUCUGCAGAUGAUCAUUAAAUUAGAAGGGAAAUUUAAUUUUGCCCUGUUUAUCUAAAGUUGUGCAAGUUCUCUGCAUUGAUGAUUCCAGUGAAUUUGUACAGAUCUUGUUUUCCUUCUAUUUGUCCUUGAAUAAACUUAUUGCACUUGUUGAACAAUCUUUGUUUCUCUCUCUUAGUUAAAUCUAGUAAAAUUUAUCAUGUAUGUUGUGCCACUCAUUUAGACUUGGAUGUGCGUGUUUAGCUCUUCUUUUCGGAUUAAGGUGAUUAUGCACAAAUUCACUGGAAUCAACAUUGCAGAAAACUUGCAUAGAUUUUGUUAAUAUUGGAAAAAUUAAAUUCGUUUUCUAAUUAAAUGAAAAUCUCUCCUAAAUAUUAUGCUAUUUGAAUUGUCACCUCAUGACUACUUGCUGCACUGCACUCAUGAAUGCUGCACCAGGGUAAAGCUACAAAUGUCAGUUUAAUAUCUGCCUCUACCUAGGUUGGCCUACAUACAAUACCAAAGCUUCUCUCAACUAAAUCAAGACAUGAUGACCAGCACUCACAAUCAUAACAGAACCAGUGGAAGCGAACUACUACAUAUUUGAUCAACAAGGUCAAAUUCAGUCAAGUUUUUAAGGAAAUCCAGUGAAAGAGGAACCUAAAAUUUUCUGUUUAGAUUUUCUUCUACUUCUAAGAACAAGCGCUGCCUUAAUUGAAUUGUUUCAGUCACUAUUCCUCCAUUGUAAAUAGAGGAUACCGUUUUCAAUAUUUAUUUCCAGAGUGAGAAUGGAAAACAGAAAAUGGUGAUGGCAUUAAAAGAUCCUAAUUUAACAUUUCCAUAGAGCAAAAAUGUUUUUUAAAAAAGAGAGAGGAUAGAUUAAAUUUGAAAACAGAAGCAUGAGAAAUGCAUUACCUUAACCAACCUUCUUUGACUACUAUUGUUUGUACUGCCAGUAUCACUAGCAUAAUGCCUUUGCAUUGCACUUUGAGCCAGCCGGAACAAGCUAUCCCGAAUACAAAGUCUAAUUCUGACAUCCAACUGUUGUAAAACAUUGGUUUGGAAUCGUAACCAAGCACAAAUUAUUUAGCAGGGAAAGAAUGCAAUAGUAGGUGAAGCAUACCUUUGAAAUAAUAUCUUGAAGCCUGUAGAGUACUGUGUCCUCCAUUGAAUAAUCAUUAACCGCCAGAGAGACUGUAUUGGAAUCGUCUUGCUCAAUAGGUGAGUUUGGGUCAAAUGAAGCAAGUGUACUUAGAUCCUCUACUUCAAGGUCAGCUCCUUCAACAUGCUGAAUUUGAUUUUCUUGGGAACACUUUUGAUGAACAAGCUGCUGCUGCUGUUUCUGAAUGGCAAGCAUUGCCUGAAUUUGUUGCCGCCUCCUUAAUUUUUCAAUCUUUUCCUGAGGUGUCAUUCUCUGGGGUUUCACUGGACAGUCAGCUAACUUGUUUAUAGGAUUUGCAUUGCCUGAAACUUCAUAACCAGAAAUUUUAGGUCGAUGAUUAAAUGACUAGAAAUUUUGUUGGAAAGUCAGAAAACUUUAACAGGAUUCGCAUUACCUGAAGAAACUUCAUAACCAGAAGCUAAAGGUUGAUGCUUAAAAUCCCCAGACUGAAUGUGGGACAACCCAGGCAUAGAAUAUGGAUUUGUAAUACUCCCGUAGGCAGAAGGGGCCACAAAUGGAUUGGAUAUCUGCUGGUACUGCAACUGCUCGGAACCCUGUAGCUGCUUCUGUUGGCUGAGAAUUGAAGGGGGAGAAGAUUGCAUAAUUUGGGGUUCUAAAUGAUCCUUAAGUUGACAGGCUGGGAUUCCAGAUGAAGUCCAGUUUCCAUAAAAAUCUUGGUAUGAUUUCAGUUCACCUUUUUCUUCCAGUUUUUCCCGACCUUUCAAGAUCUUCUUUUGCCUGUAAGUCUGAUCACAGAACUAUAAACAUAUAAAUAGACAAAUUACUUAGAAUAGAUCAACGUUUUAACCAUCUAGACCUGCAGGGGAGAGUGACUAAGGCACAGUUAGUAUUUUAACUCAGUACAUGGUUUGUAAGGAUAAAUUCAAUGUUAUUUUUUUUUUUUAAUUGUAACUUACGAUCCAAAGGGCUUCUAUUGUUCAGAAUAUAUUGAGGUAUUAGCUAAACUAUGCCAAGCAAACAGAAUUUGCAUGUCCCUGGGAAGAGUGGGUGUCAUACUAGAAAUAUAAAUUACUGAUGCCUCCUGAAUUUUGACAUGCUAUUCCUUUCUCCUUCCUACUAACAGAAAACCAGACAAUGGCUUUACUUUAGGCAAUCGAUAUCAUGGUUAAGUCAUGGAUUUGACAUCAAGGAUAACUUAAUUGAUGCAUUAUUGAAGUGAUGACUAAAUCAUGUAAAUCCAUAUUCACCCAACAUCCAAGUUUAAUCUCAUUCCAAAAAAUAAAACUAAUAGCAUGAAUUAUGAAGAGACGAAGAGGAAUUUAAAUAAUAUAAUUUCUCUUUUCUGUCGCCAUUUUCCAUUCCAGAGAAGUACUCAGGAAGUCUUAAUAAGUUCAAGUGUAAGGUAACUUUUACCCUUCCCAGCUCUAAUUAGGUUUCGCUGUCCCUCCAAUCUAAUUUAAGAUCUAAUAUGAGGAAACCACACUGUAUUAGUGAAAGGAUCACAAUAUCAAGAUUUUCCAACUUCAAUUCACUGAUAUAACUUUUCUUGAAUCCUGGACAAAAGAACUUAGAACAUCAAAAGAUCAUAGCAGGAUUCUAAAAAACAAAGAUUGUAUUUGGUGCCUAUUGAGUCUAAAAGUUAUCUUGGAUGAAAAGGGUAAAAAUCAGUAAUAUGUCUGGUUCAGUAUCAAGAUUUUGAAAAUAUCAAAAGGAAGAAAAAAAAAGGUACCUUGUUUGCUAAUUCAUUUGGAAAAGCACCAUUUUCCUCUGUCAGUUGAGAGUUAGCCGCCGUGUUCUUUCCCACAACAGCCAAAUCUGUCUGCAAAAGCACAAAAAAAUAAAAUAAAAAAUGCUAAGCUUCUCUCAGCUCCUGCACUUGAGCAUGGGGCAUUAAUAAGUGAACUCAUUACUGAAAAUUGAGUCGCUAUACCUGCUCCUUCAGUAUAGGCUUGUUUUUACCUUCAUCAUAUUCUACAUGAUCAAGGCUUGCCUGAGUAUUCUGCAGACCAUGAGAUGCAGGGUCGUUCAUUUUUCCAUAGCCAAGGGCAAACAGCUGGUCCUCUUCUCUCGAAGCCACAGAUAUUGGAAAGGGCUUUACCGGGCUGUUAGUUGUACAUUUUGAAGAAGACCAUAGCUCAUCAGCAUUACCAAGAUUUACAUUGCCAAAUAUUGGGUCAUCAUUGCUGCAAAAUCACCACUUGUGAGGAUAUUGAGUCAGAUGGUUAUCACUGUUCUCCAACAGAAUCAAGAUAAAAUAUAAGAACAUUAGUGAAGAACAGAAAUGCAGGAAAGCCCUUCCACAAUUGAACAAGCUCACCAAUUCCUUACAAAUCCAGUGCUGCUAUAUUACAUUCUUUCUGCCAUUUAUACUUGUAAUUGAGGAUAUUGUGCUGCUAAAAACUCGCAUCCUUCAGGUUCUUUUCACAAUUAACAAAAUUAAGCCAGGAUCAAAAACCAUAAAUUUUCAAACAACUAGUCUUUUUUGUUAGUGUUGCUUUCAGCAGACAGCACUUGUUUGGAAAAGGAUAUAGAUCCAAAACAGAAGAAACUACAAUUAUUAAAAGAGUCUGGUUGUUUUUCCUUCACAACAACACUCUUGUAGUACAUGAUUUUUUUCUUCUGAAAUGAAAAUAGGCAGUGAGCAUAAUUAUUUUGUCCGCGAAACUUUCACUUCACAGUCAGUAAUAAGAAUUUGUUCAAAUUAUCAGAAUAAUGAGAUGUACAAGCUUCCAUAUCAGGGUGCUGCUGACCAUCUUUCAUUUAGGUGCAGAAAGUAAGAAAUGGUAACUGUGCUUUACCUAAAAAUUCGAUCAAGAUCAUCAAAGCUUCCAAUGCUAGCCCAGCCAUAAUCAACAAAAUCACCUUGCUCUUCACCUUCAUGAGGAUUUUGAAAAAUCUCAGUGUCCUUAUCAAGAUGAUCUGUCUCUGCGUUUUAAAAAAAAGAAUUAGAAUGACAGUAGCAUGUAAGAUACUAUGCUAUGAAAACAUCAUGCAACUCGUCACCCUAUCUACAUUUUUUCCUUGUAAUUGAAAUCUCAUCACCUGCUGAUGAAUCGAGUUUGGUAAUCUCAGUUAGAUUGUUAGAGAUUGAAGUUUCCAAGGAAUCCUGCUCAGUUUUGGCAGCAUUACGUGAGGACAAGUUAGGCCAUCGGUCCAUGUCAAGUCCUAAGGAAGAAGUUCCUUCACUUGUGUCAACAUUCGAAAUGCUCUCCAGCUUUCUGCCAUCAGUAUCAACUUUAGCCCCGGGUGCCUUCUGCUCACUAGAUUUAAUGGUGCUAGCUUCUUCACUCGAUUCCUUUUUCUUGCAAUAAUCUUCACUUGCCUCUGGAUAUGGCACGAUAUGGUCAUCACUAUCUUCAGCCUCACCCCAUAUUAUGUUCGUAAGCUGAAAAGAUAGUGAGUAAGCAUCAUCACUAAAUGUGGGAUACAUGAGAAGAAUGAAACAGUCACAAGUUAAUCUCUGGGUAACUUGGCAAGACUAUUUUCCCCAACAUAAUAUUCUGAAUAAUACACUAAUUAAUCAGUUCAGUUCCUUGUAAGGUGUGCGUGGGCACAUAUGAGCACACAUGUGUGUACGAGAGUUGCUAGUGUCAAUGAGUUGGGAACAAAAUAUUUAAUUGAGUCAUGCAGAAAAUACUAAAAUGUUCUAAAUUGUGUUAAAAAUAAAAUAGAAAGUAGAAGCCAUUGGCAUGAUUCAUUUAAAAAUUUCUACAAAAUUAAAAAAAGAAAACAAAACAAAAGGAGGAGAUGGCCCAAAGCAUGCUCUCAAUAAGAUGAAGUAAGACCUAAAGCUUCAUUGCAUGUACAGAGCACUUUGGAAACUUCAGUCUGGACAAAUAAAACCAAGGCAAAGUAUCUUCUUUUUGGAACUAAUUUCUUCACAGUAAGAUAUAACAUCCAACGCUACCUGCAUCACUUUCUCAUGGUCCUCUCUGACUCGAGUGAUCAUAAACCUUCUCAAAUCCCAUUUAAAGAAGAUUCCCUUUCUCACUUUUCGUUGGUAUUAUUUGACACCAAGAUCACAACCAAACAUUACCAAUAAGUGUGUCACCGGAGAAAGAAACUUAGGUGCCCUAAUACCAUAAAUAAAACCUAUUCAAUAAAAAUUAGACAAUAUUUUAUAGCUGUACAUCUAUAAUCAAAGUAAAAUGCCCAAAACUCUGAAUCCUGAAUAUGUGAAUCAAAGUAAAAGGCCCUAACUGAUGCACCAUCAGCAGUCUCCUACUUUGACUUGUGAUUAAUGACCUAGCAGUUCACUUCAACAACAUUAGUGAACAUAAGUUUGAAUUUCAGACCCAGCAAGAAGAAGUACAUUUUCCAGUAGGCAUGCAUAUCACCUUUUUAUCAAUAUCCAUGGAAGACAAACCAAGCAAUAUCAAGUUUUUUUCUGCUGGAUAUCCAAUAAAAAAUACCUCAUAGUGUGAACAUCUUUAAGAAGGAGGAUAUCACAUUGCACCCCAUCAACUGAUCCACAAAUAAAUUUGCAUCUUUCCAUCAGUUCCAAGCUCUUUGUAAGGAAAAGGGAGGGAAGUGCCUUCAAAGAUACCUUCUUCAUAGCUUCUUUAGAUAUGAAUCCACACGGCUUUCGUAAUCACCAAUCACUAUGCGCAGCUUCUCUUAUCAUCACAAGCUCCAUCUCUUUCCACGUCCUAACUUCAUUCGAUGAACUCUUCCCUCAGUUCCCAAGAAAAAUUAUAUUCAUCCCUCCUGCAGCCUUUUCCCUGCAUAUUUCCACCAGCUUCAUAGCUAUAUGGCCUGUGAAAACUGUCGUUGUUGCAGUGAUUCUGAACAACAAAAAUAACAAAGGAUAAUGCUUGUGUUUAAGAAGAGAUUGAUGAAUGAAAAGCUUAAAUACUUUAUUCAUAACUGCAGCUCAAUUUAUAGAGCUGAUACAUAACAAACUCCUACGAUCAUGGUCCUACAUUCAAGCCAUGAUCAAUUGAUAAUGGAAAUAACAGAGCUGCGAAAUAGCAGCAAGAACAAGAGAAUAGGAACAGAAUUGACUAAAUCAAAAAUUAAAGAAAGAAUAAAAUUCCAGCUCAGCAGUCCUGAACAUUAUUUCUAACACUCCUCCUUGUUUAGGAGCUGCAAACUCCCAACUUUGUUCUCAGAAAUUCGAAUUUGUUGACUGGCAGUGGUUUGGUGAAAAUAUCAGCUGCUUGUUCUUCAGUUUUGCAGUAAAUAAGAAUGAUACUCCAAUCUUUCUGCACCUCUCUCAAAAAGAAUAAUUUGAUGUUGAAGUGCUUGGUUUUCCCGUGAAACACAGGAUUAUUAGAGAUGGAAAUGGCAGCUUGAUUGUCAACUAGAAUUUCUGUGCUUUCCUUUUGCUCCAGGUUAAGAUCAGAUAAAAUUUUCCUCAGCCACAAAGCUUGAUUGACAGCAGCUGUUGCAGCCACAAACUCAGCUUCAGCAGUGGAUUGGGCUACGGUUUCUUGCUUUUUUGAAUUCCAUGAAAACACACCAGAACCUAAAGAGAAACAGUAGCCUGAUGUGCUCUUCAAGUCAUCAAUUGAGCCUCCCCAAUCACUGUCAGAGUACCCGACCAGUUUGAACUCUCUACUUCUUGUGUAUCUUAUGCCAAAAUUGCAGGUUCCUUUGACAUAUCUUAUCACUCUUUUAGCAGCCUUGAAAUGCAAUUCACUAGCACAAUGCAUGAAUCUAGACAAGAUACUCACAGCAUUCAAAAUAUCAGGCCUAGUUGCAGUGAGAUACAUCAAGCAUCCAACAAUUUUUCUGAAUUGUGCUUGAUCAACCUUCUCGGCUCCAUCUUCUUUACAUAGCUUCUCCUUUUGAUUCAUAGGAGUGCUUACUGCUUUGCAAUCUUCAAGUUUGAACUUUUUGAGGAUUUCUUUGGCAUACUUCUUCUGACAUAUGAACACUUCAUGUUCAGCUUGCUUAACUUCCAUUCCAAGAAAAAAGGACAUCAAACCCAAAUCUGUCAUCUCAAAUACACUCAUCAUCUCUUGCUUGAACGUCUCCACAUUAUUGUUGUUAUUUCCUGUUACAAGCAAAUCAUCAACGUAAAGUGAGAUGAUAAGGAUGUUAUCACCAUUUUGCUUGAUGUAAAGAGUCGAUUCAGAGAGGCUUUUAGUGAAUCCCAAGUGCUGCAAAUGUUCAUCGAUUCGGCUGUACCAAGCUCUUGGAGCUUGCUUCAAUCCAUAUAGUGCCUUCUUAAGAAGACAGACUUUGUCCUCCUCUCCUUCAUUUGCAAAGCCUUCUGGUUGCUCAGUAUAGAUCUCCUCCUGCAAAACACCAUUUAAAAACGCUGACUUGACGUCCAUUUGAUACACCUUCCAAUUCAGUUGUGCUGCAAUGGCAAGUAGCAGCCUGAUAGUGUCAAGUCUUGCUACCGGUGCAAACGUGUCUGAGUAGUCCACGCCAAAGAUUUGUGCAUAACCCUUCACCACUAGCCUGGCUUUGAGCUUAUUGAUUGAGCCAUCAGCGUUGAGUUUUGUUCGAUACACCCAUUUUACACCGAUUACAUUUCUGUUUUGAGGUCUGUCAACCAACUCCCACGUGUUGUUUCUCGUGAUCAUGAGAAGCUCCUCCUUCAUCGCAGCAAGCCAAUUUUGAUCUAGCUUGGCUUCUUCAAAGUCUGCUGGUUCACACACAGCAAUGUUGCACCUUUGAUACACAUCAAGGAGUGACCGUGUGCCUCUAACAGGAGUGUCAUCUGUCAUGUUGAUGUCCCAAUCUUCCAUGCUUUGAUCAUCUGUGUCUGAAACAAGAUAAUUGCCUUUUGGAGAGGCUGAAUCUUCUUUGAUUGCAUCGUUCCAAUCCCAUUCUUCAUCUUCCAGGAAUUGGACAUCUCUGCUUAUAACGAUUUUUCCAGUUUGUGGCUGGAAAAUCUUAUAAGCCUUUGAAACUAAGCUGUAGCCAACAAAAAUGCCUGGAAGUGCUUUCUUGUCAAGUUUAUCCCUCUUGACCUGUGGAACAAGGGUGAAGCACAAACAUCCAAAUACCUUAAGAAAAUUCAGAGAUGGUUUGUAACCAUACCAUGCCUCAAAGGGUGUUUGAUCCUUCAAGGCUCUUGUAGGCAGUCGAUUUUGCAAGAACACAGCAGUGUUUGCAGCCUCUGCCCAGAAUUUCUUUGGUAAAUUCUUCUCAUGUAGCAAGCAUCUUGUCAUUUCCAAUAUGAACUUGUUUCGCCUCUCACUAACUCCGUUUUGCUGAGGAGUAUACGGAGUUGUUAGCUGAUGAUGAAUGCCUGCCUCCUCACAAAAAACGUUGAAGGCAUUGGAAGUGUAUUCCUUGCCAUUGUCUGAUCUGAGGGCUUGAAUUUUGCAGCCACUUUCAUUUUCAACUUUGGCCUUGAAAUUCCAGAACACCUGUGCUACCUCUGACUUGUGCUUCAAGAAGAAAAUCCAGCACAUUCGGCUGUAAUCGUCAAUGAAGACAGCAUAAUACAGACUCCCAUUUAGAGAGAGUGUCCUUUGUGGUCCUGCAAUGUCAGUAUGAAUCAAUUGCAGCUUCCUUGUUGCUCUCCAUGUGGCUUCUGGAAAGGGCUUCCUGUUUAGCUUGCCAGUGUGACAAGUUCUGCAGCUGGAUAUGUGAUCAUCAAGUGCUGGGAAAUCCUUAGCCAUCAUCUUGGAUUUCAUAAGCAUCAGCCCUCUAUGAUGAUAGUGCCCGAGCCUCUUGUGCCAAAUAUCUGUGAUAUUUUCUUUAAUUGGGAAAGCAGUAUGCUCCUCCUCCAAUGGAUUUAGAGCAAAACUCUUCCCUUUCAUGAUUAUUUUGAAAAUAUCAUGACCAUUCACAUCUUUGAUCAAGCAGCAAUUGUUUUCAAACACUACUUUAUAACCCUUCUCAAUAAGCUGACCAACACUGAAUAAAUUUUGAUUUAUACCAGGGACAUACAAUACAUCAGAGAUGAACUUAGUACCUGAGCAAGUCAAGAUUGCCACGGUUCCCUUUCCUUCAACAACAAGGUAUUCUCCAUUUCCAAUUCGAACCUUUGAAGUUGUUUGUUUCAGCUCCUUGAAUAUGUUUCUGUCAUGUGUCAUGUGGUUGGUGCAACCACUAUCAAUGAGCCAGCUUUCACUUGAGUCAUUUCUGGAAAUGCAAGUGGCCACAAACAAUUGAUCUUCUUCUUCUUGAUCAGCAAUUUGAGCUUCUUCACCAUGCUGUUGAAUUUUGUUUUUGCAGAUGACAGCCUCGUGCCCCAUUUGAUUGCAUUUGUUGCACUUAGCUUCUGGUCUUCUCCAACACUUAAAAUGUGGAUGUGAUCUCCUUUUACAAUGCUGGCAUGGAGGAAAAGGUCCUUUUUUGUUUCCAGUGUUGCUCCUUGUUGAAAUUCCUGGAAUCACCUGAUGAUGCUUGACUGCUUCCAUUCUUCUUGUAAUUCUUUCCUUUUUCUCUAUGCUUGACGAAUAGAGCUCCUUCAAUCUCAUCUUCCUGUCUCAUGAUCCUCCUUUGCUCCUGAGCUUGUAAUGCAUUUAGCAUUUCUGUCAAAGUAAUUUUUGACAUAUCCUUGGUAUUUUCCAAGGAUGUAAUUGUAGCUUCAAAGAUUUCAGGAAUUGUUACAAGAAUUUUUUGAACAAUUCUUGACUCAGGCAGGGACGAGCCAAGUAAACUGAUUCGGCUUGCAAUAUUAAGCAGCCUGUCAGAGUACUCUUUGAUGGAUUCAGUCUUCUUCAUCUUCUGCAACUCGAAAUCACGCAUCAAGUUCAACACUUGCAUACCUUGAAUUCUUUCAUCCCCUUCAUACUCAGUCUUGAGAAACUCCCAUAUCUCCUUUGCUGUUUUCAGAGACAUGAUUCGAGUGAAAAUGGUGGAUGCUACUACAGCAAACAAGCACGCCUUUGCCUUUGAUUUUUUUGUCUUCUUCUCCUUCUGUGAUUUGAUCUGCACCAUGGUGGGAUUGUUUGGAAGUGCAGGGAUUUCAUAAUCUUCUUCCACUGCCUCCCACAAAUCCAAAGCCUCUAAGUAUGUCUCUAUCCGUACUGCCCAAAACUGGUAAUUGUCACCAUUGAACACUGGUGGAGCAAUUGAUGAGAAGCUUACUUCUGUCUCCAUGGGUUACAACACAGAUCCCUUUAAAUCAAGAUGCUCUGAUACCAAUUGUCGUUGUUGCAGUGAUUCUGAACAACAAAAAUAACAAAGGAUAAUGCUUGUGUUUAAGAAGAGAUUGAUGAAUGAAAAGCUUAAAUACUUUAUUCAUAACUGCAGCUCAAUUUAUAGAGCUGAUACAUAACAAACUCCUACGAUCAUGGUCCUACAUUCAAGCCAUGAUCAAUUGAUAAUGGAAAUAACAGAGCUGCGAAAUAGCAGCAAGAACAAGAGAAUAGGAACAGAAUUGACUAAAUCAAAAAUUAAAGAAAGAAUAAAAUUCCAGCUCAGCAGUCCUGAACAGUAUUUCUAAUUUCUGCUGGAUAUCCAAUAAAAAAUACCUCAUAGUGUGAACAUCUUUAAGAAGGAGGAUAUCACAUUGCACCCCAUCAACUGAUCCACAAAUAAAUUUGCAUCUUUCCAUCAGUUCCAAGCUACUUUGUAAGGAAAAGGGAGGGAAGUGCCUUCAAAGAUACCUUCUUCAUAGCUUCUUUAGAUAUGAAUCCACACGGCUUUCGUAAUCACCAAUCACUAUGCACAGCUUCUCUUAUCAUCACAAGCUCCAUCUCUUUCCACGUCCUAACUUCAUUCGAUGAACUCUUCCCUCAGUUCCCAAGAAAAAUUAUAUUCUUCCCUCCUGCAGCCCUUUCCCUGUAUAUUUCCACCAGCUUCAUAGCUAUAUGGCCUGUGAAAACGACUCCCAAAUUAAAACACUUGAGAAGCUCUAAUAGUUUUCUUAUUAUUUCUUCACUCUUUGUCAGUGUGCCACAUUCAAAUACUACUGAUCGAUUCUUCCUCGUCACAACCACUCACUUUCCCCUAAAUCCCAUACCAACUAAAUCAAUAUCUCUUAUCACUUAUCAAAACUCCAUCUAAUUUCCAAAUGAAUCACACCAUUUGAACACUUUGCCAAUUCCUAAUUCCUUCAAAAUUUUCAUCCAUCAAAAAAAAAACUGCAAGUCAUACUUUUUCACUCUAACACAGUUCUCCUUAUAAUCAAUCUUCCAAUUUAACCAUACUCUUGCCUCUAAAUCUGGCACGCAAAGCUUCUACAUAACCUUCCAACGUUACUUCUUGCCUCCCAACAAGGGUGGAGGCAUGCAUGGGCUAGGGUGGGCUCUAGCUCAGGUGAAGAUUUUAUUAAUAUUUUUGUUCUAGUUUUAUGUAAAGAAAAUUUGUAAUUCUCAAUUUACGUGGAGCCUUCUAAUAUGAUGCUUUAACUUGAGUUAAAAUUUUAUAAUUUUUGAAGAAAUUCAGAAAUUUGAUAAAAAACAAAAUCAUAAUUUGACCAAUUUUAUGUUAUUGGGUGUAAUUUUCAAUCUGACCAUCAGAUUGAGCUAAAAUUUUACAAGGAAUCUUAAAAUAUAUUAAAUAAAAUCUGGUUUAAAUUUUAAAAUGAACAGAGUUUGGUAGUGCUAACAAAAAAAACAUCAAAUAAAAGCAAAAUGACUCAUUAAGGGUAAAAUUGUUAUUUGCCAUAAAAAAAAAUCAGUUCUUCCUUCCUUUAUAUGUUGCUGACUGGGCAGAAACAAAAUAGAAAAUGAAAGAAAAGAAAAGGCGAGAGAAAAAGAGAGAAAAGUAAGGGAAAAACAUAAAAAAAAUCCUAGAAAAAAAGAUAAGAAAAGUGAGAAAAUAACCUUAUAAACUUAUAAAGUCCAACUUAUAAAAUAUUAAUCUAAGGAAGAAGCAAGUGAAGGAAGGAGGAAUUGAGAGAGGGAAAAAAUUUAAUUAUUUUAUUUUUCAGUUGACAUGAGAUUGUUAUUUUAUCCCGGUUAAGGGAUUGUUAUAAUAUCAAUUCAAAUUCGAUUAUAGAUGAAUUAUAUUUCACAAAACAUCGAAAGAUGUAACUUUAAUAGUGAGUUUAUUUUUACUUUCACUUUAAUUUUAUAUAUUUUUAAAUUUAUUUUUUAAUAUUUUAGGUAAUGUAUUUGAAUUAAAACUUUACUAUUAACUUUAAAAACUCAUGUACAUUAAUUAAUAAUUUAUCUUAAAAAAAAUAUUAUAUAUUUAUUUAAUAGUGCAGGACAGAAAAAAAAUCUAGCAAAAUUUAUUCUUUCCAACUUUAUUUGUUUUGACUGAAAAAUAAUCUUUUAUUUUUGUACUUCACAGGCAUGUGGUGGCAAAAGUCGAGCACGAUAUAUAUAUAUAUAUAUAUAUAUUUCUUAAGAUACAUAUGGCUGGUGAUUGGCGGAUGAUGGUGUCAUUAAGACUCUUGGUGUGUACCCUCAUCCUUUCUGUUUAUAGUUUAGUCCAUUUGCAGCUUUAAUGGCUACUAUCAGUUGCUUUGGAACCUGAUAUCACUAGUCUCAUUAUGGUACAGACAAGCUCAGGAUGAUCAAUCCUUGAGAAUCCACAUCCAACCAGAAAUAAACCGAAUUUCGAGCAUAAAUGACUCGAACUCGCUGGAAUGCUUUGGCACCUCCUUCAAUCCUAGUUUGGGAAACAGAAACACUAUCACCGUUAGUUUUCACCGAGGAAGACAGCACCCCCAUUCUCUCCUGCUGUGCUGAUGAUGGGGCAUGAGAGAUAGUCCAAAGGAUUUGCCUCACGUUGAAGUAUGCAACUGUCUAUGGUUAGCCUUCUCUUUUGUGAUGCAAGCAGCAACCAAGCUCUGCCUUCACUGCAUAAAGAAAUGAUUGAUUCACGAAGCCUGACUUCUUUGAAUUUGAAAGAUUAGAAUCAUUGGAAGAGAAAGAAGAAAAGGUGUAAAUGACAGCGGAAUGCUAUUAUACCAUCUGCCAAGGUAAUGCCAAGUCUACUUGCGAGGUAUUUAUAUCAUAAUUUUUAAAUAUUAGAUUGUCAGCGCAUACCAAGCAAAGAGCUUCGAUUCACAACGAAAUGAAUCCGUGCUAUGGGUUAUCAUCUGAUAUCAUCAUUCAUCAACAAUUAAUCGAAUGGGUUUAUACAUGAAAUGUUUUUAGUUUCUUAAUCAAUAAUUGAAGUUUUUAAUUGGAAGUCAAAUUAUUCUUAGAGAAUAAUAUAAUUAAACUAAACCUUGGUUAAUUGAUUGCUAGCAAAGGUGUACAUUUACAUGGCUUGAAAAUGAAGCUUAUCUUCCAUUUAAUUUUAUCAAAUAAAUUAUUUAUAGAGUAGUUUUGAGUGAUAUAAAUCAAAUAGGAAUUAAAUCAUGUUAAAACAUUUAAUUUUGUUGUCCCUUUAUAUUACAAACAGCAACAUUACGUAUCAUGUUUAUAAAUUCCAAACCACUCAUUUGAAACUAACGCUUUGUAUUUUUUUUAUAAAAUAAAAUAAAUCCUAACACUGAUGUGGACUAAAAUGUUUUUCAUAUAAAAUAUGAGGAUCAAAAAACUUUCAUGAACAUUUAAAAUAUGAUGUGGACUAACAUUUUUUUUUUGUUAAAAUUAGUUCGGUUUGUACUUUCUAGAUCGUUUUGAUGUGCUGAUAUCAAAAAUAAUUUUUAAAAAAUAAAAAAAACAUUAUUGGCAUACUUUUCGGCACGAAAAGCUAUUUGAAAAACAACAACUACCACACUUCCAAACACCCUCACUUAGUAUAAAAAAGAAAUCAUCACGUCGUUAUUUUCCACUCAGUAUAAAAAAGAAAUCACACGCCUUAGAGGAUAAAUAAGCAAUGCGAAAGUUAAAUAAAUUUAUGAAUUACCAGCAUAAUUCACACUAAUUCCCCUCUCUAACUUGCACCUCAUCAAUUUUUAUUCCUUUACUCUCGAACGAAAAUAAUAAUAUUUAAGUUAUUAAACCCAACUCGAAUUAUAAUUCAAGUAGGGGGUUAACAUAAAUCAAUACAAAGUGAUAUGACUUUAGGAGUUUUUUCAAAAAAACAAAUUAAAAUGAUGUGAACUUUUUUAAAUUAAAUUGAGUUUUAAUUGAUCAAAUAAGUUGGAUUACACCAGGUCAAAUUCUAUCCGAUUUAAUUUAAAAUUCAAUCUAAACUCUUAACUUACCUUCAGUCGGGUUUAAUAACAUAUUGACGUAACUUUAGACAAGUUAAGACAUGUUAUUUGUAUAAUCAGACCAAAUUCUCAAUCUUUAUUUAUCAUAAUAACGAUCCAACCCAUUAAUUUUAAAUGGGCCUAUAAAAACUCUAACUUGCCAUAAAAUCAGCAAUUUUACAUCCUAUUUUAUAAAAGACACUCCAACAUAAUUAAUUAAAAUAGUAUUUGAUAUUGUGGUAAUAAUUAUUUUUUAAAGUAUUUUUUAUUUAAAAAUAUAUUUAAAUAAUUUUUAAUUUUUUAAUUUUAAAAAUUAAUAUUUGACAUUACAUAUUAAAACAAUCUAAAAACAUAAUUUUUAAAAAAAGUUAUUAUUAUUUAAGAAAAACUGUAUCACCAUACAAACAAAUCCAAAAACACAAUUUUUUUAAAACAAUUAUUAUUCUUUUAAAAAAAAUUGUAUCACCAUAAAAACAAAUAAUUUCUAAGAGUGACAGUGAGCAACAGAAAUAAACCAUGGCAGAAACUAAAAAUACCUUUAACGGAAACUGUGCUUCGAUUCACAACGUUUUCAUCCUUGACCAAUGCUUGACAGAGUAGACGACGGGUCAGAACAGAGCUACCAGUCCUGCAUUUCUCGAAGGAUAGUUUUGGAAAUGCUCUAAGACCGUGGCCAUUAUGCUGUGUAUGUUUGAUAAUGCAGUGAAUAUAAUUUUAUAAAAAUAUUUUUCAAUUAAUAAAAUAUUUCUUAAAGAAAUUUUCAAUAAUUUUGUUAAGAAAUUUGCGUGGCCAGACAUUUUAAAGAAUGAUGCUAAAUUUGGGGUUACAUAGGCAGCUGCUGGCUCCUCUUGUAUCUUUUGGGUUAAAGGCAUCGUUUGUUUCCUGCCGUUGUCUAUUCUCCGGUCGUAGAAGCUGACUGCAAUCCUCCGACUCUGUUCUCAUAGUCAGAUGCUUCCUCUGUUUUCUCCUGGCAUUAAAAUUACAGCUCACCCUCAAAUCUUAUUGCCUCUGGUCAUUUUCUUGAAUGGUGCUUGGUGUUGUCUUCUAGCGUUUGCAGUAUCGUAAUUUGCUGGAGUUUUUGUAGUAUUUGAAUUGUGGGUGAUUGAGCUGCAGAAUUUGUGCAAUUGAAUUGAAUUUGUGCUAUGGGUUAUCACGCGAUAUCAUCAUUCAUCAACAAUUAAUUGAAUGGGUUUCUACAUUAAAUAUUUUUAGUUUCUUAAUCAAUAAUUGAAGUUUUUAAUUGGAAGUGAAAUUAUUCUUAGAGAAUAAUAUAAUUAAACUAAAUCUUGGUUAAUUGAUUGCUAGCAAAGGUGUAAAUUUACAUGGCUUGAAAAUGAAGCUUCUCUUCCACUUAAUUUUAUCAAAUAAUAUAAUUUUGAAAUAAAUUAUUUAUAGUAGUUUUGAGUGAUAUAAAUCAAAUAGGAAUUAAAACAUGUUAAAACAUUUAAUUUUGUUAUACCUAGGUCCCUUUAUAUUACUAACAACAAUAUUAUGUAUCGUGUUUAUAAAUUCCAAACCACUCAUUUGAAACUAAAGCUGUGUAUGCUUUUUAUAAAAUAAAAUAAAUCCUAACCUUCAUAUGAGGAUUAAAAAACAUUCAUGAAAAUAUAUGAAAAGCUAUUUUUGUCUCUAUGGGCUAGGUACGAUGUAUUCAGGUAUGGAUAUGGGUCUGGGCUUAGGAUGAUAGAUAUGGGUCCAGUAGGAGCACGAUAUUUUUUAAUGGUAAGGAAUGAGCUAUGCCUACCAGGCUGGUUACUCGGUCCAUUCACCUCUCUACCUGAGGCUUGUAUAGUUUAUUGAAAAAAACAAACUUAUAUCGUUUCUUUUAGAAUUCAUUUCUUUAUAAAGCAUGACAAUGUAACCAAAUUUGCAUUAUCUAUAUAAAAUAAAAGAAAAUAUAUAUUUUCACAAAUUCUACCAUAUUGCUCGACCAAAAUAUUUAUUUUUUGUUUCUAUACAUAUUAUAAUUAGUUACAAAUAUAACACCCAAUUUAAUAAAAUCAUAUGAGCAAAAUUCCAGGACUUUCCAUGGACAAAACCCAAUUUAAUAUAUAUAUAUAUAUAUAUAUAUAUAUAUAUAUUUCUCUACAUAUUCAAUAUAUUCAUCUAAAUGUAUUUAUCUGAAUGCUAUAUUAUCUUAUAAUUUAACUGGGACCAAAGAUAAAUGAUAACAUUUAUUUAAAUGCUAUUUAUGAUUGACACACAAAACCCUGUUUUCAUAGUUAAUUGAAGGAUAAUAAAUGGAAGAAUGACAAAUUGCCAGGUGGAAAGUUAUACCUCAUCACAACAAAUACUUUCCAGCCAAUUAAUUAAUGGCGGUUACAACUAAUUACAACAAAUACUCUUCACUUCUUCUCUAUAGUUAUGUUAAUGGUAAGAAAAGGUUGGAUAUUAGAAUUUUGAAAAAUAAAAUAAAAGAUAAGUGAUGUUCAGAUUAGAACUUGAUAUUUGAUAUAAAAUAUAUAUUUUUUAAUUAAACUUUAAUAACAAGUCAUAAAUCAACUCAAAAAUAGUAAAUAUUGUAAAAAAAAAAUGGUAAUAUUAUACACAAAAAAAGAGACUCAUGAAAUGACAUAAAAAAUAGAAUUUUUGUAUAUUUUUAUCUAUUCAUGAACUUGAACAUGAUUUAUAUUUAUAUAAUCAUACAUUUUAAUUGGAAAAUAAUCAAUAAAGGAAGAAAGAAUCGACUUUAAACAAAUAAAAAGAAAAUAGAAGAUGAAAUAUAAAUCACGUAAGAAUUAAGUCUUCUCGAAGACUAGCUUAAGAGUAAGAAAGAGGCAAAAUCUAUAGGAAUUUAAUUAAUAAAUGUUUCAUGCGUGUUGUUUCGAAUUGUAUAAAUAUAAAGAAAAUACAUUUAUACAUAUUAUAUUAUAAUGAAUAUAUUUUUCUGUGCAAAAUUGUUAUUAUUUUUUCAAAUCAAACCCCCGGUUUGAGUAUUGAGCAUAAAAAGAAUUUGGAUUGUUGAAUCAUUUAAACAAUUAGUGGAUCGCCAAUGAAUCAUUUUAUUAAAAUGAUAUUUUGCUUUUUUAUAAAAAAAUUUAUUAAUAUUGAUUUAACUAAGUUUGUAUCAGAUUUUACCAAAUCAAAUAAAUCAUUACAAAUUCAAUUGAGUAAUUAAGAUUUUAUCUUAUCAAUGUUUUUUUCUAAUUCAAUUUUAAACCUGGUUAAUGCCAGGAUCUGGAGGAUGUGCUUCCUAUAUCAAAUCACCAUGCAGGGAAGAGUUUAAACAUUUUUCAUUUUUCCUAUAUCAAAAAAUUACAUUUCUUAGCAAAACACACGAGUUAUAUAUAUAUAUUUAAACAAAUUACAAAUAAUCUAAUCAAUUGAUUAAAGUUGUGACACCUUAUAGUACGUAGACGACUAUAUAAUACUAUAAGAUAUUUAACAAUAUUUAUUUUUAUGAAGAGUAAUAUGUUGCUUGUCUAUGUAAUUUCUCUUUUAAAUUGGGUUUAAUUUCAAAAUCAACGUGUAACUUUGUACGUAGGGGCAUGUCAUGGGCAGUGUUGGACCAAAUUCUCAAUCUUUAUUCAUAGAGGUGGAUCAUGAUCGAGAUUCGAGCCUAUUAAUUUUAAAUGGAUCUACAAAACCUCUAUUCGGCCAUAAAAAAUAAAAUCUCAGGUGCCCAUCAAUGAUAGGAUCUAUUUUGUAAAAGACAUUUCAACAGUAUUAAAAUAAUGUUUAGUAACGUGAUAUCUGAUAUUUUUAAAAAUAUUUUUUUAUUUAAAUUAUAUAUUUUUAAAAUUUAUAUUUAAUAUUAUUAUAUUAAAAUAAUAUAAAAAUAUAAAAAUAUAUUUUUAAAAAAAAUCUUGGUGUCAAAGUGAGUGAAUAAAAAAAAUAAAUCAUGGCAGAAACCACGAACACCUUUAACAGCAAUGUCGUUUCAGUUUGACAGAGUUGUGUUAAAAAAAAAAUUCCUUCAAUUUGUAUUGACUUUUUAAUGUUUUAAGUUUACAGUGCUCCUAUAUAUAAACAGAGAAGAUGUUCUUAAAAACUAUGGAUUCCUGCUAUAAACAGGACUUAUACAAAUGUGGAAUAAAUCAAUUACUAAACUAUGGAAUAGGACUUAUACAACUGUGGGAUAAAUCAAUUACCAAACUUUUUCUUACAAACUCUCAACUAAAUCACUUUGUAAUUAUACUAACACUUUGAGUCAAGUUAGUGCAAAGAUAUCUUACCCAACUUGUCAAGGGAGCUCUGAAAGUUUUUGCUGAAGACAACUUUUGUAAAGAUAUUCGUGAGCUGAUUCUUUGAUUUGACAAAUGAAAAGUUAAUCACUUAUUAUUUAAGAUUUUGUUUAAUAAAAUGUUUGUCUAUUUCAAUAUGUUUCGUGUGAUCAUGUUAAAUUGGGUUAUAAAAUAUUUUAAUGGCAGCUUAAUUAUCACAGUAUAGGUUCGUUCUUGAUUUGGGAGCAAAACCAAUUUCUGAUAAUAAUCUUCUGAGCUAAAGCAGUUUACGUAGUCCUUUUACCGUCCCUUGAAACUCAACCUCUGUGCUUGACAAGGUAGCUACUUUUUAUUUCUUGCUUCUCCAUGUGACUAAAUUGCCACCAAUAAACGUGAAGUAUGCUCAUUAAUCUCAUGCAUAUUUUGAUUAUUUUGUUGAAUAUUUUAAUCAGGUUUAUGAUAUGGAUUCUUAUAAUAAAAUUUUCAUUUAAUUUUUUUAUUUUCAUGGGGGGUUUUAAUGUAGGGAACAUAGGAAGUGUAAAGGUGGCAACUUUUUUGCUUUAUUUUAUACCGUAUUUAAAGCCAGUGCCUUUGAGGUUUUAUGGCAGCCCAUCAACAAUAUUCUUAGUAGGAUCUUAUCAUUUAUGGUACUAGCCUGUUGGGCCUCCCUUUUCAUUAUUUUAAGCGUAGUUGCCACCCAUCUUUCUGUGGCUCCAUGUUCAUUCUCCAAACCAUUCAUAUAGGUAUCUUAAAUAGUGUAGCUGGAGCUUUACUGGGUAUGCUUUUUAAUAUAUUUUUAAGUAAAAUAUAUUUUUAAAAAUAUUUAAAAAACAAACAUUACUGUACUUUCAAAAACAUAAUCCUCUUGUAUCUGACGCUUUAAAUUCCAACAAUGAGUUACUGAUUAGAUAAUAUCUACAUUCAAUUAAAAAUAUAAUUUCUUGACAGCGAAAUAAAGAAAAAAGUAGCAACCCUGUAAUAUCUAGGUAAUUUCUAUGCUCUUUAAAUUAGGCCUCUAAACUGAGACUGUAAUGAGCCCAUGACAGAGGAAGACAUGAAAGUGUAAUUUCAGAAGACCAUUAUUCAUAUAACAAAUUUAGUAAAUUUAGUAAACUCGUAAAGUUAAACCGAUUUUACUAAUUCUGUACUAGUUAGAUUUGAUUUUAUUAAUUUUAAAUUUUUAGUUAGAUUUAGUAUGUUAAAUAUAUAUUAACUUAAAUUUUACUAAUAACUCAUAAUUUUAACAACCUUGCUUGUAAUAGCUCUUGUGGUGGUUGAUGUUUAAAAAAGAUAAUUGAGAAAUUAUUUUCACUCGUGACUUUUUUGAUUUAAAUAAGUAUUGAAUUAAAAAUAUUUAAUUAAAAUUAUUGUUUUAAUUUAAUUACCACAAAAGAUACUGGUGAAGGUGGAGAGGAUGCAAAAGAUGAUUGGGUAUCCUAUUAAUCGUCAAAACAUCAACUAUUGUGGUCAAUUCUGCUGACUGCUGAGACUAAAAGCCAACCACUUGAAUAAUGGGCAUUAGCUGUUUAGCACUCCUUGGUAAACACUUCAGGCUCCUUUCCCGCCCCUUUCCUCGCUGGUUCCUUAAUAGCUUCAAGGGGUGCGAGCGCCUCGUUCGAGGAUUGAGCAUAAAGGACUAAAAGAGUUCAAUAAAUACUAAAAGACAUAAAGUGAAGUUUUUAUAAUAUUCAUAGCAAUGGUCAUCAGCUAAUUUAUAAUUUAUUUAUCUACUUUAUCAAUGAAAUAAAAGUGAUAAAAGAAAAGGAGAGAAGAAAUAAAGUGAAGUCUUCUUCUGCAUUAUUAGCACAUCACGUGAAAAUAAAGAAUGGCAUAUAAUAAAAGUUAUUCCAAUCAAACCUCCUUUUUCAACCGAUGGGGUCUCUUGUCAAAUAAAGCAAGGACAGACCGAGUAAGAUGUGGGACCUAACUGCACUUUCCUGGCACGCGUAGUUCACGCAUACACAAGCACAUUCAGAAUAGUAUUCAAUUUAAAAACACAAAAAAAAAAUAAAGGAAUAAAAGAAGGAAAAGUGAUCAAAGAAGAAGAGAGAAGAAAUAAAGUGAAGUCUUCUUCUGCAUUAUUAGCACAUCACGUGAAAAGAAAGAUACAAACAAGAUUACUCCAUUUUCCAGUCACUUUUUCAACCGAUGGGGCUUCUUGGCAAAUAAAGCAAGGACAGACCGAGUUGAUGCGCUACGUAACUCCUUUUUCCUGGCCCGCGCAAUUCACGCAUACACAAACACAUCCAGAAUAAUAUUCAUAAAAUUAAUUAACAUCCCGUAAAAAUAUACUUUAAUUUAGAAAAGAUUUUAAAAUGUUAUUUUUCAAAUUAAUAAUAACAAAAUUUUAUAUUAAAUUGGUUCGCUUAAGUUAACCUAUUAGAUUUAUAAUUCAGGUUAUGAAAUUAUAAUACCUAGUUCACAAAUAACCAAAUAUGGUGAAGUUUUUCCAAUCAAACCCUUUUUUUUUUUUAAGAUGUAAUUUCUAGAAAAAUAAAUCAAAGACAAACAGAGUAAAAUUUCAAAAAAUAGAGAAAGAUGGAAAAUCCCACCAAUAUUUAACCCACUUAAAUUGAGUCCAAAUCAUAAAAGCAUCUACAAAGAGUGUGUUAAAUGAAAAGUUAAAAAUUAAAAAAUAUAUAAUUUUGACUCUUUCAUGUUUAUUUUACACACUUCAAAAAAAUAUUAAAUAAAAUAUUAAAAUAUUUUUUUUUCUUAUAAAUACUAUUUCUAAAUAUCUAUCAAAAAAACCAAUACUAAAAAAAUAGAGUCAUCAAAAAAUAAACCAAUUAAAUAUAAUUAUAUGAAAAAAUAUAUUUUAAAUAGUGCAGCCUGAGCUUAAUGGUUAAAAUAAUUUUAUAUUUUUUAUAAUUGUUAACAUCAACACAUUAAAAUCAUUAAAAAUAUUAAAAAAUCAAUAAUUUAAUAUAUUUUUAAAUAAAAUAUAUUUUUUAAAAAAACAUAUAAAUUACUACUAUUAUUUCAAACACACAAUCCUAUUCCAUCUUAAAAUCUGAGCUAUUAGGAUAGUAAAGUUAAUUCGUUAAAUUUACAAUUGUGGUGGUGGGAUAUUAAAAAAAAUCUUAUAUUAAAAUUAAAAAUUUUAAAAAUUCUUGAAUAAAAAAACAACAAAACAAUUAUUCAGGUAAUUGUAUAAAAUAUAAUAAUAUAAUGUAUAAUUUAUAAUUGAUUUAUUUACCUUAUCAGUCUUCUGCUGCAUGAUCACAUCACGUGAAAAGCUUGGCAUUUAGUGAUGUUUUUCCAAUCAAACCUCCUUUUUUCAAAGAUGGAAUCUCGAGGUAAAUAAAUCAAAGACAAAACCGAGUAAAAUGGAGUCCAGAGCAUAAAAGAAUCUCCAAUGAAGCUGCUAAAUGAAUAACUAAAAAUAAUAAUAAAAAAAAAAUUGUUUUUGUUUGUUUUUUAUAUUUCAAGAAGAAAAUCAAAUAAAUCGUUAAAAUAUUUUUUUUUCACAUAAAUAUUAUUUUUAUAUAUCUCUCAAAAAAAUCAAAAUUAAUAAAAUAAAACCAACAAAAAAAAGCCAAUUAAAUCUAGGUAUCUAGAAAAAAAUAACUUUAAAAUCAUUAAAAAAAAAAAAUGUUUAUUUAUUUCACUUUAUCUCGAAAAACAGUAACUUUAAAAUCAUUAAAAAAAAUAAAAUGUUUAUUUAUUUCACUUUAAUAGAAUUGGCUUUUCAAUGUAUUUUUUCUAUUGGAAUAUAUAUUGUAAAAAAAAUAUAUUUAUAUUAUUUAAAAUACUAUUUUAUUAGUUUAUUUUUUUAAAAUAAUAUUUUUUAUUAAAGAUACUCCAACAAGGGCCGAGAGAGCAAAGGCUUUUACGAGUUCUGUGUUCCGUAUACUUCUCAAGGGGAAAAAAAUAAUGUUUUGUUAGAGAUUUGUUUUUGAUAGAAUUGUUAGCGAUCUUAGCCGAUGCAUCUGGAUUAUAAUUUUUAGCAUUUAUACUAUUUUAUAGCGCUAAUAUCUUAAAAAAACUUAUUUUCUAGCUUUUUUUUCAUGGUAUAAUAAAAUAUUAAAAAAUAUUUUUCAACUCAUUAUCCUUAAUACAAUUAAAUUUCAUAGAAUAGUCUAUUUUUUAGAAAUAUAGUUUACUAUGAGAUUUAUUGGAUAAAAGAAAUUCACUUUGUAACAAUGCACUAGAAACUAAAAAAAAAUAAGCUAAUGAUCAUUUAAAAAUAUAGUAUAUUGGAAUCAUCUUGCUGAAUAGGUGAGUUUGGGAGUUUGGUUGCUUAACAGGCGAGUGAGGGUUAAAUGUAUCCAAUUAAAUAAUAUCUACAUUCAAUUAAAACUUAUGGUACAAUUACUUGACAGCAAAAUAAAGAAAAGCAGGAACCCUGUAAUAUCUAGGAAAUUUCUAUGCUCUUUGAAUUAGGUGCCCAAACUAAGGCUAUAAUGAGCCCUGAAUUUACACAGAAGAAAUUUCAUGGGAAAUGGGUUGAUGUCAGAGGCAGACACGGAAACGUAAUUUCAGAAGACUAUGACUCAAAUCAGUGGCUGAAAUCCAAUCACUCAAGGGAUGGUGACACGUUGUCUUGAGUGGGAGACAACUGGUCUUCAGUACAAAGAGAAACAACGUUUUUUUUUUAUUAUUAUUAUUAUUAUUAAAAGCGAGUGUACGAGUUACUUCCAUGUUUUUUAAUUAAUUUUAAAAUUAAUAAUUAUAUAAAUUUUUAAUAAUUAUAAAAAAGUUUAAAUUCAUGAAAAGAUUUGAAUUCAUAAUUAUUAAAAUACAAAUAUAUUUUCCUGAGUGUCUUUGCUCUCGUGACAGCUCACGAUGGUGGGGGGUUUAAAAAAAAAUUUAAAAAAUAUUUUUACUUGUGAUUUAUUUAAUUUAAAUAAGUAUUUAAUUAUAAUUAUAAUUAACGAUAUAUUGUAACUAAAAUUACUAUAAAAAAGAACAUAGUGAAGGUGGAGAGGAUGAGAAUAAUGAUUGGAUAUCUUAAUAAUUGUAAAAAGAAAGUAUUUUUUUAUGGUGAAGUUAUUUGUAUAUGAGAAAAGACUGAGUUUUGUAGCUCAGAAAAAAUAAACAUGUUGAUAUUGCUUUUUAAUAACCCAUGAAUGGACCGUAAAUUGCAACGGGUUCACAAACACAAACAUGUGCUUCACAUGUAACCAAACUUAUUGUUAUCUGCAUUAAAAGCAAAAGAUGCUAAAAACACACACAUUUGAUCGUUGAAGAUGUUUUUAAAUUGUUUUCUUAAUUAUUUUUCAUUUAAAAAAAUAUGAAUCAAAGAAGUUUAAUAAUUAUAAUUAUUAAAUAUUUUGAAAUAAAAUGAUCCAUCUAUAUUAAAAAAAAACAUCAUUCCCACGUGUGGAAGAUAAAAUUAAUCAACCUAAUCUUAUUGGAUUGCAUUUUAUUAAAUCAAACCAUCAGUAUCUUUAAUGCAGGAUAUUUUUGUUUUUCCAAUUCAAGUAUACUUUUUAAUAUAAUAAAUUUUUUUAACCUAUUUUUUUAUUAUUAUUUUAGUAUCAUUUUGUUAUUUCUAAUAGUUUGUGGUUACCAGUUUAGUCCUGAAUUCAUUAUUAGAACCAUCAAUUUUAAAAAUCAAUGUAAGUUGAUUUUUAUUAUUUUUUAUUUUUUAAAAUUAAUUUAUUAAAAAAAAAUUCCAUGAUUUCUUUUUAAGAGACUAACCCUUCAUCGACAAACACUAAUGUACCCUGAAAAACAUAAUCUUAUUACAUCUGACGCUUUAAAUUCCAACAAGGAGCACCUACACAUCGAAAUAAAGAAAAGUACUGAGUGCCUUGGCGGUGGGAGGAGCUCUGCUCCUGAGUUCGAGUGUUUACAUGUAUAUCUAUCAUUCUCGUGGUGUUUUAUAUAUCUAUUGGGUUUAUAAAGUAUUCAGUGGGAUUAGUUGUGGUGCGCGCAAACUGACCCGAACAUCCAAAUAAAUAAAUAAAUAAAGUAGAAACCCUGCAUGUGGGAAAUUUUUGUUAGGCCUCCAAUCUGAGGCUGUAACGAGCCCUGGAUCUACACACAAGAAAUUUCAUGGGAAAUGGGUUGAUGUCAUAGGGAGACAAGGAAGCGUACUUUCAAAAGACCAUGAGACAAAUCAACGGCUGAAAUCCAAUCACUCAAGGGAUGGUGACAUGUUACCAUGAGUGGGAGACUGCUAGUCUCCAUCUAAAUGUUUAAAGAUGACUGGGUAUCUUAGUAAUUGUAUAACAAUUGAUUUUUUUUGCUGAAGUUGUCGGUGUGGAUGAGAAAAUACUGAGUUUGUAGCUUAGUAAAAACAUGUUGAUGUUGAUGUUACUUUUUAUUAGCUCAUGGUUGGCCCGUAAAUUAUAAUGGGUCCCACAAUCACAAACCUAUGAUUCACAUGUAAUUUAUGUUUUACAACUUAUUUUUAAAAUUAUUUUUUAUAUAUAUUUUUAUACCAUUUUUAUUUUAAAAAUUUUAAGUUUAAAAAAUAUUAUUUUAAUAUAUUUUUAAAUAAAAAAUACUUAAAAAAAAAAUUAAUAUCAGACACAGUGAAUGUUUUAUAAAAUUUUACAAUCGCUUUUACAUUUUGUUUAGAUCACAUUUGAAAAUGCGGUACACUACAAUAAAGUCCGUUAUAUGAUUAAGGGUAUGUUUGGUAUUGCGGUUGCUGUUGUGAUUGUAAUUAUGGUUUUAAAAAAAAUUGUUUUAUAAAAAGUAAUUUUAGUUGAGGUUGGUUUGAAAAAAUAUAUGUUUGGUUAAAACUGUAGUUGAAAUUGAGGUUGAACAAAAAAUAGUUUAAUGUGUUUGGUUAAAAAAAUGUUUUUCAAAUUGAUGUUAUAAAAUCAUUAAUAUAUAUAUAUACUAAUAUUAAUUAUUUUUAAUUUAAAUAUUGUAGAUUUAACUACUGUUAUUACAUCAUGAAAUAAAUAAUAUUAAUAUCAAAUAUUUUUUAUUAUUAGAUUAAAAUAUAUGUAAUCUCAUUACAUAUGAAAUCUAUCAAACAAGGACUAUAUUUUUCAUGGUUUCUUAAGCGUGCAACAACAAAAACUGAUUUUUUAAAUUUAUAUAGUGUUAUUAAAUAAUAAAGAUUGUGAUAUAUUUAUUAUUGAAAUUGCGAUCAAAUUUCAUAAAUGCUACGUCAUCAUGCGAUAUCUUUCUAAUUUAUAUAGUGUUAUUAAAUAAUAUUAAAUACUAGUUUUUCGAGUAAAACAAUUUAAAAAAAUAUAUAUAAUUUCACUACGUACAAAAGUUAUUCGACAAAAACUACAGUUUUCAUGAUUUUUUGAGCAUGUAAUAAAAUUAGGUAAAAUAUUAUCACGAAUAAAAUUGAGAUUACAGUACGAGUAAAUUUAAUUCACCUUAAACUAAUUUUUUUAAAAAAAAUAUCGUUUACUAUUAACUGCACUGGUUUUUUAGGGGGGAAAAUAAACUUUGCUCACCGGUUUUUUUUUUUAAAAAAAUAAAUAAAUAAACUUUUCUUACAGAUUUUUUCUUUUUUUAAAAAAAGAAGACAUGGUGACAAUGGAGCCAUGCUCCACUGUUAAGUGGUUGUUACCCACGAGAAGCAGUAAAAAUAACGUGGACCCUAUCAAGCAAAAUCAAUCUUGCUUGAUUACCAAACAUUAAAAUAUGUGGCUGCGAGUAAACUCGCCACACUACCAAACAACAUCUAAAGUCUUUAAUUGUCUUGCAUUUAUCUUUAAAACUGCUAUAAGAAUUAAUUAAUUGUGUCAAUUCAAUUCUUUCGAUUGACAUUGAUGCCAAACAUGUUAAUUCAUGAUAUAAUUAAGCAAUUCAAUACAAAUUUACUAAUAUAAUUUAUUUCGGCUUAAACCUUUGAAUAAAGCAAAAUGCAGAGGUUGUGAAAGUGAAAUACCUUAAUAAUUUUUAUGCUUUACAACUCUAGGAGCCACACAAAAUAUAAUGCGUUUGUUACUAUUUAUUUGUUAAAAAGUAUUUUUUUUAUUAAAAAAUGAUUUUUUAAAAAAUAAAUUGAAAAAUAUUUUUUAAUAUUUGAUUAUUUUAUAUAAAACAAGCCAAAAAAUAUUUUUUUAAUUUUCUUCUCAAAUUUAUUAAAAGAAUAAGAAACAAAUAUUUCAAAUAAAAAUAUUGAAGGAAGAUGAAAUUAAAAAAUAUAUAUAUUUUUAUAAAUUAUUUUAAAUAAAAUAAAUAAUAAUUAGAAGAAUAAGAAACAAAUGAAAAAUUAAAAAAUUAAAAAAAAAUAAAACAGAAAUAAAUAAUAAUCAAAAUAAAAAAUUAAUACAAAAAUAAUAUUAAACCAAUAAUUUAAUUUAAAAAAAAACAAAAUAUAAUUUAUAAUUUAUAAUUUAUUUAUUUGCUUUAUCAAUGAAAAGUGAUGGUAGGAGGGAGAGAGAGAGGAAAUAAAGUGAAGUCUUCUGCUGCCUGAUCACAUCACGUGAAGAGCUUGGCAUUUAGUGAAGUUUUUCCGAUCAAACCCACUUUUUUCAAAGAUGGAAUUUAUUGGAAAAUAAAUGAAAGACAAACCGAGUAAAAUGGAGUCCAGAGCAUACAAGAGCCGAGAUUGAAACAGGAAAUGCAAGAAAAAGAAGAUGGGCCCUUGUUUUCUCUUUUUACGGCCGGCGACCGGAUAUAAAAAGGGAGGAGAUGAAGCUUUCAAAUUAUUUUCAAUUUUGCGGUCACUUAUUGUGUCCAUGUCAUUUUGUGUAAUUGCCCAGCUACCGGUACUAUUUUAACACUGUUAAAAGUCUAAAUCAUCAAUAUUUCCCCAAUUUAUCUCUAAAAAAAAUUCACUUCAAUUAAUAGCAUUUUUUUAUUAUUUCUUAUGUCAAUGUUUACCUCUUUUUGAUAAACUCGUAUAUUUUUGUACCAGAGGUCUAAAAUUAUUCUGUCCACUUAUUACUUAUUUAAAUUUAUUAGAAUGUUUUAAAUAACUUUUUUAAAUUUUAAUCCCAGAGUUUACAUGCAUAAUACAUGAGUUAUAUAAAUUAUGAUUCAAAAUAUUGUUAUAACUAAAUUAAAAGAAAAAUUCAGAGUUAAUUUCUUGAAUAUUAAGUUUUCUGAUUUUUCUAUAUAAUUAAUUUUUUAAGUUGAUUUGAUUAGUAUUAUUAUACUUUUCUCAUUCUCGAUAAAAGAAAAAAGAAAAAACCAGAAGAGUAUUUUCUUUCUAUUGAAAAUAUUUGUGGUUAGAAGAAAGUAAUUUUCACUGGAGUGUCGUUUUGGGAUGCAACAUGAACUUGACCUGUCUAAUUUGUACGGCAUGAGAAGAUGUUGCUUUACAUGGCUUCCUCCUUAAAAAAAUUCCAUCACAUUUGAGAAUUUUGUUAUAAAAAAGAUAUCUCUUUUAAAGAAGAAAAGUGAUACCUAAAAUUUAUAAAUGAUCUAAACUCUUAAUUUUUAAUCGAUGUAAAAUGUUAGAGUAUCAUGUUCCUGAAAAAAUCUUUCUAAGUGUAUAAUAUGUUGCAUUUGGGGCAAAAUUAAUAGUUUUGAAUGUUUUUAUUACUGAAACUUUUUUUUUUCUCAACCUCUUUUUCUCUCUCUUCUUGUCAAAUACAAAAGGUUUUUUUUUUAAUUUUUUAAAUAAUUUUAUUUUUAUUUAUUUUAUUUUUAUCUUUUGUAGAUUUGUUUUUUUAUUUAUUUUGUUUUUUAUCGUUUGAUUUUAUUUAUUUUUUUAUUAAACAUUAACUUUAUUUUUAUUUAUUAUUUUUUUAAUUAAACAUCCUUUUUAAUUUAUCUCUUAAUAUUUAAUUUUAAUAUCAAAUUUAAUUAGUCCUAUUUUAUCUUACACUUUAAAUUCCUACAAGUACCCGAUCAAACAAUAUCUGCAUUCAAUUAAAACUUAUGGUACAAUUACCUCAUAGCGAAAAAAAAAAAAAAGUAGAGACCAACUAAGAAAUUUAUGUGCUGUUCCCAGCUAUGUUGCUGACAUUGGACAAGAGAGACUUCUUCAGCCACCGAUAAAAUUAUUUUUGUUGACUUUUUGUGCAGUUUGUCACUUUGCUUCGAUCUUUCUCUCUUUGCACCACAAACACUUGGACAUGGUAGAUACCAAGCACGGUUUUGCUGUCAAUGUACGAUACCAUAUUUGACAAUAUCUUUUUUUUUCUUUUUUCUUUUUUAUGAAGAGUAGUAUGUUGGUUAUCUAUGUAUGUUUUUUAAAAAAUCACAUAUAUAUUUAUCUAAAAUUAUUGAUAUUUAAAAAAUUACAUUAUUUUUUUAAUAAUUCGUUCCGCUGUUCUUUUAGAAUUAAGCGAAUAUUAUGCAAAGCUUCAAGUUUUGUGUAAUUGUUUUUAAUACAAGAGAGUUUAACCAUUUUAAAAUGUUUAAUGAGUUAUUUAAAAUAUUGAAAGUAAUGUACAAUAACUAAUUUAUAAUUUUAUCAUUGCUCUUGCUUUAUUAUAGGUCAAGUCAAGAUUUUCUUAAAAAUAAAAAAUUAUUUAAAUUGUGAAUGUUUUAAUUUAUUCUGGUAAAACAAAUUUAAAUUGUGUGGUGAUUUAACUUGAUUGAAUUUGUAGUUUAAAAAACAAUCUAGAUAACCAGUAAAAAUAUAAUUUAACUCGUAAAAAAUUUCAAGAUUACAUAUAUUUUUUUAAUAUUAAGAUAACAACAAAUUAAUUGAUUUGGGUCAACUCAAUUUAACUUAUUAAAUUCAUAACCCGAGUUAUGAGAUUAUGAUAACCAUGUAGAAAAUAAAUUAUUAAGUCUAAUUCUCAACUACCAAAUAUUAAAAGAUAAAAUUAAAAUAAAUAAAUAAACCAUGUGGAGAUUGAUUCGAUGUGACUUAAUUGAUUUAGCUUGUUCAAAAACAACCCGGAUAAUCAGUAAAAAUAUAAUCUGACUUAGAAAAAAAUUCAAGAUGAUACUUUUUUUCCAAUACAAAGAUAAUAAAGUAAUAGAUUGAAUUGGGUUAACCAGAGUUAACUUGUUAAAUUUUUUAUCUGGGUAUAAGACUGUGAAAUCUAAUUCCUAUUCAACUAAAUAUUUAAUGGUAUAAUUGAAAAAUAAAAUCAAUUAAAAAAUGAUCUAAAAAUAUGAACAUAAUUAACAUGUCAAGUUCAUAACCUAUGUUAUAAUAAAGAUACAAUCUUAUAGAAAAAAAAAAUCAAAAUAAAUUAUGAAGUUCAAUCUUAAAUAACCAAAUUUUAAAAGAUAAAUUUUUUUAAAAAGAACGUAAAAAUGACCCGAGUAAAUCCACCAAACUCAUAACUCGUUAUGAGAUCGAGAUAAUCUUAUAUAAAAAAAAAUUACAUGAUUUAACUCGUCAAAUCUAUGACUUUGGUAACAAGACCAAGACAACCUCUUAAAGAGUAAAUAAAAAUAAAUUAAAAGUGCAAUCCCUAAUUGACCAUGUCAAACUCGAUGUGAAUGAUGCAAUUUCUAAAAAUUUAAAUUAAAAAAUAACAUAAAAAAUAAUUUAGACCAACCCGUCAAGCAUCAUUAUUAGAUUACGAGGCUAGGAUAACAUAAUAAAAAUAAAAUCAAAACAAACCACAAAGUCUAAAUUCUAAUAAAAUAUAUUAUUAAAUAAUAAAAUUGAAGAAAAAAAAUUAAUUAAAAGAAAUUCGAGUCAAUUAGGCUAACUUGCUAAGCCUGUGAGUUAGGUUAUAAAACAAAAAUAACCCAAUAAAAAGUAAUUUCACUAUUGAAGGACUCGUGAUCUACGUCAUGAAAUCAACAUAACCUCUUACAAACAAAAUAAAAAAAAAACAACUCAAUUUAAUUUGGAUUAAAAUGUCAAAACCUCCACCUCUAAUCAUAAAACUAGGAUAAUUAUAUAGAAAAUAAUUUGAAAUAGAUUAUGAAAUUCCAUUCCCAACUGACAUUAUAUCAAAUGAUAAAGUUAGAAAAAAAAUUCAAUUAAAAAAAUAUAAAAUAUAACCCGAGUCAAUUUAGGCUAAUAUGUUAAGUAUUAUUUCCAAUUUAUGAGGUUAGAAUAAUCUAAUACAAAACAAAUAAAACAAAAUAUGAAACUUAAUUUUUAAUUAAAAGAUAAAAUUGUAAAAAAAAUUUAAUUAAAAAAAAUCAAGUUAAGUGAGUGAAUCCAUUAAAUCUACAAUUUUUAUUAUAAAAGUGAGACAACUUAAUAAAAAUAAAUUAAUAUUAAAAUAAAAAACAUUCAAUAAAAAAAACACUCAUUCAGAUAAUUGUAUAAAACAUAAUAAUAUAAAGUAUAAUUUAUGAUUUAUUUAUUUAUUUUAGCAUUUAGUGAAGUCUUUCCAAUCAAACCCCUUUUUUUUUUUUAUAAUUUAUAAAAAAUAAAAAUAUUUUAUUUUAAUAAAUGUUUAAAUAAAAAACAAUAAGAGACAACCGUGACCACUUAAAUGGACUCCUAAGCACACCAAGUUAAGAGUUAAAGAGCCGAGAGAGAAAAAGCUUUUGCCAGUUCUUUACACAUUCUUUCCCCUUCUGUCACCUGAACAAAAUCCCCUCUUCUUCUUCUUGUUUGUUUACUCUUCCUUCGUUACUUUGCAAAGAGGAGAAACCAUGGCCGGGGCUUUAGUAGGAGGAGCUUUUCUUUCUUCUUUCCUUAAUGUUUUGUUCGACAGGAUGGCCUCUCCCCAGGUGAUUGCCUUCUUCAGAGGCCAAAAAGUCAACGAUAGUAGUCUGCUGCAGAACUUUGAAGAAAACAAUGACAUCUCUCAGGGUGGUGCUUGAAGAUGCUGAGGAGAAGCAGAUAACAAGUUUAACUGUGCGGGAUUGGCUGGUCGAUCUUAAAGACGCUGUCUAUAACGCCGACGACUUCUUGGAUGAGAUUGCUUAUGAAGCUCUACGGCAGGAGUUGGAAGCUGAAGAGCAAACCUUCACAGGUCAGACGCAGAAGCUUCUUUCUUUCAUUAACCCACUUGAAAUACUGGGGUCGAGAGAGAUCGAAGAAAAAAUAGAAGUCCUUUUGCAGGAUCUAGAUCCCUUAGUUGCAGGAAUGGCAGCCCUUGGUUUGAACAACCGCAAUGUAGAAAAUCCAUCAUCGCAUAGAACACCAACAACUUCUCUCGUGGAUGGAUCUGGUGUUUAUGGCAGAGAUGAUGACAGGGAAGCAAUACUGAAGUUGCUUCUAUCAAAGGAUGCAAAUGGAGGAAACCCUGGUGUCGUCCCCAUUAGGGGAAUGGGCGGGGUUGGUAAAACCACGCUUGCUCAGCUUGUAUACAAUCACAGAAGAGUACAGAAGCGGUUCGACCUCAAAGCUUGGGUUUGUGUUUCAGAAGAUUUCAGUGUUUUGAAGUUAACCAAGGCGAUCCUUGAGGGGUUCGGUUCAAAGCCUGCUUCUGAUAAUCUGGAUAAGCUCCAGCUUCAGUUGAAGGACAGAUUGGAGGGAAAGAGAUUCUUGCUUGUUUUAGAUGACGUUUGGAAUGAAGAUUAUGCUGAGUGGGACAAGUUGCUUACCCCCCUGAAGUACGGAGCACAAGGGAGUAAGAUUCUUGUCACAACACGCAAUGAAAGUGUAGCAUCAGUCAUGAGAACUGUUCCAACUCAUCAUCUAAAAGAAUUGACGGAAGACAGCUGCUGGUCCUUGUUUGCCAAACAUGCAUUUCGUGGUGAAAAUCCCAAUGCUCAUGAAGAGUUGCUAGAGAUUGGAAGAGAAAUAGUGAGAAAGUGUAAAGGCCUUCCUCUAGCUGCGAAAACACUCGGAGGUCUGCUACGCACCAAAAGAGAUGUCGAGGAGUGGGAGAAGAUAUUGGAAAGCAAUCUAUGGGAUUUACCCAAAGACAAUAUCCUCCCAGCUUUGAGAUUAAGUUAUCAUCAUCUCCCGUCACAUCUGAAGCAAUGUUUUGCUUAUUGUGCCAUAUUUCCAAAAGACCAUGAAUUUCAAAAGGAUGAAUUAGUGCUCUGUGGAUGGCAGAGGGCUUCUUAGUCCCUCUGCAGUAGAUGAUGAGAUGGAAAAGCAGGUGCUGAGUGCUUUGAUGAUCUCUUGUCAAGGUCGUUUUUCCAGCAAUCAAGUGCCUCGCUCAUCAUUUGUGAUGCACGAUCUCAUGCAUGACUUGGCUACCCAUGUGUCCGGUCAAUUUUGCUUCAGCUCCAGGUUGGGGGAAAAUAAUUCUUCCAAGGCCACAGAAGGACUCGACAUUUAUCACUCGUAGUAGAUACGGGAAGGGUUUUUCAAGCACAAAAUUAGAAAACAUCCGUGAAGCCCAACUUCUACGCACAUUCCAACUUUUCACGCUAUUGUUGUCCUCCCGAAUUUAUAAUGAGAUCUUUCAGUCAACACUUGGGCGCCUACGAGUGCUAAUCAUGACUGGUUGUAGAGAUCAACUUGUUAUGUUCAACUAGCAAGUUGAAGCAUUUGCGGUAUUUGGAUCUCUUCGGUCAGAUUUAGUAACGUUGCCUGAAGAAGUGAGUGCUCUUCUCAAUUUGCAAACGUUGAUCUUGAAAAUGCAAACAACUUGCUAGUCUACCUGAUCUUGGAAAUUUGAAGCACUUACGACAUCUGAAUCUUGAAGGAACAAGGAAUCGAAAGGUUGCCUGAAUCUCUGGAAAGGUUAAUCAACUUGCGGUAUCUUAACAUCAAGCACCCUUUGAAAGAGAUGCCACCACAUAUAGGUCAACUGGCAAAGCUCCAAACGUUGAAUUAUUUUCUCGUGGGAAGACAGAGUGAGACUAGCAUUAAAGAAUUGGGAAAGCUACGACAUCUACGGGGAGAACUUCAUAUUGGGAACCUUCAAAAUGUGGUGGAUGCUCGGGAUGCUGGUGAGGCAAAUUUGAAAGGUAAAAAGCACCUUGAUAAGCUGAGGUUUACAUGGGAUGGUGACACUCAUGACCCGCAACACGUAACAAGCACACUUGAGAAAUUAGAGCCAAAUAGAAAGCUGAAGGAUCUUCAGAUUGAUGAUUAUGGAGGUGUAAGGUUUCCAGAGUGGGUAGGAGAGUCCUCUUUCUCAAAUAUAGUGUCCUUGAAGCUCAAUGGAUGUACAAACUGCACCUCCUUACCACCGCUCGGGCAAUUAUCUUCUUUAGAGGAUCUCUCCAUUGAAGGAUUUUAUAAAGUUGUGACUGUGGGCUCUGAGUUCUAUGGGAGUUGUACUGCUAUGAAGAAGCCAUUUGAAUCCCUCAAAACAUUAUCUUUUAGAAGGAUGCCAGAGUGGCGCGAGUGGAUUUCAGACGAAGGCAGCCGGGAAGCCUUCCCUCUUCUUGAUGUGCUUUUAAUCGCAGAAUGCCCCAAAUUAGUUUCAUUUCCCAAAGGAGGGUUACCUGCUCCAGUCUUGACACGACUUGAGUUAGAAGAAUGCAGGAACUUGAAGCAGUUGCCUGAGAGUAUGCAUUCCCUCUUCCCAUCCCUUACCGAUUUGGUAAUAAGAGAUUGUUUAGAAGUUGAGUUGUGUCCAGAAGGGGGUUUUCCCUCCACAUUACAAUCACUUGAGAUUUCUAGAUGCAACAAACUCAUUGCUGGCCGCAUGCAAUGGGGCUUGCAAACGCUCCAUUCUCUUUCACGCUUUACAAUUGAUUGGGACGAAAAUGUUGAAUCCUUCCCUGAAGAGAUGCUGCUGCCCUCAAGUCUUACAUCUCUUAGAAUCUAUUCCCUACAACACCUGAAAUCUCUUGACUACAAGGGGCUUCAACACCUCACCUCUCUUAGAACAUUGAAUAUAAAGAACUGCCCUCUGAUUGAGUCAAUGCCAGAAGAAGGGUUGCCCUCCUCCCUUUCUUCUCUUGUAAUUGAAGGUUGUUCCAUGCUGAAAUCUCUUCCAAGGCUUCACCACCUCACCUCUCUUACAGCAUUGGGUAUAUAUGGCUGCCCUCUGAUUGAGUCAAUGCCAGAAGAAGGGUUGCCCUCCUCCCUUUUUAUUCUUUCAAUUCUCAAUUGUCCUCUGCUGGGUGAAAGUUGUGAAAGGGAGAAAGGUAAAGAUUGGCCCAAGAUUUCUCACAUUCCUCACAUAAGUAUAUAUUGAGGUAUUGCUACUAAAUAGUUUAUUUUCUUUUCAGUAAUCAAAGGCAAUUUCAGUUAAAAUUUGGAUGAAUGAAAUACAGAUAUUGUCCAUUUUGUAUUGUUUAUAUUUGUUGGAUGUUGAAAUACAGAUAUUUUCUUCCUAUUGUCUCUCAUUCAUCUCCAUAAAUAAUAAUCAUCAUUCUAUUUCAAUAUAUCGAGCUGGAGGAUCAUCACAUGCUUCAGAUUUUGAACUGCCAGCACCAUCCUUAAUUUGGACAGGGGGCUAUUAUCAUCGAAUUUUAGCAACGGGAUAUUUCUUUUGCUAAUUUAACAACAGAAUGUGUAUAUAUGAUUUUUUUAAUAUCAACAAUGAAUUUAGUAAUAGAAAAUCCAUUGCUAAAAAGGAUUAAAAAAUUAAAUUAUUUAACUAAUUUGCAGCGGAUUUUUCAUUAUUGACGCUCUUGGCAACAUCAAAUCUGCAACUGAUUCCAAAAAUAAAUCAAACCCUUAAUUAUAUAAAAUCUGCAUCUUCAAAAAUUAAAAUAAAAUUAAAAUUCACCAUCUCUUUCUCUAGUCUCUUCCCUUCUCCAAAAAAUCAAAAUUCAAAAACUUUUUUUUUUAUCUUUUAUAUAUUAUUUAACUUUGAUUAAAUUGUUUUUAUUCCAUAUAAAGCAGAAGUUAAAAAAUGAUUUUGGAGUACAUGUAAGUCAUAUCUUUUUUGGAAUUUGCUUUGAUAAAAAACAGACAUAAAGAGAGAAGAUAAUAUAAAAUUCAUGACUCCUUAUCGAUAUAUAUAUAUUUUUUUUCCUUAGUUCAUUCGUUUGAUUACAUUUUUGCUUCAACUCUCAUCAACACUCCCUUGUUUCGUUGCACGGCAUCAUUUAAAUGUACAUGGCUUGUGUUAUGUUCGGGAACAAAUAUUGGGCCAUUAACCUUUUCAAGCAAUGAUGGAGUAGGAGUGCAGUUAAAGAACACGCCCUAGCUGUUUGACAGAAUGCCGAUGAAGAUGAUAGUCAUUUUAGUGGUGCUGCUUGUAACAACCCAGGUAAGAAAACUAACGACCUCUUGAUGUGGUUUUCUAGGAAAUAAAUUAAAUGUUUUUAUUUGUUCAUGUGUUUUCUUCAGGAGGUGGUGCUAACCAGAGAAAGCUAAAGCAGAGGAGGAUGGCCAACAUGUUGGAAAGGUAAAAGGAUGAAGCCUUUUGUUAGAGGUCUAGGUGCUGUUGCACUAACAAAAGCACAUUGCCUUGAGGAAGCCCUCAAGUCUUACAUCUCUUCACAUCUAUUCCCUAAAACACCUGAAAUCUCUUGACUACAAUGCCAGAAGAAGGGUUGCCCUCCUCCCUUUUUGCUCUUUUUAUUAACAAUUGUGAGAGGGAGAAAGGGUUAAAUGAUCUUUGUAUAUUUGACUGUCCAGAUCUGGAAUCACUAUGUGCACAUGAAAGACCUCUCAAUGAUCACAACUCUCUCGAUUAUUUGGAAAUCGAGGACUGCCGUAAAUUAGUUUCAUUUCCCAAAGGAGGGUUACCUGCUCCAGUCUUGAGAGGACUUCAUUUAGAAGGUUGCAGCAACCUGAAGCAGUUGCCUGAGAGUAUGCAUUCCCUCCUCCCAUCCCUUAACCGUUUGUAUAUAAGUAACUGCCCUUUGAUUGAGUCAACGCCAGAAGAAGGGUUGCCCUCCUCCCUUUCUUCUCUUGUAAUUAACAGUUGUCCUAUGCUGAAAUCUCUUCCAAGGCUUCAACACCUCACCUCUCUUACACGAUUGAAUAUACAUCACUGCCCUCUGAUUGAGUCAAUGCCAGAAGAAGGGUUGCCCUCCUCCCUUUCUUCUCUUGUAAUUGAAGAUUGUCCUAUGCUGCGUGUAAGUUGUGAAAGGGAGAAAGGUAAAGAUUGGCUCAAGAUUUCUCACAUUCCUCACAUACAUAUUUGGAGAAGUUAAAGGAGCUAAUACAUAAAUCACAUUCUUUCAAUCGUCCAACAUAUUGAGGUAUUGCUACUAAAUAGUUUAUUUUCUUUUCAGUAAUCAAAGGUAAUUUCAGUUAAAAUUUGGAUGAAUGAAAUACAUAUAUUGUCCUAGAAAGUUGUAUGUUUUUAUUUGUUGGAUGUUGAAAUACAGAUAAUUUCUUCCUAUUGUCUCUCAUUCAUCUCCAUAAAUAAUAAUCAUCAUUCUAUUUCAAUAUCUUUUUUGCUAUAAUUAAUGCUACUAUUGUUCCUCUAUCAACUGCGGCAAAUAAACAUCACAUGCUUCCGAUUUUGAACUGCCAGCGCCACCCUUAAAAAACAAGUGUCCAUCUUAAAAGACAACGGGCCUAGCAGAGCUGAAAAGGAUUAAAAAAUAUUUAAAUAAUCUGCAACAUAUUUUUCAUUGUUGACGCGACAAAAUCAAAAUUCAAAAUUUAAAAUCUCCAUUCUCUCCUUAUCCGCAUCUUCAAAAAUUCAAAAUCUUUUCCCCACCUCUUUCUCUAAUCUAUUCCCCUUCUCCAAAAAUUCAAAAUCCAAAAACUUUUGAUUUGUUUAUUUUAUUAUCACUUAACUUUGAUUAAAAAACUUUUCUUGAAGUUUACUUCCAUCAAAGAUCUUUUAUAGAUAUAAAAAGAAGAGAUAAUAUAAAAUUCAUCCGCGUAUUGGAAUCACAAUUCAGAAUCAAGUGAAAGCGGCCAAUGUCACUCGAGAGAGUAGGCACUUGCAAAUCUGCUAAUAAUUAUUGGUGUUUAUUCCUCAUGAUGAUCCAGUGAGCUGACAAUAAAAGAAAACCUCGGCAUUACUAGUAAAUCGUCACUGCAAGCAUGGAAGAGAUUCAGGUAGGAAUUACCCUUGUCUUCAUUGAGAGGCUUUAACCUCCCUAGCUCCUUCAUCAGCAGGCCCAUGGUUCGAUGCAUCCUCUGAAGCGUCUAAGCAAGGAUUGCUUUUACACUGACUUACAGGCUGAGCACUGGUCAAGAGACUAGAAAGUUGAGACCCCCUUUGCGAAAAGUUUGGUUUACCUUUCGGAGUCUCAGACAGGCUUCCCGUUGACAGCUUUGAUAGGCCCAUAGUCAUGUGCUCACACGGGAGCUUAGUUGAAAAAGGUGAUUCAGGUGUAUCAGGAUGCUUCCCAGGAAUAUCCAUCGGUCUAUGAAACAGCAAAUGAGCCACAGUCCGGUCUACGGGAUUGGUCUCUGUUUCCACCUCAGGCAUCUUAACCACCCUGCAGUAUACUCAUAAAAUCCAUGAGGAAAAUGACAGGCAAGUUUGAGAUUGCCAUACUCUAAACAAAUUGAUAAAGACUUGAUUAAUAAUUUUGUGCAAACAAAUUGAAUAAUUUGGAAUGGGAAGGACGAGAUGUAAAGGAACAAACCCAGAGCACGUAUUGUUUGUACUGCUGGUUUCCUCUUUUGCAGCAACUUGUUCGUCCCUGCUACUGUUGUUUGUACUGCCAGUAUCACUAGCAUAAUGCCUUUGCAUUGCACUUUGAGCCAGCCGGAACAAGCUAUCCCGAAUACAAAGUCUAAUUCUGACAUCCAACUGUUGUAAAACAUUGGUUUGGAAUCGUAACCAAGCACAAAUUAUUUAGCAGGGAAAGAAUGCAAUAGUACGUGAAGCAUACCUUUGAAAUAAUAUCUUGAAGCCUGUAGAGUACUGUGUCCUCCAUUGAAUAAUCAUUAACCGCCAGAGAGACUGUAUUGGAAUCGUCUUGCUCAGUAGGUGAGUUUGGGUCAAAUGAAGCAAGUGUACUUAGAUCCUCUACUUCAAGGUCAGCUCCUUCAACAUGCUGAAUUUGAUUUUCUUGGGAACACUUUAGAUGAACAAGCUGCUGCUGCUGUUUCUGAAUGGCAAGCAUUGCCUGAAUUUGUUGCCGCCUCCUUAAUUUUUCAAUCUUUUCCUGAGGUGUCAUUCUCUGAGGUUUCACUGGACAGUCAGCUAACUUGUUUAUAGGAUCUGCAUUGCCUGAAACUUCAUAACCAGAAAUUUUAGGUCGAUGAUUAAAUGACUAGAAAUUUUGUUGGAAAGUCAGAAAACUUUAACAGGAUUCGCAUUACCUGAAGAAACUUCAUAACCAGAAGCUAAAGGUCGAUGCUUAAAAUCCCCAGACUGAAUGUGAGACAACCCAGGCAUAGAAUAUGGAUUUGUAAUACUCCCGUAUGCAGAAGGGGCCACAAAUGGAUUGGAUAUCUGCUGGUACUGCAACUGCUCGGAACCCUGUAGCUGUUUCUGUUGGCUGAGAAGUGAAAGGGGUGAAGAUUGCAUAAUUUGGGGUGCUAAAUGAUCCUUAAGUUGACAGGCUGGGAUUCCAGAUGAAGUCCAGUUUCCAUAAAAAUCUUGGUAUGAUUUCAGUUCACCUUCUUCUUCCAGUUUUUCCCGACCUUUCAAGAUCUUCUUUUGCCUGUAAGUCUGAUCACAGAACUAUAAACAUAUAAAUAGACAAAUUACUUAGAAUAGAUCAACGUUUUAACCAUCUAGACCUGCAGGGGAGAGUGACUAAGGCACAGUUAGUAUUUUAACUCAGUACAUGGUUUGUAAGGAUAAAUUCAAUGUUUUUUUUUUUUUUUAACUGUAACUUACGAUCCAAAGGGCUUCUAUUGUUCAGAAUAUAUUGAGGUAUUAGCUAAACUAUGCCAAGCAAACAGAAUUUGCAUGUCCCUGGGAAGAGUGGAUGCCAUGCUAGAAAUAUAAAUUACUGAUGCCUCCUGAAUUUUCACAUGUUAUUCCUUUCUCCUUCCUACUAACAGAAAACCACACAAUGGCUUUACUUUAGGCAAUCGAUAUCAUGGUUAAGUCAUGGAUUUGACAUCCAGGAUAACUUAAUUGAUGCAUUAUUGAAGUCAUGACUAAAUCAUGUAAAUCCAUAUUCACCCAACAUCCAAGUUUAUUCUCAUUCCAAAAAAUUAAACUAAAAAUAAUAGCAUGAAAUAUGAAGAGACGAAGAGGAAUUUAAAUAAUAUAAUUUCUCUUUUCUGUCGCCAUUUUCCAUUCCAGAGAAGUACUCAGGAAGUCUUAAUAAGUUCAAGUGUAAGGUAACUUUUACCCUUCCCAGCUCUAAUUAGGUUUCGCUGUCCCUCCAAUCUAAUUUAAGAUCUAAUAUGAGGAAACCACACUGUAUUAGUGAAAGGAUCACAAUAUCAAGAUUUUCCAACUUCAAUUCAAUGAUAUAACUUUUCUUGAAUCCUGGACAAAAGAACUUAGAACAUCAAAAGAUCAUAGCAGGAUUCUAAAAAACAAAGAUUGUAUUUGGUGCUUAUUGAGUCUAAAAGUUUUCCUGGAAGAAAAGGGUAAAAAUCAGUAACAUGUCUGGUUCAGUAUCAAGAUUUUGAAAAUAUCAAAAGGAAGGAAAAAAAAAGGUACCUUGUUUGCUAAUUCAUUUGGAAAAGCACCAUUUUCCUCUGUCAGUUGAGAGUUAGCCGCUGUGUUCUUUCCCACAACAGCCAAAUCUGUCUGCAAAAGCACAAAAAAAUAAAAUAAAAAUAAAUGCUAAGCUUCUCUCAGCUCCUGCACUUGAGCAUGGGGCAUUAAUAAGUGAACUCAUUACUGAAAAUUGAGUCGCUAUACCUGCUCCUUCAGUAUAGGCUUGUUUUUACCUUCAUCAUAUUCUACAUGAUCAAGGCUUGCCUGAGUAUUCUGCAGACCAUGAGAUGCAGGGUCGUUCAUUUUUCCAUAGCCAAGGGCAAACAGCUGGUCCUCUUCUCUCGAAGCCACAGAUAUUGGAAAGGGCUUUACCGGGCUGUUAGUUGUACAUUUUGAAGAAGACCAUAGCUCAUCAGCAUUACCAAGAUUUACAUUGCCAAAUAUUGGGUCAUCAUUGCUGCAAAAUCACCACUUGUGAGGAUAUUGAGUCAGAUGGUUAUCACUGUUCUCCAACAGAAUCAAGAUAAAAUAUAAGAACAUUAGUCAAGAACAGAAAUGCAGGAAAGCCCUUCCACAAUUGAACAAGCUCACCAAUUCCUUGCAAAUCCAGUGCUGCUAUAUUACAUUCUUUCUGCCAUUUAUACUUGAAAUUGAGGAUAUUGUGCUGCUAAAAACUGGCAUCCUUCAGGUUCUUUUCCCAAUUAACAAAAUUAAGCCAAGGAUCAAAAACCAUAAAUUUUCAAACAUAGUCAUUUUUUGUUAGUGUUGCUUUCAGCAGACAGCACUUAUUUGGAAAAGGAUAUAGAUCAACAACAGAAGAAACUACAACUAUUAAAAGAGUCUGGUUGUUUUUCCUUCACAACAACACUCUUGUACUACAUGAACUUUUUCUUCUGAAAUGAAAAUAGACAGUGAGCAUAAUUAUUUUGUUCGCGAAACUUUCACUUCACAGUCAGUAAUAAGAAUUUGUUCAAAUUAUCAGAAUAAUGAGAUAUACAAGCUUCCAUAUCAGGGUGCUGCUGACCAUCUUUCAUUUAGGUGCAGAAAGUAAGAAAUGGUAACUGUGCUUUACCUAAAAAUUCGAUCAAGAUCAUCAAAGCUUCCAAUGCUAGCCCAGCCAUAAUCAGCAAAAUCACCUUGCUCUUCACCUUCAUGAGGAUUUUGAAAAAUCUCAGUGUCCUUAUCAAGAUGAUCUGUCUCUGCGUUUUAAAAAAAAAAGAAUUAGAAUGACAGUAGCAUGUAAGAUACUAUGCUAUGAAAACAUCACGCAACUCGUCACCCUAUCUACAUUUUUUCCUUGUAAUUGAAAUCUCAUCACCUGCUGAUGAAUCGAGUUUGGUAAUCUCAGUUAGAUUGUUAGAGAUUGAAGUUUCCAAGGAAUCCUGCUCAGUUUUGGCAGCAUCAGGUGAGGACAAGUUAGGCCAUCGGUCCAUGUCAAGUCCUAAGGAAGAAGUUCCUUCACUUGUGUCAACAUUCGAAAUGCUCUCCAGCUUUCUGCCAUCAGUAUCAACUUUAGCCCCAGGUGCCUUCUGCUCACUAGAUUUAAUGGUGCUAGCUUCUUCACUCGAUUCCUUUUUCUUGCAAUAAUCUUCACUUGCCUCUGGAUAUGGCACGAUAUGGUCAUCACUAUCUUCAUCCUCACCCCAUAUUAUGUUCGUAAGCUGAAAAGAUAGUGAGUAAGCAUCAUCACUAAAUGUGGGAUACAUGAGAAGAAUGAAACAGUCACAAGUUAAUCUCUGGGUAACUUAGCAAGACUAUUUUCCCCAACAUAAUAUUCUGAAUAAUACACUAAUUAAUCAGUUCAGUUCCUUGUAAGGUGUGCGUGGGCACAUAUGAGCACACAUGUGUGUACGAGAGUUGCUAGUGUCAAUGAGUUGGGAACCAAAUAUUUAAUUGAGUCAUGCAGAAAAUACUAAAAUGUUCUAAAUUGUGUUAAAAAUAAAAUAGAAAGUAGAAGCCAUUGGCAUGAUUCAUUUAAAAAUUUCAACAAAAUUAAAAAAAGAAAAGAAAAGAAAAGGAGGAGAUGGCCCAAAGCAUGCUCUCAAUAAGAUGAAGUAAGACCUAAAGCUUCAUUGCAUGUACAGAGCACUUUGAAAACUUCAGUCUGGACAUAUAAAACCAAGGCAAAUUAUCUUCUUUUUGGAACUUAUUUCUUCACAGUAAGAUAUAACAUCUAACGCUACCUGCAUCACUUUCUCAUGGUCCUCCCUGACUCGAGUGAUCAUAAACCUUCUCAAAUCCCAUUUAAAGAAGAUUCCCUUUCUCACUUUUCGUUGGUAUUAUUUGACACCAAGAUCACAACCAAACAUUACCAAUAAGUGUGUCACCGGAGAAAGAAACUUAGGUGCCCUAAUACCAUAAAUAAAACCUAUUCAAUAAAAAUUAGACAAUAUUUUAUAGCUGUACAUCUAUAAUCAAAGUAAAGGCCCAAAACUCUGAAUCCUGAAUAUGUGAAUCAAAGUAUCUAACUGAUGCACCAUCAGCAGUCUCCUAUUUGACUUGUGAUUAAUGACCUAGCAGUUCACUUCAACAACAUUAUUGAAAGGUCCCUAGUGAACGUAAGAUUGAAUUUCAGACCCAGCAAGAAGAAGUACAUUUUCCAGUAGGCAUGCAUAUCACCUUUUUAUCAAUAUCCAUGGAAGACAAACCAAGCAAUAUCAAGUUUUUUUCUGCUGGAUAUCCAAUAAAAAAUACCUCAUAGUGUGAACAUCUUUAAGAAGGAGGAUAUCACAUUGCACCCCAUCAACUGAUCCACAAAUAAAUUUGCAUCUUUCCAUCAGUUCCAAGCUACUUUGUAAGGAAAAGGGAGGGAAGUGCCUUCAAAGAUACCUUCUUCAUAGCUUCUUUAGAUAUGAAUCCACACGACUUUCGUAAUCACCAAUCACUAUGCGCAGCUUCUCUUAUCAUCACAAGCUCCAUCUCUUUCCACAUCCUAACUUCAUUCGCUGAACUCUUCCCUCAGUUCCCAAGAAAAAAUAUAUUCUUCCUCCUCCAGCCCUUUCCCUACAUAUUUCCACCAGCUUCAUAGCAAUGCAGCCCGUGAAAACGACUCCCAAAUUAAAACACUUGAGAAGCUCUAAUAGUUUUCCACAAAGAACUACUUUUCUUAUUAUUUCUUCACUCUAUGUCAGUGUGCCACAUUCAAAUACUACUGAUCGAUUCUUCCUCGUCACAACCACUCACUUUCCCCUAAAUCCCAUACCACAACCACUCCUUGAUCUUCAACUAAAUCAAUAUCUCUCAUCACUUAUGAAAACUCCAUAUAAUUUCCAAAUGAAUCACACCAUUUGAACACUUUGCCAAUUCCUAAUUCCUUCAAAAUUUUAAUCCAUAAAAAAAAAAAACUGCAAGUCAUACCUUUUCACCUCAACACAGUUCUCCUUGUAACUAAUCUUCCAAUAUAACCAUACUCUAAAACUAACCCAUAAUCCUAUAAAAAAAAACCAUUUCUUCUUCAAAUUAGUCCUAAAAAACUUCAAAAUACAAGUAACUAUCCAUUUUAAACAAGAUCAGUGAAAUCUAAAAGCAACCCACAAAUCCAAUUCACAAAUCAACUGCAUAUUCCAAUAUAGAUAAAGGAAAAAAAAAUCAUUUAGUUACCUCUUCGUCGUUCCAAUCAAACAUAGCUAAAGAAACCAGAACAGGUCACAAAACGAAAACCCAAUUCACAUAUUAUAUCUUGAAUUAUUUCACACAUCGCCAAUCCUUCAAAACCUUCACCAAAAAAAGAAAAAGAAAAAACAUUAACUUACGUUCAGAAAAAAACAUCAAAACCCCUUAACCCUAAAAACCAAACCAAGACAAAAAAUUUACAUGCAAAACAAGAAAACAAGAACCUUAACAGUUGUUAAAGAAGCAACCAAAAGAGUUUUCCAGAGACUGAAACAAGAGCAUAAAAGAAAGGGAAAAGCCAAAGGGUUGUAGAGCACGUGAGAAUCACGUGAGUUUGAUUGGCUAUUUGACUGACACGUGUGUUUACGACAGUAUCUUAGUGUGUGGUUAGAAUUUAAGGAUAGAUCUAAUACUUGAACGUGAUUGGUUAAUACGUUAGGAGUUUGAUUUGAGUUUGAUUUGGGUUGAAUUUCAUGUGAAUUUAGAGAGAUUUGGCGGGCGGAUCUAAGUUGUGGCUGUGGUUGCUUCGAGGGUUGGUUUCGCGGGUCGGUUUCUUGGGCCCAUGUUGACCAAGUGGUGUUUUUUGGGAUAGCCACGCCCACGCUUUUGGAUUAAAAAAAAAAAAACAGGAGAAGAAUUAUGAGAGUGGAUUAAUUAUUAAUUAGGUAAUGAUUGAGGAUUAGGGUUUAAAGUAGGGGAUUAGGCCGUUUGACUCUUGACGUAGGCACUAUUAGGGGUGAGCAAAAAAACCGAGAAAACCGAGAAAACCGAACCGAAAAAAAAAACCGAUUAAACCGAUUAAAAUUUUGAAAAAACCGACCGGUUCGGUUUGGUAUCGGUUUUAGGCUUAUAAAACCGAAAAAACCGAACCGAACCGAAAAAAUAACCGAAAAAAACCGAGCCAAACCGAGCCAAAACCGGAAAAAAAUGAGCCAAAACCGAAAAACCGAGCCAAACCGGAAAAACCGAGCCAAGCCGGUUUUUCCCCUAAAAAAACCGAACCGAACCGAACCGAACCCGGCCGGUUCGAACCGGUUUCGGUUCGGUUUCGGUUCGGUUUCGGUUCGGUUUCGGUUUUUUUUUCCUAAAAAAAAAAAAAUUCGGUUUGGUUACUUUUUUUGAUAAAAACCGAACCGAACCGGUUUUGCUCACCCCUAGGCCCUAUGCAUGUGAUUUGUUGUUAUUGUGCCAUUUCAUUAAAUUCGUUUAAAAUGUUUACAGACAAAAGAUACGUAUAAAAUUUAAAAACGUUAGCUCUUUCUUUUUUUAAAAAAACAAAAUUAAAGUCUCACAACUAACCUAUAGAAACAUUGUUAUAAAAUCUAAGGUUGCUCAAUGGGUCAAUUUGAAAGUCUGCACUAGUUUAAAUUUUAAUAAAUAAAAAAAAAUUGAUUGAUUCAGUUAAAAAUCUGAUUUGUUCUAUUAACUUGAUUUAAAUUUAAAUUUUUUUUAUGUUUUUUUAUAUAUCAAAAUGAUAUUUUUUUAAUAUAUUUAAAAUUAACAAUUUUGAUAUGUAUUUAAACUUUACCCCAUUUUAUAAUUACUGAUCAAAGUAUUUUAAAAAUCAAUAUAGUAACACUUCCUAAAAAUUAAAAAAAUAAGAUUUAAUUUUAAAUAACACAUAAAGUAUUUGAAUAUAUCUCAUAAAUUUAAAAACAAAUAAACAAAACUUUCACAUCUCCCAAAAGAAAGAGAGUUUAAACAGCCCUGCUUAUGUAAGCAAGCAAGAAAGAAAAAGACUAAAUCAUGAUUAAUAUAUAUCACCUCGUUUAUCUUCAUAUCAAAUAUAUCCUAACUUGUGUAGACGGGUGUGAAGAAUUAAGCUAUAUUCUAACAUCCAAAUUAACUCUUUUUUUUAUAAAAAAAACUCUAUUUCUGAUUUGUACAAAAUUCAAUAAUUUACAUGUCAAUCACUUAAAACCCAAUAAAAAAUACUUUAAAAUAUAAAAAAAAAAUAUAAUUUUGAAAAGAAAAGGGGACUUUCAAUUAUUCAUCAAAGAAUAAUUUAGACUAUUAUAUAUCAUACAAUUUAAUUUAAAAAUCAGUCAAUAAAAAAAAAUCCAAUUUAAGUUUGAUUAACUUAGCAGGUUAACAUGUAAAUAGUUGGCCUGAUUUUGAUGGAGUUGAUUUUUAAAAUAAUGUAUGGAAAACGAUAUCAUUUUAAAAAGGGUAAUCCACCUGACCUAAUCUGGUUCUAGAACAAGUUUAAUUACAUUGACUCCAAUAAUUAGCCUUGAAUGUAGAAAAACGAAGAAGGGAAGUAGAACAAAACUGGGCUGAGAGGCCUAUGGACAUUAAAUUGAUUCUAGUCUUUAUUAAUGGGCUUGUGGCCUCAGCAUGAAAACUGGCAAAACAGUAAAAAAAUUAUAAAAAAAAAAGAGGAGAAAAAAUCAACCACGACUCCACUGGGGAUCGAACCCAGAAUCUCUGGUUCCGUAGACCAGCGCCUUAUCCAUUGGGCCAUGGAGUCUUUCAUGCCAGUGUUUCGAUUCCUAUAAUAUAUUAAUAAAAUAUACAACUCUACCUUCCGAGCCUGUACUAGAGACAGCGAGGGUGGCCAACAACUUCAACCACUUACAAUUUGAAAAUGGUAUUCUGGAUGUUGCUUCACGGGUAGGGCUUUACUGCUCAUCAACAUUUCCAAUAUCUUUUUCCAUCUACACGAUGCAUUUACAAGAGUUACGUUAAUCGGGUAAUUAUGUGUACAUUUUUGAAAAAAUAUUUUUUAAUUGAAAAUAUAUUAAAAUAAUAUUUUUUUUCUAUAUAUUUUAUUUUAUUUUAUUUUUGAUAAUAACACAUUACAACAAUUUAUAAAAACUUUAUUGAAUUUAUAUAUAUAUAUAUAUAUAUAUAUAUAUAUAUAUAUAUCAAUUCAAUAAAGUUUUAGUUGAAAAACUAUUUUUAAAAACAAAUUCAAUAACAAAAACAAACCUACCAUAACCAUUACUUGUACUUUUUUUUUUCCACAGGUUUGUUAAAAAAAAACACCUUUUUUAUUAUGUACUCGAUCGUCGAGUGCUACAAAUUUAAUUAGCUUUCUUAAUGGGAUCGAUUUGUUUCUUUGCAUAGGUUUGUAUUCGUGUCUUUCAUUAAUUAGAUGAUAAAAAAUUAUAAUUUUUUUUACUAAUAGGAUCACUGUGCAAUUUUUAUCUUUUCUUGAACUUAAUUAUUUAUCAUCAAUCCAUAAAUAUCCUUACAUGAUCACACACUACUUGUACAAGUGCGUAGAUUCACAACUAACUAAUGAGAUCCAUGCAUGAAUCACUUGGAUCGAUGGUCUUGGGAUUUGAAAAAAAAACAAAACAUGCAUAUAGUUUCAUCGAUCAUUUCGGGUUUAUUACCAAAGUAAAACUGCAUGCAAAAGCUAGCAUCAGAAAGAGAAGAGAAGACAAAAUAUUUUUGCUGUGGCAUUCACAUGUUCAUGCAUGUUUCCAUGGACGACAACUGCUGAGAUCUGCAAUCCAGCACUACUUGUAAAUUCAAACUAGCUUUCCCACCUAUCUCUUCACACGUUGCAACCUUCUACUAGAAAAAAACACCAGAAUUCACACGUUAAUUAUCCACCUGAAAAUGACUCCUGGACACGUAAUCACCGUUUCUUCUCUCUCACUCUUGACACUAUUUUUUUUAAUCGUUGAAGGGUUAAAGAUGUUGAUAAUUAUAGUUUUUUUAUUCUAGUUAUUAAAUAUUAAUUUAAUUAUUUGGUACGAGAAAUUUACAUCCCAAAACCUUAUUUAGAGUUUUAAAUUAUAUCGAUGAAAUUUAAUUAAUUUAUCUAAGUUUUUAAUAAUUUGGUUGAGUUGAUCGGCCCGACUCGAUUGAAACAUAAUUGAUUCAAUUUCUGUUAGAAAAUAAUAUAAAUCAUAUUUAAUUAUGAUCUCACCUAAUAGUUUAAGUUAUUGGAUAUAUUAAGAUGAUUUUUUGAUAUAAUAUUAGAGUUUUGAUAAUCAAGUGAUUACGAUUUGAAUCUCAUCAUUUCUAUUUAUUUGAUAAAAAUUAAGUACAAGAUAGUGUAAAACAUCUAUAUAAGUUUCAAGCUCAAAAGCUUUUACUUAAAGAGAUAUGUUAGAGAAUAAUAUAAAUCAUAUCUUGUAACCUGACCUUAUAACUUAAGUAAUUGAGUUGAGAUGAUUUUUUUUUUAACAAUUUUAAUGAAUUAUUUUUUUAAAAAUAAAAUAAUACUAUUUUAUUAAAAAUAUUAACUCAAAUUUACUCGAUAAUUCAAUAAUUCAUAUUUAUUUCUGAGUGGAUCUCAGGCCAGGUCUGAGUAGUAUACUAUUAUAUUUUUAACAAAAUAAUUAAAGUAGCAUAAAAGAAACAAAGUAAUUAACGGCUAAACAUGAUGCGUGUGACCCUCUAGGCUAGGCGAUACUUUCAACACAGUAUCAUAAGUUCUCUUGUACCUGUUUGCAUGUAUAAAUAGGAAGCUAAUGGUGGUAUAAUCUUACACUAUUCACUCACGUUUCUUAAGAGAAAGUACUCAAGAAAAAAAUAUUCAACAAUGGCUAGCCUCAUUGCUCCUGACAACCAUGUUCCUAGUGAAGAUGCUGAAGCCCUCUACAAGGCCUGUAAUGGUACUUCUCUCUCCUUUUCUUUCAUACUAUAAUCAUAUAUUAUAUACUCGACAUGCCAACAAUUAAGAAAUAAUCUUAUAUUAUAUACUCUACAUGCCAACAAGUAUGAAAUAAUCAUAUAGCUGUUUGCAAUCACCAGCAAUAUUUAAAUUAAGAGAGGAUUAAUUAGGAGGAGGAUUUCCUGUGUCUAUAGUCCAACCUUAAGAACAUACAGCUGCCUAACAGACAACUUAAAUGUUAACAUGCCUGAAUAAGAUAUCAAAUUUCUGUAAGAAAUGGUAAAAAGUGGUUGUGCUGUAACAAUCAUGAGAAAAUAUUCUAUGAAAAAGAGGAGUAAAUAUUUUACUUUUAGAGAAACAAAAGGCAGGGAAAGGGAAAAGGAAAAAAAAAGGGAAAGUAUUAAUGACAGUCUGAUUUUCUUUGUCGUCAAUUUUUUAUUUGAAAGUGAAGAGGUUGGCGUGAAUGAUUUGUCAGCAUGAGUUGUUCUUUCUGCUUUAUUUUCCGGCAAAAUAUUUAUAAUUUUUGUGAUGGGAAGAUACACUGGACGACUAAGUUAUGCCUUGUUACGUCACAAACUUGAUGCAUAAAACCAGGAAAGAAAAAUAAAAGUUUCUCUCCAAAAUGAAAAAGAAAGAAUAAAAGUAUUUUUUUUUUUGCAAUAACAUAAAAUCAUAAUUAUUAUACUGGUCUAGUUUGUUGAGUUAAUAGAUAUCAACCUUGAGAUGUUGGUUUAAAGGUUCGAGGAUUUGCUCCCUUUAAGAUCUCAAUUUUAAAUUUUAUUAACACCAAAUUUUUUGAUUUAUUUUGGUAUAUGUAAGCUGUAAGCUAAUUUAUGAUAUCAUGUUUUUCCCAAAAAAAAUUGAUAUAAAUUUACAAUACAGAUAUUGAUUCAGACUAGUUUUUGGUUAAACCAGGUGGAGUUAAUAUUAUAGAUUUUAAAAAAAACUGUUUUAAUAAAAAAAAAAAUUAUUGAUUGACUUGACCUAAAUUUCUCGUACGGCAACUAUGCAUAAAACUCUUGUGCGCCUGCACCAAAAUUUUUUCUCUCAUUCACCCAUUUUGCCUUCAAAAAUGGUAUGAAAGAAAAUAUUCAUUUACUCAAGCCAACCAUGAGAGAUAAGUAAGAAUCUAAUGGUGGAAAGCAGGUGGUCAUGUUGAUUAAUGUAUUCAUAAAAUUUAAAUAGUCCAAGAAAUCAUUUGAUUACCACAUUGUUUUCAACGUAAGAGUGUCAGAAAGUGGUACUAUAAAUAUGAGAGCAUGAACAAGUCUCCUUCACAUUGAGUUUUCUAGCUAAAGAGACAAAAGAGAGUUAAUUGCAAUGGCUUCCCUUGUUGUUCCUGAAAAUGUUUCUUGUGUUGAUGAUGCACAAGCUCUCCAAAAGGCUUGCCAUGGUUAAGUUUACAAAUCGUUCUGUCUUGUAUAUGUACUUUCCUUUGUGUUUUUCACUGAGAUAAUUUGUACCCUUUUUUGUCAAAAGAAAUCGGCUACUGAGUUCAUGUUUUCUUGUUUUGAUUCUUGAAUUGCAUCAGGAUCUUGCUCGCUUCUUUUGUGAAAAAUUUUAUCCAAAUUGAAGUUGUGAUCAUCAAGUGAUUUUAUGCAAAAGGAAAUAUCAAAACUGACAACGGAAUUUGUCUCUGCUGUUUGUUUUUGCUAGGCUGGGGGACUAAUGAGAAGGCUAUAAUUUCAAUACUGGGGCAUAGAAAUGCUGCUCAAAGGAAGCAAAUCAGGCUAGCUUAUUCAGAAUUGUUUCAAGAAGAUCUUGUCAAGCGUCUCGAGUCUGAGCUCAAUGGAGACUUUGAGGUAAUUGUCAGUAUCAUGGUUAUGAUAACAGAAACUUUAUGUUUAUACCAGUCUUAUCUGUCAGAGGCAGGGCACAUUUGUUAAAGGGUCUUGUUCAACCAGUUGUGUUUUGCAAGAGAUUUGAUGCAUAUUAACGUUUAAUCAUAGUCAUUAUGUUCUUUCCAACCCAAGGAUUGUUGCAGAAUGGGAUGGAGUGUGAUUGUCGGUUUAUAUAUAUGCCUGUGAUGCUAAUUAAGUUUCAUAAAUUUGUGAACAUAGAAAGCUGUGUAUCGAUGGGUAUUGGAUCCAGAAGACAGAGAUGCAGUGUUAGCAAAUGUGGCUAUCAGGAAAUCUGGCGAUUACCAUGUGAUUGUAGAGAUUGCCUGCGUCCUAUCUUCAGAGGAGCUCUUGGCUGUGAGGAGGGCAUACCAUGCUCGGUACAAGCAUUCCUUGGAAGAAGAUCUUGCGGCCCAUACCACCGGUGAUAUCAGGAAGGCAUGUUACAAUCAUUGAUAUAUUGUGAUUAGGCCAUUCACAAUUGCCUGAUGGUUUGUUAUGAUCAUUUUGCAGCUCUUGGUUGGAUUAGUGACAGCUUUUAGGUAUGAAGGAGAUGAGAUUAAUACAAGAUUAACCAAUUCAGAAGCUGAUAUUCUUCAUGAUGCAAUCAAAGACAAGGCUUUUAAUCAUGAAGAUGUCAUUAGGAUCCUGACUACCAGGAGCAAAGCACAGCUCAUGGCAACUUUCAACCGCUACAGAGAUGAUCAUGGCUCUUCCAUCACUAAGGUACAGAAAAAAAAAAAAGAAGUUCAAUAGCUUGCUUCUAGUUACCAAGUCAAAUGUUUAUAGUUGCAAGUUGUCGUGAGGAGCACUGUGAAGGCCUCCAAGUUUCUUCCCGCUCCUGAGGCCUGUAACAGAAGCUUUAACUCUCUGAAAACAGAACUUCCAUCUACAAGGUUGAGUCUGAUUAUAAAAAUGGAGCAUUAAUGGUCAUUUUUGUUUAAUAGGACUUACUAGAUGAGCCUGCUGAUGAGUUCAAAACAGUGCUCCGUACAGCCAUUCGAUGCCUCAACGACCACAAAAAGUACUACGAAAAGGUGAAAUUUUUUACACUGUUGCCUUAAAUUUCAUAAAUGAAAGUUCAAUGGCCUAAAACAUAGUUGCCUUCUGCUUAGAUUUUGCGCAAUGCCAUCAAAAAGGUUGGGACAGAUGAGGAUGCACUCACUCGUGUGAUUGUCACAAGGGCAGAGAAGGACUUGAAUGAUAUCAAGGAGAUCUACUACAAGAGAAACAGUGUGCCCCUUGAUCAGGCAGUUGCCAAGGACACUUCUGGGGAUUACAAGGCUUUCCUCCUUGCUCUGCUUGGAAAGGAGGAAUAGUUUUGUUCUUCUUUCAGCAUUUCAGAGUUUUCAGUCACAAUUCAAUAAUGGUUUCUUAUGUAGAACUUUCUUACUGUGAGUCUUUUGUUUUCUGUGGUCAUGUUCUUGAGUUCCUACCUGGUCCGUGUGACAUUAUGUAAUCCAAUGCUAUGUUAUCUGCAGUUGAGUGUUUCUCUAAGUGGCUGCCUGUUGGCACAUUCAGACCAAGUUUCAUUGAUGCACUGUAACUCUAAGCUUCCAUUUGAAUCAUCUUUCCCUAAAAAUUUAAGUCGGGCUAAUUGGUUAAAAAAUACCCUGACCUUCAAGUAACAGAAGAUUAGUCCCUGAUCCUUUUCUUUUACCAUGAACUUGAUCCUAAAUCUAUUUUUUUUCAACAAUGUAGUCCUUCCAUUCAUUUUUCCAUCUAUCUAUCAGCAUGUGUGGUCACGUGACCGUGUAGAAGGAUGACACGUGUGCCUCCCAUGUGGUCAAAUUUGAUGGAAGGACUACAAUGAUGGAUAAAAAAUAGGUUCGGACCUAAAUCAGAAUACAAAAAGGUUAGGGACUAAUCUCCUGUUGACAGAAAGUUCAGGGUAGUUCUUAACCGAUUAGCCUUUAUGUCAAGCAUCAAUUUAACUCAUGGCCUCUGCAGGGAUUGCAGAAGCAAGCAAAACAUUUCCAGCUAUAAAAUCCAAUACCCAUCUAGAUCAAAUAAAUAUGAUGGAGCGGUAAGCAAAAAAUUGCCCACAUGUAUUGUUGCCCUUAUUCAGCUCCAUCUACCAGUAAAUCCCCGAAUGCUUUUUUGAUAUUGUAAUGCAAUUCUUUUAAAGGGUUCGCAGUUUUUGGUGAAUUCUAAAUGAUGCUGAAAGGACAAAAAUAACUUUAAAAUUAUUUCAAAAACAUUUACUUUUAUAUAAGUUUCUAUCUUUUAACUAAACACAUUUCUCUUUUUUCCCGAUCUUAUAAUACUAACCAUACUUGGUUUGCCUUUUACAUGGCACUUGAGAGUUGAUAAACUUCUUUUUUUUUAUUUUCUAAACAACAAAAGGUAAUUAAACUGCUUGUAGAUUUCAACAUGUUUUUGGUUCAAACAAUUCAACAAUAUUCUUUCUUCAAUAGCAAGACAAGCAACGGGGCUGAGAGCAACAUUUGUAGACAAAAUUUGGAAUUGAAAGAUAAUAAUCCAAUAUAUUGAAGCAUGAGAAAUAAGAGCAGCUGAAUAAGUUGAUGGAUUUUAAACCUAUGUACAAGCAUAACAUUCCACCAACUACAACAAAAGUGCUGAGCUAAUUCGGAAACUGAAAAAUUGUCGCAUGUUAUUGCCACUGCUGUCUGGCAAACCAUAUCUUGUAAUAGCCGUGAGACUAAACUGGAUGAGUAAGCAAAUGCUAGCAGAUAUGCUGACCAGGAAUGUUGAUAAGGCCAAGUACAACAUGCAAGCUUCGUUUCCAGACUCGAUGCUCAACUAGAUUUGAUAUCAUCUCCAAACUUUGUAUCAUAUGCACCAGAAGACUCCCAUAGAAUUUUAUACUAAGCACAGAUCUUGGCUCUCUGACUCUCCCUAGAGCCUGGAAGCCGCCUCAACAAAUAUGAAAAAUAGAUGAGUCUGUUAUCGAAGGGAAGGGUCAGAAAGAAAUCGGGUUAACUACUAGCAUCAUAUGAAGAAAUGAACAAUAACCUGGAAAUUGAUCUUCUGACAAAAGACAUCGAGUCUUGAUGCAUAUGAACCAUGCCUCGGUCUUUGAUGCUCUAUGCUACCUUAAGAUUCCCGUUUCCUGCUCUGACUGUUGAAGCCAGGCAGCAUGGACUUGGAUUUAGAGUGAGCUCGACUUAUGAGUCUCUGAUGCAAUAAGAGAAAACUUGAAUAAGAAUCAAGGAAUUCACAGGGAUAUAUAUGAUAUGGACAUUAAAAGUAACAAGCAGCAAAAUAUGUCUGACAAACCUGUAGACAUAAAGCAACUCCAUUUCUACGUCCGCCUCCACAGCUGGCCAAUAGUAAAUCUUAACUCAGACAUACAGUAAUUAAUCCACUUGAGUAAGAAACAUAAACCGAAGGGAGAAAAUGAAAAUUAAGAUCAGCGAUACCUCAAUGUGUUGAAUGGAUUAAAGAAGAGAGACUCUACCAGUCUUCUGGUUCAAUCCAGCGGCCAUCAAUCUUGAUGUAGAGUAAAUGAGAAAUCUUGGGCCAAUCUUCCCCUUUCUCCUUUUCACACCUUUUUUCUAGCUGAGGGCAUCCACUGAUUUCAAAAGAAUAAAGGGAGGAUGGAAGCCCCCUUUCAGGUAUGGAUUGGAGAUUAGGGCAUGUGUCAAUCUUCAAUUCUCUAAGACAGGUGAGGUGUAGAAGCCCGUUGUAGUCCAGAGAUUUCAAAUUUUCAAGGGACCGGAUUUCAAGGGACCGAAGUUCUAAAGGCAGCAGCAGCCCGUCAGGGAAAGAUUCCACAUCUUCAUUGUAAGCAAUUAUUAAUUUUGAAAGAGAACAUUGAAGAAGCAAAUCCCAUUGUGCACGGCUUGCAAUGAGUUUAUUGCAACUUUGGAUGCAGAGUGUUUCUAGAUCAAGUGGCAAACGCCCUUCUGGAAAUGACUCAAGUUCAGGAAGUCCUUUCAGUUCCAAAUCCACAAGGGAAAAAAGGAAAGGCAUUUGCUCAGGCAACGCCUUUAAAUUUAUGCAAUCAAGUAACCUAAUCUUUGUCAAAUUCGGAGCAGAUAACCCUCCUUUGGGAAAACAAACCAAGUUAGGACACCCCUGGAUUUCCAAGAAACGGAGAGACCUGUUAUAAGGCUUUUCAUAUGCUGAAAGAGAAUUCAGAUUCGGACAAUUCUUGAUUUUUAGAGUCUGUAAGUUGGAGAACAACUCUAGCGGGAAACACUCGAGUAGAUCAAAAUGAUCUAUUUCAAUAUUUUCAAACAUAGAGGAUAAGCAACCCAUCAGCUCCAAUUCCUUUACCAACGAAUCUACGGAGUCCAAUCUGCGAAUCUCGAGUUCAUACAACUCAGAAGGCAAUUUCUCUAAACGCAGAUCCCGAGAAGCAUCAUUUAACCAAAAUCUGUUAAUGAUUGGAUACCAAGGAAAUGGGCCUCCAAGCUGCUGACAAUCAAGGAUGUUAAGUUCUGUUAAAGAAGGAAGGUGAUGAUUCGGCAAUGCCUUCGUUAGGCUGAUGCAGCCUGAUAUGUGAAGCUCUCGAAGAAGAGGGAAAGCUUCCAUGUCCUCAUCAGAAAUCCAUUCAUUCCAUUGUGGCAUGCUAGCAAAAGUUAAAAUCUCGAGGGAUCCAAAUGGCUCCUUCAAGGAUGUGCAGCUUCCAUAGAACUCGUGACCCACCACCACAACUCCUUCAAAUUCCUGGAUGCAUAGUUCCUUUAAAGACCCUAGCUGUCCAAGUGGAGGUAAAGAGGUGCAAUAUGCACAUUUGAAGAGAUCCAACACUACUAUAUUUGAGAAAGAAAUGUCUGCUAUCCAAUCUGGAAACCUUGUACCCCCAUAACCACCAACAUAAAGACUAGUCACACCUGUAUGGGGCUGUAAUUUAUCAAGAACGUCUCUUUGGUGCUGUGAGUCAUCAGCAUCGCCAUCCCAUCUCAACUCCAACGCUUUAACCUGUUUCAUACCCUUCAAAUUGGCUUCCAAAGCAUCUUGAGCGUUCACAACAUUUUGAAGACCCCAAAUCGUUACUCCCCCUUGUAGAUGUUGAAGCUUGCCCAACUCUAUAAUGCUAGAACCACCCUGUCUUCCCAGAAAAAAAUCACUCAGUGUUUGGAGCUUUGUCAAUCUAUCCAUCUGUGAAGGCAUCUUCGACAGCUUUGUUCCUAAAAUAUCAAGAUUUUGCAAGUUGAUUAACCUUGCCAUAUCAGCUGGCAACUCCGUAAGUUUCUUGCAUUGCUUCAAGAUUAAAGUUCGCAAGUUAUACAAUCCACUCAUGGAUGCAGGUAACCUUUCAAUUGCUGUUUUCGUAAGAUUCACAUGUCGUAAUUGCUUCAGAUUGCCAAUUGAAUUAGGCAAUUCAGCAACCCCUUUGCAAUCUUCCAAGAUUAGCGUUUGCAAAUUGUAUGCAGUACUCACAACUUCAGGUAACUCUUCUAUUGAUGUUCCCCAAAGGUUCAGAUAUCGCAAAUGCUUUAACUUUCCCAUUGAAUUAGACAACUCAGCUAUACUAGAAAUAGCGAGACAAGGAUAGCACUCGUAAUCGUCUAAGGCUUGGUAAUAAAUCACGUGUUAGGCCAUCUUCAAACCGGUAGUCUUCCCACUGCUUUGCCAACGGUAGAAAAGUGCGCAAAUGUUCAGCUCCAUAGAUUCCUACGAAUUUUUUAAGGGAAUCAAAUGACUUUGGUACAUAUGAGAAAUGACGAGCCUUCGCUGCAAUCUUGUUUGAAUCAUCAUCCUCCAACAGGAAGCAAAACUCCCCCGUCACAGAUUUGGCCAAAUCAUUAAUGAGGUCGUGCAUAAUAAACAAUGAUAGAUUGUCACUAGAAUAUCGUUGAAAAAAUGACCUGGAAACAAGAUCAUCAAAGAACUCGCCACCUACAUCUUCAAACUCCUCCUCUCCUUUGAGUGGGACAAGAAAACCACCCUCUGCCAUCCACAAACGUACUAAAUCAUCCUUGUUGAAUCUAUAAUCUUUGGGAAAUAGUGCACAAUACGCAAAGCACUGCUUCAGUGGGGCAGGAAGGUAAUAGUAGCUCAGUCUUAAAGCUGGAAGAAUCGGAUCUUUCGGCAAAGUCCACAUGUCACUCUUCAACACUUUCUCCCAAUCUUUUGCGUCUCUUUUGGAGCGUAGGAGACCCCCCAGAGCUUUUGCAGCUAAAGGUAGGCCAUUGCACUUUCUUACAAUUCCUCUGCCAAUUUGUUCCAAGUCUGGACAUGCACCAGAACUUCCAUCAUCAAAUGCCUGUUUUGCAAAAACCAACCAGCAGUCGUCUUCAGUUAAUUUCUGCAGAUGAUGUGUUGGAACAGUUGACUUGACUGAUGCUACGCUAUCAUUGCGUGUUGUAACGAUGAUCUUACUCCCUUGUCUCACAGACUUUAAAGGUGUCAAUAAAGAAUCCCACUGAUCUUGAUUCUCACUCCAAACAUCAUCUAAAACAACCAGCACUGUUUUCCCUGCUGUUCUCUUCUCUACCUCUUUGUGAAGCUGAUCUGCAGUCAUGGUAUCACAAUUCAGUGAGCCGGCCUCUAGAAGCAUAUCUUUGAUUAACUUGAAAACAUCAGAUUCCUCUGAAACAGAGACCCAUACCUUCAGAUCAAACCGCUCUUGAACUCUGCUAUCAUUGUAGAUAAGCUGAGCAAGAGUGGUUUUACCAACCCCACCCAUACCCACUAUAGGAAUCACAUCUAGCUUUGCAUCUUCAGAUAACAUCAACUUCAUUAUGGCUUCCUUAUCGUCAUGCCUACCAAAAACCCCAGAUCCAUCCACCAGAGAAGUUGUUGGUAUUUUGUAGGACAAGGGUUGUUCUCCAAAACCCUCUUUCAGUCCAAGAGCAUCCUUUUGCUGUACUAAAUAUUCAAGUAGCUCAAGAAUGUCCUCUAACUUAGCUCCCAUCUCUUCCUUCUCUUCCUUCUCUUCCUGGACUGUAUUACGAGAAGAUAAAAAGCCUCUAACCUGAUCAGUGCUGGUUUGAGAGCCAGCUUCAACCUCCAGUCUCAAGCCUUCAUAAGCAACCCCAUCCAAGAAGUCCUCUGCUUCAUAAACAGCAUCUUUGAGCUCGACAAGCCACUCUUUUACAAACGAGUCACUGAUCUGCUUCUUUUCAGCAUCAUUGAGCACCUUAUUAACAGUAAUCAUCAGUAUCUUCAACUUCUUCAGCAGUCUAUCAUUUAGUUUUUGGCUUUUAAAGAAGUCAACAACCUGGCGAGAAGCCAUUCUAUCAAACAAAACCUGGAGGGAAGCCGAAAGAAAAGCUCCACCUACCAAAGCAGCAGCCAUGGUUUGAUCUUCACGUAGUACUGUUUGCAAAACGGGUGCAGUAAGAAUCAAAGCAAGAAAUGGUGAUAGAGAAAAUGAACAAGAAGAGAGAUUAGGAUUAACUUUGCUUGACAAACCAAGAAACUGCCUUCUCGUUUCUUUUUAUUUACUAUUAUUAAACCAGAAAGCGUGUUUUCUUCUGCUAAUUUCCAUGUCGGAUCCCUAUGGACGUUAAAUAUUAUCCAAGCAGUUCAUUUGGUUAAAAAGGUUUUGACUUUGUUUUGGUUUCUUGCUUGGAUUUAUGAGCUGGAACUUCGGAGUGAAUAUCUAAGAUAGUUUAUUCUCUUAAAUACACUGGACCAAUGUAAAAGUAUAAUAUUGUAAGAUGAUUUAUAUUAAAGAAUCAUCUUAACCCAAUAGCUUAAGCUGUUAGGUGAGGUUUUAAGAUAUAAUUUAUAUUAUUCUCUAACACAUCCCCUUGAGUAAAAGUUAUUUAGACUUGAAACUUGCACAGAUCCAUAUUACCUUGUGCUUGAUUUUUAUCAAAUAAAUAAAGAUGAUGAGAUUCGAACUCGUGACCGUUUGGUUAUAAGGCUCUGAUACCAUAUCAAAGAACCAUCUCAACCCAAUAGCUUAAGCUGUUAAGUGAGAUAUCAAGAUAUUAUUCUCUAGCAAUUAAAAAAAAGUAUUUAUUUUCUAUUGAUGCAUAAACUUGAUUAGAAAAUACUCCUUGCAAAGUCAACAUGUCAGUUCAAAACCAAAUACAUUGAAUAAUAAUUUAAGAGAUUUCGUUUGCAAGGAGCUUAUCAUUUUAUGAUCAAGCCGCGUUUUCCAUAUUUCAAAAGGCAUUGGGUUUGGAUUCAACCCAGCCAUGUUUUAAGCUUCAACGCUACGGCUAAUGCGUAUCUUACAGGAAUAACCAGAAUGGGGUGGCCCUUGACUCGGUUUAGGAGCUGGAUCAGCAGGUCCAUGGUCCAACCCUGGUCAGCUCUUUUAAGGAAAAGACUCCAUCUUGCUAUCACUCGGUUCAUGUUCUUCGUUAAACGCAAACACUUGGUGAGUACCUCAAGAACUCUUUCAUUAACACUCACACCCCACCUCUACACUAAACUCAGCAAACCUCAUAAAGAACAUGAGUUAGAACGAAUCAAUAGCACCAAACAAAAGAGUUUCUUAUAGUGAGCCAAACAACCCGACUGAGACUCGACCAAUCAAUUUGAAGAAUUUGUUUUUAUUCAAAACAAUGCUGUUUCGAUUUUUUUUUGAAAAUUUAUUUAGGUUGACUUGCUGACCUAGAAGAGAGGAGAAAUUUGAAUCUCACUACAAAAAUGUGAGCCAAAGUGUAAAUGAGCGUAAUAAUUUUUCGGAAAACUCAGGUGAAUGUACUCGAAAGUACAAGAGAGAGGAAGAAAAUGAAUUGCAAUGUUAAGAUAUCACAAUGAAGAAACCAAUGGCUGCGAGGAAGUAGACUUUGAUGCCAUGAAGUUUGCUGAUUGUAAAGUGGGCUGACAAUAGGCACUUCUGGCAUUCUCACAAUUUAUUUCCAUCUUACCGAACUUCCUAUCUAGUUCAUCAUGUUCAACCGCAUCCUGAACAUAAAAAGACAAAGCAUUUACGUUGUCAAUAAGAUUCAGCAUAUAUAGCUUAGUUGGAAAGCUACUCCAUUAUGUAAUAAAAAAAUCAAAUUAUGCCUAGACAAUUUGAAUCCAUAUCAUUUCAAUUUUAUUUGGCUCCGAACACCACUUCCUCUGCCAGACAUGUUAGCCAACCGAUUGGACAAAGGCCAUUGAGGAAAAAUGUAACUUGACAUCGAAAACCAUAUAAUCCAAGAUGCUUAGAAGUGCUAGAAAGCAAUAUAAUUUUUUUUUUGAAAUUUCACAGAAUAAUUUAAGCUUUUUUUACUGAAUUAAUUUUUUAAUUUGAUAUCAGGUCCAAAUGAUCAGGAAUUUAUAUCUGAGUAUUUCUAUUCUAUCUAAUAAAAUUAAACAUAAAAUAGUGGUUAUACAAGUUUAAAAAUUAAUAUAAAAUUAUUCUUGAAAUUCACCGCUCGCAAACUAUUUCUUUAACUGAAGCAGAGAAACGAGACAACGGAUUUUAAACAACUGCAGUAUAAUGAUGUGGGAAACAUUAAGAGAACAAAUACAUACCUUAACAGAAUAGUGGCGAAAUGUAGGAAGAAAACGUAUCUUGCAGUACUCAUUGAACAUUAUAGUAAGCAGUAAGAGUGGAAUUGUGGCUAUGGAAGCAGAAGGUUUUGACUUCAGCCCAAAAAGACCAAUCAUGGUGAUUUGCAUAAGAAUGAUUCCGACGAAUAUGUAAUGAUGAACGUAUGGCCAAUACUGUCCGCAUGUAUCAUAACCAGUUUCGUAAACAUCUUCAAUCUGCUAACCAUGUUGGAAAAAAAUCCUUGAUAAGCAAGCGAAUCGACCAUACAAAGGCAAGGAAAGAAAUCAGAAACUUAACCUGGUUGACAUAUACAACGUAGCCUAGAUAGAAGUAGCCAACAAGAAAUGGAAGCAGCAAAGGAGCGACAACUGCAUAUACCAUACCAAUGAUUAUUGAUAGGGAGACUGAAGGGAUGAUUCUAAAAUAGAGCAAUGAAUAGAGGUAAGGAUUUUCCUCGUCUCCUGAUCCGCCAACUGUGUGUGAUUUCACGGAAUCCCAAACAAGCAAGCCCGGCUGAAGGAUUUCCAAAGAAAAUCCUGACAACCCAUCUGUUAAGAUGUAUGUCACGAAAAAAUCAGCCUGCAAAAAAGAACAAAUUAAUUAGCAGUCAAGCGGAGCCUGCAAGUUCAUAAAUUCAUAUUAGCUAAGAAUUGUUUGCAUCAUAUGCCAGGGAAAAAGAGAAUUGUGGUAGAUAGCAUAUAAACUCAAGAAAAAGCUUCAAAUAAUACACCAACUAAUUAGAUUAAGGCAACCUAGCUUACUUGAGAAGAGACAGCACUGGCAAGAUGACUAGGAAUACUCCUAGGGUGGGUAAAAUACUCUCCAAGUUCAUCCAGUAGGGAUCCUGAUAUCAAGCUCAAAAAGAAUACAUUUCCCACGAGAAAGUAGAAAACCAUAUUGCAAGCUUUAAUCUCCUCCUUGCUCUUCGAAAUCGAACCGCCUAAUUUAGCCAUGCCAAGCAUUGCAAAGGGAACAACAUAUAUAAAGCCUUUGAGAAUGGCACUUGGAAGAUACCCUGUAAUAAUGGAGCUUAAUCCUGGUCUAUUGCAGAACAAGAACAAUAUGUCAGACAGUUAUACAGAACUCUGAGAAAGAGUUCAAACAUUCGAUUAGUAUUCUGUUAAGUGAUUGCUUAAAGUUUAUAAUAGAUGCGAAAACUAAUUAUUUCUUAAAGCAUAAUGCCAAAAAAACAAAAUUGGAAUUGGAAUCCUCACAUUAGCUCCAUAGCCAUGGCUGGGGGGAACCAUUUCUUAAGUUUCUCAAGUUUAGCUAUUCCUUGAACAGCUGUAACUGGGACUGCAAAGAAAAUUGUGAGGAGAGAUGCUGCAACAACGACCCCGAUUUUGCAAAGUGGCAAAAUCUUAAAGGGAAUUUCCAGACUCCUCCAAGAUACAUCCCUUGGUUCUGGAGCCAUUUCCGUGAUCCAUAUGAGUGGAUGUGAGUGCUGUUGAGUUUGGGAAACUAAUGCUGCACCACGUCGGGACUUGAAUGUAACAAAGGCAACAGGCAACUCCUAGAAAAAUGAAAACAACUCAAGUUUUAAUGGUUAACUUAUAACCAAAUGUGAGACAUGAAGCAUGUAAACUUUUCAUGAAUCGCAUUUAUGAUAUAUCGCAGUUAAAGAUGCAAAGUAUAACGCAAGGCAAAAACAAGGCAUGUAUCUGCAUGGCUGUUCCGAAUACCAUUAUAAAUUGAGCUUCUAGAAGUCCCCACAGUUAAUACUUGACAGAUGAAACAUAUUCCAACUUCAAACUUGAUACAAACAUCCAUGUAAAUUUCUCUGAAGUUACCUUUCCUUUCAGCAUACUUUCGUUCAGUAAUUGACGAAUCUUACGAACAAUUUCUUGCUGCUUUUCCUUAAACAAAGCUAUUUUCGCAUCAUCUUCUUGAGAUACAUCUAAGAGUAAGCUUUCCUUGUCGCGUUUCUUAACUGUUAGCUUUCCUCUCAGGUCCUCUAUCUUUCUCAAAACAUAUUUUGCUUGGUGCUGCAUACAACAAUAUCAGAGGAACCAAGCAGAAUUGAGAUGAAGAAUGUCUUACAAUAAGCAAAGACAACUAAAAAUCUUUCAGCGUGCAAUAACGAGCAUGCUCACUUGAAAGAACUUAAAUCAUUAAAAGCAUGGGUUGAUGAAAAUGUUAUUGAUAGUGCAUAACAUUGGUCACUUUUCAAUACCUUCUAUGGCAAACUUUGAGAGAAAUUUAGAAACAUUCUACCACGUAGGAAAAACUUUGCGCAUUGCAUACCUCAGCCUAAAUUCAUAGUUUCAGUUGCAUAAAUGCCAUAGGGGGCAGAAAAAAUAGAAACUCCCCUGAGCUACCAGAGCUUGACAUCUAAUAUCAAGUGUCAAGCAAACCUCAAAGGAUAUCAUGUUUCCAUAGUAAUGUAUUUUUUACAAGAGCUAUAUCGUGACAUUCUAAGGCAUAUAAUAUCUUUGAUUAUCAUACAAAGCAUAUAUAAUAACAUAGAGCAGCUAAUCUGCCGAGACUGAGAAUGAAAUAGAGCCAACGCAUUAGUGUACGAAAUUCCAAGUUGUUCAAACCUUACCAACAGAUCUUCGAUAUCUUUUCCAUCAUAUAUCAUCUGAUAAGAACAGUAACUGUUAGGAUGAUGUUUAGAGAAGAAGUGAUCAACAGAGCACCCAUAAGCGUUGUGUUCAUUGCAGAAGGGAACUUGCCGAACAAGAACAUUAAACCGAUCAGGUUGAUGCCUUAGGUUCCGAAGUAGUCGGAUCCGUUUAACCGAAAUUCCGUCAUAUUCCUGAAGAUGAAAUGAUGCAGGAAAACACCUCAAAUUUCAACUUAUCUUGAAUGUAAAAGACCAAGAAGCAACGUUAUUAUCGCAAUGAUCGAUCCACCAUUACAACCUGGAUAGUUCUGUCGAUGAUAAACAAUAACAUGCAAUAAGUGGAUUUAAAAAAAGUAGUAUUCUACAUUUGUGAAUAAAUAAACCGAAAAACUAACCUUGUACAGCAGAUAUAAUCCAUAAAAUGAUAUCAACCACAAGCACGUAAAAUGCACCCAAAGCCUGUGGAAUGAAGAAAACUUGGUAAAUCAAUUGAGUAUUUGAGUUAUAAAGCAGUCAAUUGGAAGAUAAGCUUAACACUAAAUGCCAGUACUGCUAUUCAUAUUCAAACACAUGUAACCAGUAAAAAUUUAGACAACAUGAAGUAUCUUGUAUGCAUACUUGAAUGCUUCAUAUCUAAAUCGUAAAAAACGUAUCAAUUCUUAGAAAUUCAGCAUGGUGAAAGAAGUUCAUUGAAUUUGCAAGAUGACAGGUUUCUUUCUUUCUUUCUUUUUCCCCCUGCAGAAACAGCAGUUUGUAUACAAACUAAUAGUUGCUUAGACAGACUUCAAGUUUUAGACAAACAAUAUGCAAAGUAGCAAAAUAUUCUACCCUCUCAAACCUGAACAACCAUAAGCAAGAUGGGAAACCCAACCUGUUCGAACCUGCACUAAUAUUUGAUAUUGUGAAAGGAUCCAUGGAAUGGUAGAUGCUAGAUUGUUCAUCUUGGUCACCGAAAUUGAUUGGCAGAAGUACCACUAAUCCAAUAAGAGAACAAAUUCCAAAGAAAUAUAUCCUGCAAAGCAAACCAUAAUUAGAAAAUGAGUAAUUUUCAAGAGGAUAUUCAAGAAAUAGAUCCUCAUUCUUGGAAAACAAAAACUUCAGAAUUCAUUCCAAUAUGAUAAUAUGCAUAAAAACCAAAAUAAAUAAAUGUGAAAGGGUGCUCCAUAAGAUCGAAAGAUUGCUCUAAAAUCUUUCCUGUUUAGUUUAUUUAGUAUAAAUCAGAAUUUUUCCAAGUUUUCUUAUCUUGAUUCUGUCAAGAAAGUACUGAAAUUUUUCCCAGCACUUUCUAAUUACUUCUCAUGCCAAUUCAAGAACAAAAAUUUUCAAAUUUGUCAAGAACAUAAUCGAGUCCAAGAAACAUUACAGACUGGAAUUCAUGGGCAAAGUUAAAAACACAAAAGAAGCAAACUAACCCAAAUUUGAAGAGUCUGAUAAUGAUGAGAGCAUCAAGGCCACCAAUAUCAAGAACUUCAUCUUCAGUGACUCGAAAAGCACGAAGAAUCCAAGCAACUGAAGGGAGAAAGCGGGAAAGAGUGAAAGACUGCUCAAAGUGAACAUGGUGUCGUUUGGAGAGGCGACGAGCGUAGUAAAUGGAGGCAUUAGAAGGUUGUUUCUUGAAAAUGGAGAAGAGGGAGAGAACUAUGAAUGCCAAGCCAAAGUUAAUGGCUGCCGAUGCAGUAAGACUUUCUGGAUUCAUUUUGAUCACUCAGAUUCAGACUCACUACCAAUGGCCAGAAUGGUUCUUAAGGAAGGGAUGGGGAGAGAGGAAAGAGUGCAAGGUUUGGGUUGUACGUGGCAUGGAUGCAUGCAAAGGAGGCAAAGUGGAUGGGGAUGAGCGUGCGCAACUGCCUUAGCUUGCAUGAAUUUUAUUAGUUUUGAGAUUUUGUGUUAAUUAAGUUUGGAAUUAUUAUGAGAAAAAACCUAAAAGAAAAUAUUAUGAGAAAAAACCACGUGUAUUAAAUUUAGUUUAGCUUAGUAGGUUGAUUUAAGAAACUUAUAAUUAGGAACCUGUUUCUGAGUUUUAAAUUGAAUUAACUUGUUAGUUUUUAAAUUUUUAUUGAUUUAGUUAACUAAUUAAAUUCGUUAAAAUCAACUUUGAUAAUUUUUUUAAAAAAUAAAAUGAUAUUUUUUUACUUAAUUGUUUAAUUCGAGUUUAGUGAUUGUGUUUAAUUUAAUAUUAUUUUAAAUAAAAUAAUUAUCUUUUUUUCUGGUCAAAAUUGUCAUCGUUUGUUUUUUUAUUUCUUAAAAUAAAAAAAAUGAAAAUGAAAUGAAAAAGAAUAUAAAAUGGAUGAAAAGAAUGAAGUUAUAAAUGAAUAGAGAAAUAAUGUUUAAAUAAUAAUUUAUAAAACUACAAGCACCAGUAAAUUAUAAGGGACAAAAUUAUAAUUAACUCUAAGAUUUAUUCAUUUUCUUUACUGCUUUUUUUGUUAUUCGAUGCCAUUUAAUGCUGAUGGGCUAAAAAACAUGUUUGGGCUCAAUUGAUCUGGCAAGAUAGCCCACAUAAACUCUACAAAGUGGACGAUGAGGCCCAUAAUAAUUUCUAUAUGGGCCGUAAUGACCCAAGAAAUUGAGGUGGCUUAAGAAGUUAAAAUUGGUGGACCAGAGAUCACGCGUGCUGCUGCUGUGAUGCUCGUCCGUUUAUAUUAAAAUAAUCCUUAUCAAAUGCUACAUAUUUUUCAACUUUUUCUUAUUUUUUUUAUAUAGUUAAAUAACUCAGAACUUUUCUGAGUUUUGGAUUUUUUAAUAUCUUAAACUAUUUUUUAAAUAAAACUCAGGCUUCUCUGUCUAAGUUUUCGUCCACUCAUUUUUAAAAAAAUUUUAAAUUGCAUGUUUUUAUAUAUAUGUCAUGUUUCUAAACUAUCAUCUACAAUAAUAAAAUUUAAUAAAAAUAUCUUUUAUUAAAAAUAAUUUAAAAUAUUCAAAUAUUCAAAUAGAUUACUAGCUACCAGGUUUUUCUUCUUCUUUUUUCAUCAUAAAAUACAAGUAUAUAAACGUUAAAAUAAAUAUAAAAUUUUAUUUUUAUUUAUUUUAACGUUGAAACUUAUCACUCACACUAAAAAUAUAUAUUUAUAAAAAAAUUACUCUUUUUUUAUGUGAAAUUGAAUAUUUGAUAAUAUUUAAGGAGUAUAUUUACUUUCCACCAUGCCUUCAAAGGUAUUUGACUUGGUAGAAAGCUAUAUAAAAUUAAAUUGUCAUCAUAGCAUGAUGUAAUGGAUUAAAGAAAAUGAAAAACUUAUUUCUUAGUUAACCCAAAAUUUUGAUUAGUAUUCUAACAAAUUAAAAAUAAAAAUAACUCGUUUUAGGGUAGACUUUGCUUGAUCUUGUGACACACGGGUUAACGUUGACCAGUCCAUCACCGAGCCUCAGCCUGGGUCAGUUCUGACGACGAUGCUCUCCAUAGGCAACCACAACUGCAAGGGAGUGGCUUGACCUGGAUCCCACAGAGGCAAAAGUGGAUAAGGAGAAGAACAAAGGGAUGGCAGGGCAGCCAUGAAGGAAAUCUUUGGAGCUUUUAAAUGCAAUUUCGAGACAAGCAAUGUAAAACAGACCGGAAACUGUGUUGUUGUUUUCUCAGUUGACUUGGUCUCCUCUAACCUCAUUAAAUUUUACCAGGAAAAAAAGAAAAAAGAAAUAAGAAACUUACCGGAAACAGCAGCGGCCUUUAACGCAUCAGGGAAGAAGUCAGAACCCUUGACACCGACCCUUUAGAUACCCUUCUCCACAACACUCCAAACAAGAAAUUAAUCUCCAAUCCCUUCACACUCACCAACUAGAUAUUUUCGCCUAUAUUUCGACGGUUGUCCAAAAUGUAAAGGAACACGACAAGUAGAUGAAACCAAGAAACACUAGUGUUCCAGGUCCUCGGUCUUUGUUAACGUAUAUUACUUGUAGAUCCCGUCCAAGAAGAAUUUAACCAUGGAGGUGGAAACUUCUUUUGUGGAAUUUUCAGUCAGUCUUCGCAGUUCUUGAUUCUCUUCUUCAGGUUCAUAGUCUUAUUCGUUUCUUUUACCUCUGGAUUAUGAAUUUUCUUGCUUUUGAAUUCUUGUUCUAGUACAUAAGACUUGCUGUGUACACGUUUGUGUGUGUAAAUAUAUAGACAACCACGUGUGUGUGUGUGUGUGUAUCUUGUUGUUUUCAGGCUCAGUUUCUGUUCAGUUCUUUUGAUUUCUUAAUACCUACACACUUCCUCUGUCAACUUCUGUAGAUUUCUUGAGUUUUGGUUGGUCACUUCUAUAAUUACAACCCUUAAAUACUCUUUCUCCACAUACUUGAUACGAUAAAGAAAUGGAAAAUCCUGAUAGCAGAAGCAUUUCUGAGAUUGAAUCAGAGCAACAAGCCUCAACAGAAGAGGUGGUAUCACUUGCUAAGAACUCAGAAUUCGAUAGAGAAAUAUUUACUGAAUUUGCAGUUCUACUAGACAAGUUCACACCGGUUCUUGUAGCAAUAAAGGAUAAUGAGAAACUCAUGGACAGACCGCCAGUCAAAAAGGGAGUUGAAUCCAUAGAGAAAGAGCUUAAUCGAGCUAAUAAAUUAAUUGAAGGAGCUUGUUCAAGAUCACCCAUCAAGCAAAUGAGGUUGUUACUCAAGAACUUGGGAGAUCAUUAGGCCUUGUGCUUUUUGCAAGCAUUGAUGCAUCCACAGAAGUUAAACAAGAUAUUGCAGCAUUGCACAGAGAAUUGAUGAAUGUGAAGUUUGAUAUCAGUUUUACACCAAGUCCAAGUCCAAGUCUCGGCUCUAGCCCUUGUGUAAUUCAUGGUCAAUCCGGGUUCGUAAGUGAGCAGGGCUCUUUUAUUAAUGAAAUUGAGGAAAAAGAUUAGUCUUAGCAUUGAUGAUGUAGUGUUACAACUCAAGUAUGGUAAUGAUGAAGAAUUCAGGCUUGCACUUUUGGUCUUAAGUGAUUUUAUUAGGGAUCAGGUAAUUGAUAAAGAGUGGAUCCAUGAAGAAGAUAUUAUUCCAAUUCUGUUUAAUCGGCUAGGCUCGAGCAAGCCUCACAACAGGUUAACUAUCAUCCAGAUACUGAGAAUUCUCGCCUUGGACAAUGAUGAAAACAAGGUGAAUCAUAUGAGAAAUGUCUUAAGUUUUCUACAUAAUUUUGGUUGCAAGUUUAAGAAUUUCUACUUUGUAGCCAUCUCACAUUGUCUGGUAAUCUGCAGGAGAAAAUGACAGAUGGAGUCUGCUUGUCAGGGUUGGUGAAAUCUUUGGCACGUGAUGCCGAUGAAGGGAGGGAAGCUAUAGGUCUGUUGUCAGAACUCUCAGAUAUUUCUGCAGUUAGGCGACGAAUUGGAAGAAUUCAAGGAUGUAUUGUUAUGCUAGUCACCAUGCUUAAUGGGGAUGAUCCAACUGCUUCUCACGAUGCAGCAAAGUUGUUGAUUGCACUGUCAAGCAAUACUCAAAAUGUGCUUCAUAUGGCUGAGGCUGGUUACGUCAAACCUCUAGUUCGUUGCCUGAAGGAAGGUAAUAUUAAAGCUUCCUUUCGGUUAAUGCAUGUUCUGUAGCAUAGUUUUCGUGUUCAGGACUGUGGAUGUAUUUGAUGUUGUUUGAUGUGCCUUUUGAGUGAAAAGGCAUUUGGGAUUUUUGCGAGUUGUGUGAAUUCUCUAUUGAAAAUCGAUAUGAAGUCUGAACUUGAUUGCUACCAAUUUUUUUCCUUUCAAGUCCCUUGUUGUCUAAAUAUAAUCAUCUUUUUUUUAUAUAGGCUCUGAUAUGAGCAAGAUCCUCAUGGCAACAGCAGUUUCAAGGAUGGAGCUCACAGAUCAGUGCAGAGCCUCCCUUGGUGAAGAUGGGGCAGUUGAACCCCUUGUCAAGAUGUUUAAAUCUGGAAAACUUGAAGCCAAGUUAUCUGCUUUAAAUGCAUUACAAAAUUUGUCAAACUUGACAGAAAAUAUAAAACGUUUGAUCAGUUCAGGUAUUGUAUCACCCCUGCUCCAGCUACUGUUCUCCGUGACAUCUGUCCUUAUGACACUCAGGGAGCCAGCUUCUGCAAUACUUGCAAGGAUUGCUCAAUCAGAAAAUAUUCUGGUUAAACAAGACGUGGCCCAGCAGAUGCUCUCGCUUUUGAAUCUUUCCAGUCCAGCGAUUCAGUUUAAUCUUUUGCAAGCUCUAAACAGUAUCGCAUCCCACUCUAGUGCAUCCAAAGUAAGAAGAAAAAUGAAGGAAAAUUGUGCAGUCCAGCUUCUUUUACCCUUUCUGACAGAAAGCAACAUCAAAAUCAGAAGUGCUGCAUUAAAUUUGCUUUACACCCUUUCUAAAGAUUCACCAGAAGAGUUCAUGGAACAGCUUGGAGAAUCCUAUCUUAUCAACAUAGUCAAUAUCAUCUCAUCAUCAGCAUCUGAGAGUGAAAAAGCUGCCGCAAUCGGAAUAGUAAGCAAUCUUCCUGUUAGCAAUAAGAAAUCAACAGAAGUACUGAAAAAGUUACAUUUUCUGCCCAUUCUGAUCUCACUAAUGAGUUCAGGUGCAUCAACAUCAACAAAAACAUGGUUAGAAGAGAGCAUUGCAGGCGUCUUAUUCGCUUUACCAUUCCUUCUGAUAAGAAAUUGCAGCUUCUUUCAGCAGAACUAGGGGUGAUUCCUAUCCUUUUGAAGUUGCUAGCAAGCGAAUCAUCAGUAGCCAAGUGUAGAGCAGCGAUCUCACUCACACAACUAUCGCAGAACUCAGUAGCUCUUCGAAAGUCCAGAAAAUCGCGGUGGACAUGUAUGCCUCCUUCCGCAGACACUUUCUGCCAAGUCCAUGAUGGCUAUUGUGUCGUUAAAAGCACAUUUUGUUUGGUCAAGGCCGGUGCUGUCCCUCCACUGAUCCAAAUAUUGGAAGGUGAAGAGAGAGAAGCUGAUGAAGCUGUCCUCAACGCCCUCGCAACUCUCUUGCAAGAUGAAAUCUGGGAGAGUGGAAGCCUCUACAUGGCCAAAACGUCUGCUGUCCAAGCCAUAAUAAGAGUGUUGGAAUCAGGAACUGUAAAGGCUCAAGAAAAAGCACUAUGGAUAUUAGAGAGAAUUUUUAGCAUUGAAGAACACAGAUCACAACAUGGAGAAUCUGCUCAGGCGGUCCUCAUCGAUCUUGCACAAAAUGGCCAUCCAAGAUUGAAAUCCACAGUUGCAAAAGUAUUGGCACGGCUUCAGCUAUUGCAAGAACAAUCUAGUUACUUUUAAGCAGUGUUAUUAAAUCGAUCCGAGUUGGGUUUCAAAAAAAACCAAGCAACAGUUGAUUCAAUCAAACAUAGAUUACCGGGUAGAUCAACUCACAACUCUAUUAUAAAAAAAAGAAAAAAAAUUCAAAAUUAUGUUUUUUGAACUUGUUUUUUUUAUAAUUAAAAUAACAUUGCUUUAUUCAAUUCGGUUUAAUUCAUCCAACCCGAUUUAAAUAAUAAAUCAAGGUUUAAUACCUCUGUAUUAAAGAGAGAAUUUACAUGGUGUGAGUUGUCAAUUUUUUUAAUGAUUUUAUACACAUUAUUUUAUUCACUUGUAUUCCCUUGAUGUAUUUAGAUAAUUUUUUUUUGUAUGAAUGAAGCAAUUAUGUUUUUGAUACUAUAGAAAUUGUGUUUCUGAUUUCCGUAUUUGCAUGGCUGCCAUUCAUGGAAGUACUUCCAAAAUGCUAUGUCCAUGUCUUAUGGACAAAAUUAAAAAAAAAAUCUUAAGAAAUAAAUUUAUAGUUAUAAAUCCUGAUCUAACAGAUAAACUUGAUAUUUAAUUUAAUUUAGGUUUUAUUUUGAAUUAGAUAUUUUUAAAAAAUUAAAAUGAUUUUAUUUCAUAUAUCAAAUUCAAAACAAUGUGUUAAUUUGUGGAUUCAGAGUUAACCCAACGAAUCUACUUAUAGUUUAAUUUAUAAAUAUUCAAUAUUAUCACACACUCGAGUUCGAAUCCUGUAAAGUGUAAACCCAUCUCUAAUCUUCAAUACGACAUGUCGUUUGCAUAAGACAUUAGUAAAAUAGAAACAGUGUCGUUUAGACCCGCGCCAUCUUCCUCCUCUAUUUCACUAAGCAAAAACCCUAACUUUCUCUCUCUAUCUAAAAAUGCUCCGUCGAAACAUCCGAUUAAGAAGAGAGUAUUUGUACCGAAAAAGCUUAGAAGGCAAAGAACGUUUACUUUACGAGAAGAAACGCAAAAUCAAAGAAGCCCUAGCUGGUACCAAUCCUCUUCCCUUUUUUAUUAAUUAAUUUAAUAAAAAACAGAUUUUUUAAAUUAAUUUAAUAAUUUUUACAGAGGGAAAACCGAUUCCUACUGAGCUUCGAAACGAAGAAGCCGCUCUUCGUCAAGAAAUUGAUCUUGAAGAUGAAAACACCGCAAGUAAGCCUCCUUUAUAUAUAUAAUAUAUAUAUAUAUAAUUUCUUAUAUUUUUUUAGUUAAUUAUUUUAUUGUUUGCAUUAUUUUAGUACCGAGGAUCAUAUUGAUGACGAGUAUGCGAAAGCGACCGAACGAGACCCGAAAAUUUUAUUGACUACGUCGAGGGAUCCGAGCGCUCCUCUUACUCAGUUUGUUAAGGUAAUUUGUUAGGUUUACGCGUUGAAUUGUGUUGAAAAAAUUAACUAUGAAAUAUUAUGUUGUUUGAUUUGAUUCGAAUGGUUGGCGGAACCUUGCUCAGGAAUUGAAGUUUGUGUUUCCAAAUGCGGAACGAAUCAAUCGUGGUGGUCAGGUUAGUGAAUUAAUCUGUUAAGUUUAUGCUCGGAGCUGUGCUCCUCCCUUUCAUGGUGAGUCUGAUGUUUUUGUGGGAUGGAGCAGGGCAGCUACUGGUAUAACUAAUAAUUUCUCUUUCAAGAGACUGACUUGGGGUUAAGAAGAUGAUUUGGCAUUUGUGUGUUUCGCAUUUAAUGAUUUACGUAGAGGUGGUGAAGAAAUGUGUGGUUAAUAGAAUUUUGUUGUGUGUGUAUAGAGGAAGUUGAGUUUUGUUAAAGCCUGCGAGUCUAGAUUUUCUUGGCUGUGUAGGAGAUUGAUUCUGUUUGAUAUGUUAGUGACUUUUUUGAAAAAAUGCUCAUUUGCAGGUUAUAUCUGAGAUUAUUGAAAGUUGUCGGGCACAUGAUUAUACUGAUGUGAUUUUGGUGCAUGAGCAUCGUGGUGUGCCAGAUGUUUGGUUAUAUGCCAUCUACCAUUUGUCCAACUGCUUACUUUGAAUUGCUCAAUGUGGUAAGUAGUUUGGUUAUUCUAACAUUUUUUGGGAGUAUUCAUUGGGCUAAUGUUUUGGGGAAUUCUGUAUGCUGAUUAAGUGUCCUUAUUGUAGGUUACUAGACAUGACAUUAAGGACAAGAAAGCCAUCGGAACUAUGCCUGAGGCCCACCCACAUUUGAUUCUUAACAAUUUUAAAUCCAAGGUAUUAAUUUCUCAUUCCCUGAAUGUCUAUUCUUCAGUAUUGGAGUUUGACUUCUUCAUGUGCAACUUGUGGUCAUUUGAAGAUUUGAUAGACAAUUAGCAGCCUUGAGUUAGCUUGUUGCUUUUGAAAGAAAUGGAAAUUGUGCUAUUUAACCAGUACAUAACCAAUUCAAACAAUUGCUUUAUUACUUAAACGUUUUAACCUGUGGAUGGUUCCAUUGUGGAAUUUCUUUUGUUGAUAUUGACAGCUGGGAGAAAGAACAGGAAAUAUUCUAAAACAUCUUUUCCCUGUGCCGAAGCCAGAUACAAAACGCAUCAUUACUUUUGCAAAUCAAUCUGACUAUAUCUCCUUCAGGUUGGUUCCCUGUUCAAGUCCAUAAAAGAUUCUUGUUUCAAGCCAAAUGAGGACCAUUUGAAACAACUUCCAUGAUGUCUUAUUUUAUGCCAUUAUAUUGUAAUUGCAUGGGAUAUCCACCUUUGCUUGGAGUUGCUUGGGAUACCUGUCUUAAGUUCAGCUUGUUUAUGUUCGUGAAAGAGCUCCAAGUAGACCUCAUCAAAUAGCUUAUCUACAUUGUUCAUUUUCUAGCCCUGUUAGUGUAGAGGUUUGCUAUGAGAAAAUUCAUAGACAAUCUUAUGAAGCUGAAACAUCUCAAAGAAAAGGAAUUUAAGUGUUUUUGUGGAAAACAAUGUUUUUUUUUAUUUUUAAAUAAUUCUGUGAUGAUGCUUUAGUCUUAGCUUAGCAAAUGACAGGAGGCAGCAGUCAUAAGCAAUUUGCCUUCUGCUCUACUAGCUCUUACAUCACUUUGUGUUGUUGGUAAUAGCAAUGAUGUUUGAUGUUGGGAAAGUAUUCAAAUUUAUCAGAAAAUAUCCUGAGUUUACUAACAGAGUGUAUAUUUAAAGAUUGAAACUUUGAAAAAUAUUCUUGAAUUACUUGGCCAGCAACAUAACAUGUAUCAUGAUAAAAAAAGUAGAAAAAAAAAAAUUUGUAUUGUUACCAAACAUGGUCAACCUGGUUGCUGAAUAGGAAGAAUGUAUAUAUGCACAAACCAUUACCUGGAAUAUUAUUUUCCUGUCAUGUGUUUGGUUAUCUCAAGUCUGAACAUUUUCUUCCUGUUGGCUAUUGUGUUUUCUGUUUGCAAGCUGUUAAUUAGUGAAAUUCAUCAUCUUUUUUGUACUGAACUGAUCACCUUUUCUUUUUUUCUUCCUAUGCAAUAUGCUAUGGCUGAUUUUUUUUUAUUUGGUAUUGUUUAGGCAUCAUAUUUACGAAAAGCAUGGAGGCCCUAAGUCUGUUGAGCUCAAAGAAAUUGGUCCACGUUUCGAAAUGCGGCUUUAUCAGGUAUCUCUAAUAUCAAUUAGUUCAAUUUUUGACCGUGCGUAAGAUUUCUUGCCUCGAAGUUAGAAAUGGCUUCCGUGAUAUUCUAAUUUUAUUUUUCCGUGAUAGAGAAAUUGUAGACAUCUAGAAUCUGAUUGAUAUCAGUUAUUGGCAAAACAUUAUUACAUCACUUAUAUAGCCUCUGCAAUGCCUUCUGAUAUUAUUACUAAUCGUCAGUGUAAUUUUUGGAUUAUUGAUGUUUCUGUUUCUACAUUGGCUCUGCAGAUAAAGUUAGGGACAGUGGAUCAGACCGAAGCACAAAAUGAAUGGGUGCUCAGACCAUACAUGAACACAACAAAGAAACGGAAGUUUAUUGGAGAUUGACAUGAGCCUCAGGAACUAAUAUCGAACUUUGUACCUUCAUUUCUUCUAUGUCUUGGCAAUUUUGGUAUCAAAUAUAUGCACGAGCCGAUUUAUAUUUGCUCCUGUUGAAGUUAUUUUCCCAUCGAAUGAGUAGAUAUGUAUCCGUGCUCUCUCUCGAACACUUCAAGCCAUUAACCAAGACAAAUUUUCUACUGAAUUCAUUGAGAUUUUUGUAUUUCAGCAACAAAUGAUGAUCGUAUGGCAUGAAAAAUAGAAAAUAAAUGCCCUUGGCAAUAUUGAUCUGAAAAGGAGACCGGGAUGGUCAAUUUCCAGCACCGGGUAUGAUGGGAUGAUAUUCCUGAAUUCCAGGGCACAAGAAAUAAUGAAAGAGCGGGAAAAAAUCAACGAUGUUUCACAAAACGACUUCAAAUGACUGGCAGUGAUUUCAAUUCUUAGAAGAGUUUUCCGUGACUAGGUUAACUAGUUGAUAUGAAUAUUACAACAAAAUCCCUUUGCAAGCAAGAUUUCUCUUUUUUGCACUGUACAGUACAGAUAAACGACUCCACAGAGUGCCCUUCAUCUUCUUCCUAUCAGAUACACAUACUGCCAGAAAAGCUAAACAGUUACUUGCCAGUUGGCGUUACUCCUCGUCUCUAUCUGCAAGUUAUUGCUUACAACUUGGGCGAUCAAGUGGGGAAAGUAAAGGCUACUCCUCCAUGCUUGUUUCCCCGUUUGCACCACUUUUUGGUGGCAUGCCAUCUUCAUCAUUUGGGCAAGCUUCGCUCACCUUUUCCCCAUUCAAUUGGUUAUCAGGUUGCAAAUCCCCGUCUUCACCACUUGGAAUAUCAUCCAUCUCUUUUGAUUCCUUUGCCUGGUUGUCUUCACCACUUGGAAUAUCAUCAAUCUCUGUGGAUUCCUCUGCCUCGUUUUCAUCUGGUGUAUCAUUGAUUAUUGCGCCCUUUGCAGGAGCAGGUCCAUCAGAUGGAUACGCAAUGUAGUGCUCAUGCUGAUAGCCCAUCAUACGUGCCUGGAAUCAAGAUUAACCAUGACUUCAAUCACUGGAACUUUAUACAGCAGACUAAGAUAAAAUUUGCAAGUGGAUUUUAAUUGGCAGCCAACAACAAAGCGGAUGCACCGCAUCACAGGCUGGAAAAGGUUUCUUCAUCUUGCAAGAUCAAGCUACUUUAUGCACGUGACUUAGCAUAUUAUAAGCCCAAAUGUUUACAUUUGAAGUACUUAAACAUACUUUACCAAUAUUGCAAGCCUGUCACUGCUUUGUGCGGUACUUGGUGCAACUUGAAUGUACCUCACCAUCACCCAACAGAUGGGAGUGACAGUGCCAAUGUCUUGGAGGUAUUAACAAGAAUAAGCACGCCCUUUUAAGAAUAAUGCAGAAGAUUUUCUUAGGAGAAGAAAAUGAUCGGAUAUGAAAAGUACAAACCAAAGUGCUCAAAACCAAAAGCCAGAUUGAUAUCUCUGACAAUAAACUAUUAAAGUUCAGACCGGGUGAAAAUCUGAUAACUUUAAAAUAUCUGAACAAGACAAAGCCAAAGGUCUUGUCAAGUUGAUCCAUCACAAACUACAACUUGUUAGGCAAGAGUUGAUUCACACCGUGUGUGUUUGUGUGUGUGCACUGGCGUUUGCAGGUGUGUGUAAGCUUCAUCAGCCUAAAAUGCUUUAUUCUUUACUCUGCAAUAUGCACAACUUUCACCUAACAUGAGGCAGGUUGCCCUUCAUAUUUUAUUAAGGUAUCUUUAACAAAUCAUUUUCAUAAAGGAACUAAGCAAGGCAUUCUCCCAUUUACUUACCGGGCUGUGCUAGUUUUGGGUGUGUGGCCACAGUAUAAGUUUAGGUUUUAAGACAGCCAAAUUGUCAAGACUGUUCCUCAACUUAAUGAAUUGAAGAAUCAACCAUAAAACAAGACGUGAAAGGUAUAUGAAGCAAAGAGCUAUAUACCUGAUGCAAUUGAUUCAUUUUAUCCAUUACAAUGUGGCCCAUCUCCUCAACGCUGCUAACAAAAUAAGGAUGUCCAAUGUCUUCAACUUGCCGCUCUGUAUAUGUCGAAACUUCACCAAAAUUCAGCGCAAGGCGAUCAGGUCUCUGAAGCAAAUGUUGAAAUGUAGGCUGCAGUUCAUAACAUUGUUCAAAAAGAGAUCGGCGGCAAAAUACAUAUAGUCCAAGUCGGGCACGGGACAUGGCAACAACCAAUCUUCUAACAUCACGAAGGUGACCCACAAAGCGAGAACGCACUAGAGAGAGCAAAAUAAAAUCAUUUUGCUGUCCUUGAAACUUAUCAACAGUGGCAACCUGUACAUGAGCAUUGAUGAUGAUUAUAAUGAUAUUGAAUAAAUACAUACGUACGUGUAUAUAUAUAUAUGAAAGCCUGCUGCCUGAAUUGCAACAAUGGUGUUAAGAGUAACAAGAUGGCAUUGGUGCAACAAAAGAUGCCCCAUGGAUGGAGAAUUGGUCAUUCCAUGUGCACCAACUCACAUGUAUAGCUUUUAUUUGGCAUUCAAGCAGCUAGAUGAACCUCAUUCUAAGCAAAAGUAUAUAAAUAUGUGAAAAUCAACCUUUAGAAAAAUUACUCAUUUUUCAUGUCAUUAUGCCUAGUUAAUGUAAGAGAAGCAAUCAAGCAUCUUACCUUGCAGGGUGGGCCUAUAAAGUCAUAAGGGACGCAUCUUCUGUUGAUAACAUCACGAAUAAGAAGUUUUUGCCCAUUGUAAGUGGUCAAUAUGGAGAUCUUGUUUGCAGGAUAACCAAGCAAACGCAUGUAUAUAUAAACACUAACAAUGUAUUCAGCCUCUCCCUCAUUUUGAUAGAACCAGGGAGAAGGAGCAGUCUCACCUCUCCCAUGAUAAUCAGGCACGUCCACUAACUGGUAAUCAUAGGAGAACCCAGCAUUUGCAUUCUUAAAGAUAGCCCCCUCCUUUACAUAAGGAAGGUCUCCCAAAUCUCUGUAUCUCCAAUUGUAAAGCUUAGCUAUGCUUGGCCUGGCUCUACCCUGGGCAUUGAGCUCAAUAUAAGGAAUACCCAGCCGAACAAACCUAGUGAAUAAGCUCUGAUCCAUGUGGCUAUACUUCUGAAAAGCCAUGUUUUUCACAACAGGAGGCAACUGGUGAUGAUCACCAAUCAGUAUGCAGCGUUUAAGACGUGCGUGACCAUCCUCCUGCCUCUGAAGUAACAUUGGUAUGAAAGUUUCAAUCUCCAAUAUUUGGGCACUUUCUUCCAUCAGCAAGUUGUCAUACUUAAAACCCAACUGGAGGAAGUCCUUUCUCUUCAGAGCUGCAUGUGUACAGGUCAUUGCCACUAUCUUUGCCUGUUUUGUCAUUAGGUAAUUUGCUCGAUCAGCAGUUGAUUUGAGCAAUUCAAAAGCCCUACACUCUUCUAGUUCUUGGAACAUAGUCUUAAGAUGACGAAAGCACCCUUUUGCUGCCCGCAUGUCUUUCUCAAAUGAUUGACCAGUAAAAACUGGCUGAGGGGUGUUGGAGAAGAACUCCUUAAAAGGAAAACGGUCCUGGACAAGUGUUGGUUUAUCUUCGUUAUCCGCACAAGUAGCAAGGAAUUGCCCAACGUGAAUAUACAUGCAGUAACCAAAAGUAUCCAGCAGUUUCACAAGUAUAAGCUACAUCCUCAGGAAGUUGGAGAGAUCUUGCAAGCCUCUCCACUUCGCUAAGCAAUUCCAACCGUCGAACAAGCAUUGCAUUGACACGCCCUUGCCUACUGAAGUCAAGAUCAGUUGCUAGUUCUUGUUCACCUUGACCAAGUCGAAGAAGAUACCGUGCUGGCACAUCUCUCUAAGAAAACGAUGAAAACGUUCCAGGCAUUAAGGCAACAUAUACACGAAAUAAGCUUUUCUAGAUACAGAACAGGCUUUAAUAUCAAGAACACCAGUGAAUGCUCCAUAUCAAGAGUGCAAAACUCAAGGGAUCAUAUUCACAAUAACAACUAUCUAAAUUACUAGUCUUUAUGUCAAUAUCCACGUGAAUAUAUUUCAAACCUAAUACCUGCAUUAUCUUCUCAAACAGGUCAUUCAAGGCCUGGUUGGAAUGGGUGAUUAUUAAUGUUCUCUGGGACGGACAAUUAUGAUAUAGAACAUUCAUGAUUUGCACGGCUGUAUCAGUCUUUCCAGUACCAGGAGGCCCCACAACCAUGGUUAGUCCUGGCUGGAUACCAGACAUGAUCGCUCCAAUCUGCAUAAGAAAAACAAAUGCAAUCAUUCAAAUAGAAAGUAAAAGCAUGUUUCUUAUCCAUCAUUAUCCACUUCAAUGCUUGUCAACCUUGUAAGUGAAAAAAGAGACCAUGGUGCCAACAUUUAGAAGAAUCUGUUAGAUUAUAAACCCCCAAUGUAGACACAUAAAAGCUUAAGAAAAUGAUGGACGUCAAAAGCAACAAAAAGUUCAAUUAUCCAGUAAAUCACAAAUAGUUGAACUGUUUCUCAUUGCAGAAGUAAUGUGUUUGAAACUUGGAUUUGCACCCAUUUUUACAAACAAUAAAAAGCAAAGAGAGAAGAGAAACUAACAAAGGAUUCCACCCAUUAAAUAAAUACCGAAAGAUCCCACAGACUAUGUAAAUGAGUUGCCAUUCACCUGUGUCGAUGUAAAUCUGACUGAAUUCUGGUUUGGCUGAUCUUGAGGAUAAGGUCCUGGAUCAGGAGGAAUGUACGCCUCAACAAUAAGUUCUUCUUUUUCCCUACCAGAAUCCACCAUAUUGAAACCAUUUUUGGAAUCAAUAGUAGAUUUCUCAUUCCCUGGAAUUGCAUGAGUGUAGCCCUUCAAUUUUUCUGGAAGCCUAAUUCGAAAAGGAGGUCUUGGAUUCAAGUUAGCCGAACCAUCUGGAUUUACAAAACAAACCUGCAGAAAAGAAAGAUGAGUACGUUGUAAAUUUAUGUUUCUCUUUAGAAUGAACAUACUAGGGAAAAUCAGCAUUCACCACACACCAUCUUUUUAAGGCAUUAACCUCCUUAAAAUGUGUUUUAUUGUCUCUAAACAACAGAAAUUUAUGUGACUUAGAAAAUUUCCACCUGUAAAAGGCAUUGCCAUUGCAACCAUAUAGCUCAUGAAUGAUCCCACAAUCAAAAAUUUCGCUGUAGACUACAGAAAUGCUUAAAACUCAUGGAUAAUGAAGGACUACAAGAAUUAAUGUCUGAUUAUAGUCUUAAAUUAUAUUCAAUAUUUUUUUGCAGUACUAUAUUUGCUAAAGAGCAGCCAAAAGUAGCUUUUAUUUGGAAUCUAAUUACAUUUAUAUUCCAUAGGGCUUCAUGUAGUCUACUUUUCCUGUCAUUAUAGGGUAUAGAUUUUUCAAUUUUCUUAUAGGUUUGGUACAUAUAUAGAGCAUCAUAUUUACACAUUUAAAAACAAUUGUAUGAAUACUGACUGAUCAAAUAAAACAAAUUAAAGGGAACAGAAAAGGAAGAAAGCUACAAAACCUCAUUUGCACCUUAUGAUGAUAAUCAACUUAAUAAAGUGUUUGGAAGGAAGGGAGAUGACUCCCUGAUGUGGACAGCAAAAGAAGCAAGAAUGAUGACUUUUUAUAGGCAAGGGUAUUUCUGUAAUUUUCAUUUUAUAUGGGAAAUCUGAAAAAUUGUCUAAGUCUAGGUUAUUUUCUAUUUAGUAUUCUAUCGGUUCUAAAGUAACUAGCUUCAUCAGGUUUCCUAUUCCAAACAGGAAUAGUUAUGUUAGAGGUUCAGGAAUCCAUGUCCUUGUUGGAUUUGGACAGCUAAAACUCUAUAAAUAAGCAUGCAGUCUAUCAAUAUUUUAGAAUGCAAUGAUAUCAAAUAAUUUCCAUCAAAGCUUUGAUUGCAUGACUCAAUCUCUUCUUAGGAGCGACUCUUAAGAACCAUAGGUGUGACUCCUACAACCUUUAAUUUCCAUCAAAUCUUUGAUUGCAUGACUCAAUCUCUUCUUAGGAGCGACUCUUAAGAACCAUAGGUGUGACUCCUACAACCUAUCUACAUCCUUGUAUUCCUUCAUAAAUUCACAACAAUACAGCCCUAAACAACUGCUAAAAGUCAAGAUUCAGAAAAGCCCCUAAGCUGUCCUGCAUCACUUCCCCUAUCUCAGUAUGUUAGCAAGAGCCUAUAUAUGCAAAUAAAAGGGGAAAUAAAAACCAAAGUCCAAUCAUAGAAGCAAAGAAUAAGCAAUACGAACCUGGUGAUCUGGGAAACUCUCCUUUAAAUGGUCUGCAUCCAAGAAAGUAUCUUUGAAAUCUACUUUCUGAAGAUGAUCAGGCAUUUUGGUCCAUUGUGCUGCAGAAGGAUCCCCAUAGCCCAGAAAAAUGUUGUGCAACCAGUCAGGAACAAUACAAUAUUCAUUCAUAAGAUCUCUUAUAGAUUCUAAGAUUGCUUUGAAGUUAUUUUCCUUAGGUUUCCUCCUCAUCAGCACAUUAAAUGUCCCAUAAAUGUCUUCAGCACCCCUCUCUGCAAUAUCCGUGACAUCCAUGUGGUACUGGGCUGUAUCUAAAGCAACGGUUACAGUUCUAAGUUCACCUUUUGGUGGUUUCCACUCCUCCCUUUUAAUUCUUCCUGUGAAAUCAUUCAUGAGUGUUCCCUCCUCAUCACGGAUCUCAAUAAUUUCACAUCCCCGCACAUAUUGGAGGCCAAGCCUCUCUGGAACACUGGCCUUCUCAGCUUCCUCGGCACUUAGAGGCUCAAAUGAUGGGCGAACUGAAAGUAAGAAUAAAACAUCAUGCUCCUUCAGAGCAUUCCAUUCAGAUCUUAUUCGUGCUUUAUAACUCGAAAUGCUAAAAGUAAUUUUUGCUGUCACAGAUGAUGGCUUGACUUCACCAAUAUUUGGCUGUUUGACCUCGGUGAUCUUAAAUUCUUUUAUUGGCACAGCCAUUCUUGACCAACCACGAAAAGCAGUCUCUCCCUCAUUAUUAAUGUAUGGAAGGAGAUGUGGUGUGGCUUCCUGAAUAUCUUCACGAAUCUCAUAUGUUGAUUCAAGCCGGAAGAGAUUAAAAUUUCUUAAAAGGUAAUCAUGAAGUGUUAAAAACUGCAGAUUAAGUUUAGGAAGUGCCAGACAACCUUCUCCAGAAUAGUUAAUGCUAGGCACAACACUCUCAUCCCACAUAAUCUGUUCAUUUGGAUAAAGCGGAAGAGCAUUUAUUGCUUCUUUUUGAGACUGCUGUCUCUCAAAGAAGGAGACCAUGACUUCAAUAAGAAAAUCAACUCUUUCAGACCAGGGAUCUUCCGCGGAGACCAGUUUGAGCUGGUAAAAGAAGUUAAAAUGUCAGUGAGUAGAUGUCUACUUGUUCCAGUAUCAGCACACUUGCACAUUGAUCAAUGCAAAAACUAAAAUUCAAAAAGAUCUGAACUUUUCGCACUACAACAUCUACACUUCAGACUUGAACAGACAUGUGGCAACAAAAAAGCCAGCAAACUGACAGCUGAUUUUUGACAGGCUGUCUUUUAUAUACAAAAAGGCGUGGUGGGUUGAACAAGUUAAAACAUUCUCGUUAGACAUAACAUAGACAAAGAGUUCUUCUCCCUGUGAUUGAUUGUCUACCUCUGCAGCUUUUACAUUCGAUUUAUAGAAGGAAAAAAAAAAGUAUUAUGAUUAUCUAAGAAGUCAGUGGCACCCCCUUUUUUCUAUCUGAUUUGGCGUUAGAACUUUAUAUGUAUCGAACUUUUAGCAUUUUCCUUGCAUAUAUACUCCACUCAAUGAUAUUCUUAGUAUAUUAGCUAUCAAAAGUUUAGGACUUUGAUUUCAUGAAAAUAAUAAAGCUAUGAAGUUCUACUUGAGUUCCAAUUACCAAUUAAACAAGCAGCAAUUUACUUUAGGCAGUUACAAAUAAGUUUGAUUGAAUAUUAAUAGGCGCAUUGCACUAUAAGUUGCAAACAACUCUAUACCAUAGUAAAGACCAAUCAAAGUAAUAACAAAUGAGCAUACAUGGAAGCAUAACAUGAUGACAAUAACCAAUUAUGAAAUAACACUAGCAUGGAGUAGAAAAAUCAGCUGAGAUAAAAUGGAGAACAUUAACCUAGUUGGAGUAUCAUCCUUCACAUACCUUACAGCAAACCAAGUCCUUCAACUCUUCGGGAGAGAGCACAGACAAUUUCUUGGAGAGAUCAGCUCGCUUGUGGAUUGCACCAACGUUAGACAAUGCAAGUUCUCGCAGCUACAACCAAAGUGGGUUGUUUAUAAAAUUAAUACAAAGAAUAGAAAUCAAAAGAUAAUUAAUGUCACAAGAAAGAUCAACUAUAAAAAGCUGCAUCCAUUUGCAACAGACAGUAGUUAGAAUUUCAGCAGUUACAUAUGAAAUACCUUGGGAAUUUUCUUAAAGGCAAGGAGCUGGAAGGCUUGGAAACGCUCAUAAUGAGAUCGAACCACUUCAUCAUCUGUUAAUUGUGUGCCAUAAUAAUCAUUAAUCUCAAACCGCUCAUAGAACUGCAGCAAGUCAACCAGUUGAGCAAAGAGUUUCCCUUUUUCAUGUCUGUAGAGAGCACUUAAAUGACAUUUCGCAACAACAGCAACAUCAGCUACAAGAGGCCUCAGAUACCUAUACAUGGUAGAAAAUGAAGAAAAGGGAAAAUAAAAAACAUAGAAUGAAAUAAACUGGUGUAUGGAGAAUAUCAACAUCUUGAAAGCAUAAGAUGCACUUGUAAAGCAAGAUUGGUUUUGAAUUAGAAAAAUUCAAGACAUGAACUAUAUAAGAACCAGCCUGUAAUAAUAAAAAAACUUGAAGAAGAAAACAAAGCUAAGUGAAAAUGAAACAGAGAGAGAGAAAGAGGAUGAGAGAGAUGAAUAUACCUCCUUGUUGGCAGUUGACUUAACAGAUCAAUUAGAAACUCCAUAAACCUCUCACAAUACAAGACUGCAGCAUCAUCAAUUUCAUAUUCAUUAGCAGAGCUUUUCUGGGGAAAAACUUUGAAAUCAAGCACCUAAGAGAGGGAUAAAAACAUAAUAGGUUAGCUUUGAAACAUGUUCCAGGGGAAAAAAACAGAUACCGACUGCAUUGUGUUUUAAGGUAAGACUUUACAUCAAGAAACUCUUCAGUGAAAUUCCUCAAAAACCUCACUUCAAGCGAGGUUGACGGGUUGAAAACUUCUCCUCGUUUAGUUGCCUCUUCAGCCUCUUUUCUUAUGGUCUUUCUCCAUUUCUUAAUCAAUUUAUUAUUAAGACAAAGCUCCAUCUGCAACCAAAAGAAACAAAUUAUAGGCUUAGUAGGCUAAACGGCAUACAAGCAAGACUGUUAGCAAAAUAGGAUUACACAGAGCAUAAAAAUCUCACCUGAAAGCGGCCAUAUGACAAACUGUGCCAUGACUCAAAACUUGCUAAUCUGAGGACCGUCUGACUCACCAUUUCAUCUUCCAAACUCUAUGCGGCGAAGUUGUUAAAUGACACAAGAAGAAAAAUUAAAAUUAGAGUAUGAUCCACUAUUCCUCAACAGAACAAAUGAGCCAUUCCAAAAACAAAAGGAAAAAUGGCAUUCAAUAGAGAAGAUCUACAUGAUUUCUAGUGCACUUUGGUACUCAACUGCGACGCAAAUGAGCCAUUACAUGAUGCUACAUGGGGAUGCAUGGUAUGCCAAAUUCCAUCAAAACAAAAAAACCUACCAGAGGAAUUAUCAAAAUAAAAGGAAAGGGGAAAAAAAGAACGUGUAGGAAAGCAGCACACCUGAAAGGCAUUAAUCAUGAAAACUAGGUAAUUUGUCUUCUCUGCUGUACUCAACUCUCUCCCCUGAAACAGCAUUUAAAACAUCAUCAAUCAAUUUAACAUGGUAGUUCUGAAGCAUCACCUGCUUGUACAAAACAUCUCAUAUGAAAUUAAUUAAGAACAAAACCCAAAUAUAAUUACCAGCAGAAUUUGAAAUAAAAAUUGUAACACAGUAGACCUGUUUAUUAGAAUUUAAUUUUUAGUAUGUCCCUCCUGGCAAAGUUUUAACACUGGCAAAUUAUAUGGUCAAAUACUUAAAGAAAAGGUCACGAACCUCCUUCAGGUGAAGAACUCUAUCAAGAAAUCUUUUGAAGACAUCCUUCCGGUCAUAAAAGCAUGACCAAGCUGCCACAUUUUCUCGAAACUGCAAUUUACAGAGACAAUAUUCAUGAAAACAUUAAUUCUUUCAUCCAAUUAAAUUCAUACUUGAUAAUAAAAAAUAGAAAAAAAAAUACGGCAUGAUUGCUAUAACAAAAGAAUACACCAAAACCAAAAUUUCCUCUAAUCACAUCUUCCCCAACUUUCGUUCUUCAACCAUCAAGCACAACAGUAGCAAAUGAAAGAUACAAAAAUAAAUAAAUAAAAUGCAGGGUUUCACUAUGAACCCAAGUCCUCACUUGACAAAACCUAGUACAUCUUCUUGACUUCAGCUGACUCAAAUUUUCAAUUCAUCAAGCUUCCACUCUCAAAAAUUCCAUCUCAAGAUCAAGUUAAAUUAUACAAAUAUAACACUUCAAAUCAACUUAAGAAUUACCUCCCCGUUUCCAAUUUCUCAUAUAUUUAAACAAACAGAAAAAUACAAAAAACCCAUUAUUCCUUUCUCAUUUUCAGUUUCCACAGCUAGCCCCCAAAAAACCCUAAACUUCAUUACUAAUUCACAUCCAGCGAAACACACACAAGCAAUAAACCUUAAAUAAAUCACUAACCUUCUCAUUAAUCAUAAGAAUCAUAGACAUGACAUGCUCAAACGUUGCCGUUUCAGGAUCAAAAUUGGGCCAUAAAUAAUUCUCCAAAUACUGACUAACUUCCAAAAUCAUCACUCUCUGCAAAGGCACAGUCUUUCUCCCUUCUUUCACCUUCAACUCCGUCUCAUAUAUCUUCUUCACCAGUUCCGCAUCAAACCCCCUCCUCUCCUCCUCUUCCACCACCAUGUCUCCGCCAUCCGCGACAGCAGAAGUGGUCGUUUUGAGCCAGUUUGCGGAGGCAAUCUUGGUCAAUCUGUCGCGUUGAAUCUCGGAGAGAGUGAUUGAGCUGGGGAGAGUUGUUGAACCGGGUUUGGAAUCGGCUGAUUUGGUCUCGGUUCGGGUUGCAGAGAGGUCGAGUGGGUACUCGGCCACGUGGUGGCGCUUGAAAUCGUAAGCGCCGGUGCCGUAUACUUUCGUCAUUUCUUAAGUUACUGAGACGAGCGCGAAAUUUAGGUUUUUUUGUUUUCAAUUCAAAGGUGACAUUAGGGAUUUUCAGAGUAUACAGAGAGAGAGAGAGAGAGAGAUAAACCCUGGUGGAUUAGUGGCGGUGAGAUUUCAUAAAGGUAGAGAUGGGUAAUCGGGUUUUACUAUUGGGUAGUUCUUAUUAUGGGCCAUUUUGGGGUCUAGGGUUCGAAUAUAAUACUUGGGCUGGGCUUGUGCAUGCUUUCUUUUUUGUUUAUAGUAUUUGUUUGUUUUAUAGCUGUAAAAUUCAUACCGCCGUAGAACAACCGGAGGCUUGAUUAUUUGGAUUAAAGAAAAACUUGAAAAACAAAAAAAAUAGCUGAUCUCAUAAAAAAAAACCUUGGGUUAAAUUACUGAUUUGUUCGACUACUUGUACAGUCAGAUCUUGUAAAAAACUUUUUACUAAAAGGAACUUUUUUAAAUCAUAGACAAUUAGUAAUUAAAAAUAUAUAUAAGAUUCUAGAUUUUCAUCAGACAAUUAAACAAUACAAUUUAUUUUAGGUAAAAUAUAUUUAGGAUGCUAAUGUCUUUUCUUGAUGCAACUAAUCCCCGUACUUAAUCUCUAAGACUAUUUAGGAUUUUUAAUAACAAAAAUACUAGAUGGCAACUCUAUUUUUAUUUUUCACUGAAAAAAAUAAAAAUUCUUUGUUUGUUUAUAUUUGACAGAUAAAUACACAUUUCUAAAAAUAAACGAUCGCUGCGAUGCCAUGGACGUACGACAAUCGAUUUAAUUACAAGAACAAUUAACCAAUAAAAAUAGUGCAAACGGGACAAAAAAAAAUCCUAGGAAAACUUUCCCUUUUUCCAGGGAUAAUAAAAACUGAAAAAAAAAGUAUAAAAAGAAAUGUUUUUUUUAUAUAUAAAAAUGGAAAUUGUUAGUGAGAUGAGCUUGAAAACUCAAUUUCCAAAGAUAACUAUCCUUAUCUAACGGAAAUUCAAAAAACCAGACCUUAAAAUAAAUUUAGAUUUAAUUUUUGUAGAGUGGUAUUAAGUAUUAAUAUUAUUUUGAAUUAUUAAACUUUUUUUGUAGUGCAAUUAAAUAAAAAAAUUAUUGGAAUCUUGGAAGGUUUAUUAAAGAAAUUUUUUUAAGAAGCUAUAAAAUUUUAUGAAGAAUUGAUAUUUGAUAACAACAGUAUGAUCAAGUUUCAAGAAGUUAAACAAAUAAGUGAUUUACUUUAAAUAUUAUUUCAAUAUAUGGCUACUACUUUUAUUAAUUUAUAUAAGAGAAUGAUUUUGACUCUGCGAAGAGAAAAGUCGCCUUGUCUCAUACAGGAUUGUUUGUAGUGACUUUAAGCUACUUAUAGAGACAGCCGUAAGAAAAUAUAAGGAAUACAAGAGAUAAAAUAUAAAAAUCGCCAAUCAUCAUGAUAAAACAAAAACAAAAACAAAAACAAAAUUCCUCAAUAAUUUUCUUGCACCAUGCAUGAAUGUGUCUUGUUAUCGGAGGUUCGCUAUACAUUACUCUCAAGUUCUAACCAAAUCACCCUAAUUUUCUACUAAGAGUAUUAAUUGGACAAUUUUUGAAAAUCAGUAGAAACGAGAGCAAUUUUACACACAUGCACGCACUACUAGUAAUAAAAGCAUACAACCAUCACUGUGCACGCAUGUUACUCUCGUGAUGCUUUACAUGUUUAUUGGAUUUGAAUGAUGUUUAGUGGACAUGAGAUUAGUCGUGGUACGUGCAAGCUGACCCGGACACCCACAUAAAAAAAAACAUACAACCAUCUAGUAGUUAGUCUAGUAAUAAAAGCUUGAGAUCAAAAUAUUUGUUCUCUCUGAUGUUUCAGGUUUGAGCUAUGAUUGCUAAUGUGAUGUCACUAGAUGACUUAUAUAAUCACUAAUUUCAUGGCCUGUGAAAUUAUCGAGGUGCGUACAAACUGGUCCGGACACUCAAUAAUAAUAAAAAAAAAACACAUGAAGCAACAAAAUUAUGUAACAAAAGGAAAAAAAAAAAAAAGACAGCAGAUUAUAUAUGGCAUCAAUAUUAACAAAACACGAAAAUAUAUAUAGCAAGAUUAGCUAAGAAUUAUUCAUUUAUUUAAAGAAAACUACAAAAAGUUGUGUUUCUAGCAAGCAAUUUAUUUGGACUCACAGCAACAUUAUUAUCUUAUGUCAACCAGUCGAGUCUCUUUAUAUAAUUCUUGUUAUCAUUGCAGAAAUAGAUCCCGUCGUCUUCUGUCUUCCAGUAGCAGGAUUUAGUAUGACAACAUGUGCUUGAUUCCAUGCUAUCAGUGAAAACAUUCGCAAAUCGAUGCUUUUCGGCCCAUUUGAAAUCACAAUGAAAUAUAGUUUUGCCAAAGGUUGCGAGACCGAACUUGGAAGUUGAAGUCUCCUCCGAUAUAGAGAGUAUGGUUUCCAAGGUCAUUGUCCUGAGACCAGCAAUGAAGGCUCAGUGGGUUCUUAUUGCUGCUAAAGCCAUUGAUUAUAUGAACCCUAAACUUGAAGCAAAAAACUAAUUUAUUAUCAUUGAAGGGUGUUGGUUUGGACCCCCAUGCAAGAACAGGGCAAGAUAUUGCUAGAAUGAAAAGGAGAGGGAAGGAAGCGCUCAGGCUGGAAGAUGCCAUGCUUGCAGGUAUUUUGUGUAUGAGCCACUUCACGGUGCUGAAGUUUAUAUAGAAAAGUAAUGGUGGUGAGGAUAAGACACGUUUAUCAGCAAAAUCCAUCAUUUCUUUUUAAUUUUACACUUACCUUUCAUGGACGCCUUUUCAUUUGUAAUCUAGAAGAGGAAAACAUAAAUUAAGAUAAACACCAAUCAAAAAAACAAAAAAGAAGAAGAAUGAAAUGUAUAAUUAACAUAUAUAGCUUAAUACCAAACUUUUUUUUCCAAAUUAUUAAAAAUUAUUGAUGUUGACCAACCAUGUUUAAUUAGAAUUUAACCGGGUCAAUCGUAUCAUAAAAAACAUAAUCAAGUCAAUUAGAAUUCACAAAAUCAAUUGUUUUUGAAUUUAACUUGAAACUUGAUUCAAUUUAAAAAAUCAAUUGUUUGUGAAUUCAACUUGAACAAAUCAACAACUUAUACAUGUAUGCCUUUUCAUUUGCAUCAUAAAAUCUAAAAGAGGAAAACAUAAAUUAAGAUAAACACCAAUCAAAUAAACAAAAGAAAAAAAAAAAAAGUAUAAUUAAAAUAUAUAGUUAGAAAUCUUAACGCCAAACUUUUUUUUUCCAAAUUAUUAAAAAUCAUUGAUGUUGACUCAAUCAUAUUUAAAUAAAAUUUAACCAACAUGUCACAUAAAACAUAUCAGGUCAACUAGAAUUUACCAAGUUAAUUGUUUUCAAUUCAACUCAAAACUUGAUUCAAUUCAACUAUUGAAUGUAAACCUCUAAUUGAAAAAUUUCAUGGUGCUUGUAAAAUUCAAUGGAAAAUCUUAUCACGUUAAUUGAAUAAUAAGAAAUAAAAUAAAAAUAGAAGUAAGUACGUAGUUGGGAUGAGAUUUUUAAUUAUUAAAUAAUGACUUUUGACAUUAAAAAUGAAAAGGAGAUACAACUUUCAAGUCGUGAGGAUCCACUUAAAAUUUUUGGUGUUCGUUAAAUAAUGAAGAAUUUACUCGAUGAUGAAAUGAGUUGUAAAACCCCCACGUAAAUAUACCAAAAAUAAUAAGAUCUCAAAGUAAUGGAAACUCAGGAUAAAAAAUAAAUAAAUAAAUUUAAUAUAUAUGGAGGAGAUAAUUUCUAUAAAUAAAUUUAAAAGUGUUAUUGAAGUUAAAAUAAGAAUUAUAAAUUUUUAUUUAAAAUUUAUAACGUCAAUUGAACUAGUAACGAGUUUGAGUUUUGAUGGAUAUAAGAAUUUGAAGAAUUUAAAAUAAAGAAGUAUUUUAGAAUGAGAAAAUAAUUCCAAGAAAUUAUAAAAAGGAACUGCAUGAAAAGGAUGUUAGUGUAAACCCCAAUAUAAAUUAAUAACGUUAUCGUGAAAUCAAAAUAAGUCUGUAAACAAAAUAUAUGAUAAUAAAAUAAAAUAAAUAUAUUUUAAAAUAAAAAAAUAAUCCUAGAAAUUUAAUAAAAAAUUAAUACAAAGGAUGAAACAAGAAAUUUAAAUUUAGAUAUUGGGUUGGGUUUCCCAAUACACAGGGUUUAAAAACUCUACUCCUUCCUAGCUAUAUCUAGAGCGAAAGCUGCUGGAAAACUAGCUGAGAAAAGAGAAGAGAGAAAAGCCAAGUUUAACACCAUAAAAUUCCAGAGAGAAAGCAUGAUUUAGGCAUGGUAGAUCAGUGAUUAACAUAAUCAAUCACAAGAUUAAAAGAGGAAAAUCACAAUAGCACUGUCCAUAGAAUCCUAACUAAUUUCCCCAUCAGUCACCCCUCUUUAAUUCUCCUUGAUUAUGGAGGACUUUAACCUUCUGCUCUCUUCCUACGAGUAACAUAACAUGUUGGGCUUGCAAGUCCUUGAUAUCACGGGGCCGAGCGAGCGCUGCUAGCUAGUUCAUCCCGUCCAGUGCCGAAACCAGUUUGCCUGACAUUUUCUGAGAGCUUGUGUGAUUGAUCAUACAAGUAGGCCUUGCUUGUGACUCGUCAAAGUUUCAGCUGCUAACUAGUAGAAUUUUGCUACAUGAAUCAUUAAUUUCCUUAAUAAUGUUCUAUUUUGGGCCUUUGAGCAAUACCUUCAAUCACUUGUGAUUGCUCACCUUAUAUUUGUGUGUCCAUUUUACUCUCUAUAUUAUCUCGGACCGUAUCUCUUUUGUUGUUCUUAUUCGCAGCCUUAAAAUAUGUUCAUUUCUGCAGUCACCGGAGCAGCUACAGGCCAUUAUCUUAUAUUUUAUACUAACUCGACAGUAUAUAAUUCUUUUAAAUCAAAACUUAAAUCUGCAGGUCUCAACUGAUCUUCUAAUUAAUCCCUCGACUUAUUAAGCAAUGGUUGCUUGGCCCUGUGACAUUUCUUUAAAGUAAAAGUUUCUCGUGGUAAAUUAUUGCUAGUAAUGUAGCCGUCAGGUUUCCACACAUAUAUAGCCUUGUAAUAAACUUCACCAAAUUCGGCCCUCGCCAACUUCUCAGCCAUAUUUCUAUUACUUUCUUGGCUUUAUUUGCAUUUAUGAAGCUACCUGUGACCUCUCUUUUCAGGGAUAAAGCAACCACAUGCUUAUGCAUCAAACAAAAAGUGACUCUAACCUGAAGAUGUUACUGUAUCUUUGAAAGGUAAUCUCACUCUUCUUUUUCCUUUUUCUUUGUUUUCUUAAAGUUGCUAUCAGCUAAGCUAUGUACCUCACUAAUAAUUGAUUAGUUUCCCUCGUUGCCAAAGCAGGAUUAUAAAAAAGAAAAGAAGAUAACAGUUGAGAAUAUUAUUAAGAAAAUGGCUAAAAAGAGAAUAGCCUAGCAAGCAGAAGUUAAAGCUGAAAAGGAAAGAAAAAAGAGGAAGCAAUAAAGCUUUAGAAACCAGGAUUAUAUAUUAACCCAGUUGAUUAGGAAAUCAACUUUCAAUCCAAACUAAGGAAAAAAGCAUUCUCUUUUAAGCUCUUAUUUGGUAUUGUGUUUUAAAAAGAAAUCGGGUAAAAUUUUAAUUUUUUUUACUUAAAAUUAAUAUUUUUAAAGUUUUUGGAUUGUUUUGAUUUAUUAAUAUCAAAAAUAUAUUUUUAAAAAAAUUAAUUUAAUAUAUUUACAAGUAAAAAAUAUUUUAAAAAGUAACAACUACUGUACUUCAAACCAAACACCCCCCAGAAGAAAAUUAAGAAGCCUCAUAAUGAAAUGGACGUCUUGUUUUUGUUUAUUCUUUGGUUUUUAUGCUGCAAGUAAUUAAACAACAAUAACAUGAGCUUGAAAGUUGCUCCUUUUUUGAAAGAACCAAGAAAGAGUAACAAUAUCUUAUGAAUGGAUUUCUUUUAUAGCACAACCUGUAUUAAAUUUAAAAGGUUGCCUUAUUUAAUAGCGCAACACUUUAAAAUACAAAAAAAAAUAAUAUUAAUUAAAGUGGUGAUCUAUUAGAAUUAAUGCAGCCCUUGCAAAUACAAAAAACAUUAAAUUGGGUUGCGCUAUUGGAACACUUAAUAUAUAUUAAGGGUUAUGCUAUUUCUAGUAGUACAAUCCUUUAAAUUAUUUUUACACAGUUGAUUUCAUUUUCUGAUUUUUCUUCGUGUAGAGCCAAAGAUUGGCUAUAAGCCAAAUUUUACACAGUUGGCAUGCAUUAAAGAGAACCAUCGAUCGAGAUGAGAGGAUAAUAAUAAAACAAACAUUAUUUGAAAAGACAGAAAAAAGAAGAAAUUAACAUGGGAUAUUUCACGGGGAAUUUUGGCACUUAUACAAGGAUGUGUAGCAGAAUCAGGCUAAGUACAGAAUGUGACAUGCAUACAACUAAGGUCUGUCUUCUAGUUUUUUGCAAGCUCACAUGGUGCAUGCCAGGAUAACUUGCUUGCCCUAGCUAGACCUGCAAAAGCAAGCAAGAAGCCCAUGUACAUCUCCUGUAUCCUUUUAUCUUUUCCGGCAGAGCAGAAAGCUUGCAAACCUUGCCAUGGCGGCAUUGAGUAUUUUUGGACUGCUUACUCUCUUUAGCCUUGAAAAGGUUCUUUGUGACUGGAAACAAGGCAUGGAACAGCUCUCUGUAUAGAGGUCCACUGGUGUCUAGACCACGCUCCAUCAUCAGAGAAUCCAGGAUUGAAAUUUGUCCAGACUAGUGCGAACCAGCGACAAAGGAUUGCCAAUUGUCGGGGGGAGUCUUGAGGACCCAUGUUGAUCAAGUUUUUUUUCUUUCUUUCUUUCUUUAAUUAUUAUCGAUUUAUUUGUCUAAUUUUAAUUUGGCAGACAAAAAACUAAUAUUGUAUUUUGCAAAUUUGCCACGAUCACUUCCUGACUGAUCUUGUCUUGCAUCUAAUCUUUUUCAUGGAGCUUCAAGAAAUAAAGUUCAAUUGAAUUUUAAUGGUUGAUGUCUUAUUUUCUACUAGUUUUCAUGUAUCGAAAGUACUAAAUUUAUAUUUUUAAUUUGAUAAUUAAUAAAUUAUUGAUAUAAAAAAUAAUCCGAAAACAGAUUUCUAGACAGAUGAACAGCCAUUAAAAUUUUUAUUUUUAUGGAUUAGCUUGAAGUUUGAAUCUUUUAACAGAUAAAAGAUCAUAUGUGCCAUUAACCAUGGUGCUAUCCUCGUCAAGCUUACAAGUUCAAUGACUUGUGAAAUUAAAGACUGCUUCGAGGUAGUAAAUUGUUGGACGGUUGAAGCUUUUAAAAUUUAUCAUUUUAUUCCAUAUAUAUAUAUAUAUGUGUGUGUGUGUGUUAUAAAACUAGUCUGAUACAAGAUAAUUAAUUCAUGAUUUAGUUGACUCAAAUUAGUCAAAACUAAUAAAUUGAUAAAAGAAAAAACUAAAACUUAGUUGUUUAUUUUAUAAAUAAAAUAAGAAGUCCAAUUGACACAAUAAUUAAAGCACUUUUUAAAGUCAAAACUCAGAUAUAUAUAUAUAUAUAUAUAUAUAUAAUACCUUGAUUGUAUUUCUCUUUCUUUCCAAGCAAGUUUAUUAUAGAGUAUCUUAAUUUCUUUUUAAGAUGGCGGACACUUAUUUUUCAAGUCACUUAAGGCAUACGUACCCCAGAAGACCUCUAGCCUUAAUCCAGAGCUUGAUAAGUGAAUCAUAACCAUCAAAUUAUCAACGUUGACAAGUCCACAUCAUACCAUUUUAUAAGUUACAGUGGAAUUAUGGAUUCAUGAGCCCAUUAAUACAUAAAUUAUAUGAACAUUGGUAAGAGAUUUUUGGUUAACAAUGUCUGAAACGAAACCGCACUGCUAGCAGCCAUUGCAUUAGGAGUCUCAAGAGCUGUGACCUAGCUAUACCAAAAGAGAGGCAAAAAGGGUAAUCAGUGUCGGUGGGAGUCUACAAAACGUGCAAAAGUAAAGGCACUAACUUGUAAGGUGAUUCACAUUUAGGAAAAGUAACUUGGGUUUCAAGGACAAAUGGUGCAACUUUACCUUGGCUAAUCAAAUGUAAUUUGACAUAGCAAUUUAGGGUUCCUGAGAUUUUCAUAAUCUAGUUUUACUGGAAAAUGAUGCAAUUUGGUUCAAUGAUAGAGAGCAGGGAGGGACAAAUUUCUUGUAUGGAAGUUAUUGUGAGAUUAAUUUCUUGUUUUGUAGUGCCGAUAACUGUAUCCGCGUUAGUAAACAAAGCUUAAAUACAUCAUUCAAGUCUAAUCAAAUAAUUUUUUUUUUUUAUAAUUUAUUUAAAAAUCUAUAUAAUAAUAACAAUAAUACGAGAAACAAGUCCGCUUACCUACCAAAUUAAACCUCAACAAGUAUCUUGGGCCGUUUAUUACACAUCAAAAGUAAUCUGAUCCCUUUAAUUUUAAAUAUUUUAUCAUUUUGAUCAUAAUUUGCAGGGAAUUUGGAAUGACAAAUUACUCUUACUAAAAGUUAGUUAGCACCUAGCUACUAGUCAAGCUAAAAGAUACAAUGUCAUGACCACUUAAUUUAUGAUUGUCAAGCUUCGCUUCGUCUCAUGAAUAGGGGGAUUUGGAUAACCAUCGAACUUACGUCAAGCACACAGAUAUGCCCCAUGCAAAAUUGUCUUCUUGAUUUGAUCUGAUCUAAAUCCUAAGCUGAAGUCCAACUCAUUUUUAAACUCACCUGCAAAUUUUCAAACUUGGCCAUUUUUUUCCAAAGGGUCAGUUGAACUUGUCCAUAAAGAGGCACAUCUUGAAAGACAUGAAGCCUUGUAUAUUAAUUUUCGUAUGAAAUUCACCCUACGAAGCAGACAUUUUGAAAUUUGAAUUUCCCAGUGGGACACAAAUUCAAGAUAUUUGUUACAAUGUUUUAAUCACAUUUAACUUGGUAUUCUUUGAUUAGUAUUUCAUGAUAAAAAGGACAUGUAUGUAAAAGGGAUACAAAUAUAUUUGAUUGGGGAGACAAAAACAAAAAUAAAUGUCUCUAAAAUAAUUUUAGAGUGAAUUUAUAUCUUUUUAAAACUAAAAUGAAGAGAAAUAUGUUCAAUUUGAUCUCAUUUUUCUGAACAAUUGUUAACAAAAAUAAAGAGAAACAUGUUCAGUUUGAUCUCUUUUUUCUGAACAACCUUCAAAUAAAAUAGGCACGGGCCGGUGCCUUACAAGCAAAGAUUUUAUCAAUUGCUUCAGGGUCUCAUUUUUUUAUUUUCCUUAAUGGCACCAUGCUUUUUUCAAUGGAGAUAGAGGAAAGGAGCGUUUGUAAAUGGACCUUUAGGGCAAGAGCAGACCCCACCAAGCAUCCCCAUUUUGCCGACCAUUGCUUGUCUUUUGUAAAGUUCUACCGCCCAAUCCUGAUAUUGAUGGCUUCCCAGUCAACAGGUGACUGAUAUAAAACAGGAAAAAUUCUCUACAGUAUCUCUGUACAUAGAAUCCCAAUGCUACCCCUCAAACCUCUCUCCUUGUCCCAAGAAAUGGGGUCUCAUGGAUUUUCUUCAAAUACCAUCUGAGGAGAAUUCAGAGAAAAACUUGUGGAGAAGACUCCGUUAAGGGCCAUUGAUGAGUGUUGUAGCUAGGCAGCAGGGGACAAGGCCAUGCACUGGUAUGUGUUCAUGGCAUUCGUGUAUUUUGAAGAUAAUGAAGGGGGUAGUUAUGUCAUGAGAGAAAAGAUAGUGGGUUAGGGCAUCGAAUCACCAAUCCUAAUAAACAAGUCAGUGCCAUAUGCAGUAUUUCCGUGACACAUGGCAAUAGAAAAUACCUCUGAGUGAAGGUCAGCAUCAGACUCUCAUCUCAGCCUUGUUCAAAUUUGUUCUGCCAAAUGACCAUUGAGGUAAAACAAAAGGCCAGCCCCCUGAAAACCAAACGAAACUUAACAGGAAGAAUCUUUAGUUGUUUGGUUGUCAAGAAGGCUCACUUCUUCCUGUUGGAGUACAAUCUCCAAAAAAAUCCACAAGAAAGCUAGUUUCCUUCCUAGACUAGAUCUCCCCAUCUCUAAGAAAAGUAACUUAAAUUCCCAUCUAGAAUUCAUGGUGCUGGCUUUUCUUUGAAGAUGGUGCAAAGAAAGGUGCCCAACAAGCUUGGUAUUCAAGCUGAUCAUGUUAAAUCCGAGAAGCGGUUGGGGAACCUGAAACCAAGUUCUUGUCAGCAUCAGGAUGGCAAGAAUAGAGGACCUGAUAUGAAGAAGAAAGCGAAGAGGUCAAGAUCAAUCAAGAUUUCAGAUAUUGAGAGCUUGAAAUCAUCAUCACCUUUGAGGAAAGCCAUAUCACAGCCUGGAAAGCUGCCUCCUCUCAAUGGUACCACAACUGUAGCAGCACCACAGAAGCAGCUUAUGAUCAAAAUAACUGAUGGUUCACCGAAUUAUAUGAAGUCAACCAGUAGUUCAGAGGCAAGAAAGGAGCGUUCCCAGGUGAGUCCCUUGAAUACUCAAACAGGUUCAAAUGGUAAGAGCCUGCAUUACAGAAACUCUGGGAAUUCGAGAUUUAGUCCUGCUUCUGGUAGCAAACCAGCAAGAACUUUAUCAAAGACAUCUAGUUUGAAGCUGGUGAGGACUCCUAGUUUUAAGCCAACGAGAGGUACUGCGAAGAAAUGUUCUAGAGUAGCUCUUUGUGCUGAUGUGAGUACACAAAAAGCUACCUGUUCUUCAACCCUGAAGGAUUCGAAGUUUCCUGCGUACCUCAUGCUUAAUCCUGGGGGUACUGAAGCAGAGGGAACUUCAGUCAUGAAGGUCUGCCCAUACACCCACUGCUCUCUUAACGGUCAUCAUCACAAACCUGUAACUCCGCUGAGGUGCUUCUUGAAGGCAAGGAGGCGUUCGUUGAAGGUCCAGAAUAGUAUGAAAUUGGAGGAUUUAUCCCCACGCAGAGCCAGGUCAUCUGGCGAUGGAACAGAAGAAAUUCAUGGCGGACUGUUGGAUUUUUCUGAUGACAAACCUGUGAUACAAGAAGUUGGAAAGGAUUUCUUUAUUGAAAUCUACGCUAAAAAUACAGAAGAUGGGGCCUAUGAAACCGAAAAGAGGACAGAGAAUGAAGGCAAGACAGCAAAUGUUUUUUUGGGAGAACCUGAAGGACAGAUUAAUGAGUCCUGCUUUUACGCUGGCCAUGAAGCCGCGGCUGAACAAGACAACAGCAAUCACGUUUCUGAGAGCUCGUCAGAUGAAUCACAAGAAUCAGAGAUUGAUUUUGAGGAAAACUUUAGUGAUACCAAUGCAGCAGAGAUCAAUGUUGCAGUGGGUUUCCUCAGAGAAGAUGAAAAGCAUGGGGAUACAGACUGCUCAUUGACCUUCUCUGAAGGAGAAGCAANNNNNNNNNNNNNNNNNNNNNNNNNNNNNNNNNNNNNNNNNNNNNNNNNNNNNNNNNNNNNNNNNNNNNNNNNNNNNNNNNNNNNNNNNNNNNNNNNNNNUAGGCCUAAAUCACAAGACUCAUUCCUCGCAAUUGGUUUGAAGCUGACAUGUAAAGAUAAAAAUGCUGUUAGUCUUGGCGCUCUUCUUAAUAUUAUAAUAAAUAUUUUCGUGGAUCUUAAAGUUAUAGGAAUGAAAAUUUAACCUAAACCUGGUUGAAAACGAUAAGUGAGUUAUUUUUAAUCUACCUUCUCUAAUGGAUAAUGGAUAAAAUAAAAUCCUAUACUUGUAUAAAAAGAAUACAACUCAUGAGUAACCAUUGUCAUCCUCCUUCCAAGCUUUUAGUAACUGAAAAUAAUUUAAUACAAACAGAGUAGAGGCACAGUUAACUAUUAGAACAUUUAAGUGCGAUUAACAACAAAUUAGCAGCGAUUAAAUUUGUCUAGAAGGCAGACUUAAGAUUAAUGAUGUAUUACGUCAAGUACAAAUUCAUGAAAUUGAUCAGUACUUUGUAAUAUAAAGCCAGCCUUGAGGCCUUAACAGUUCGCGAUUCAGUUUUGGAUGGUAGAAGUCCCAACCACAAACAUAAACAGGGACAUAAUAGAGGCUUGAUUUUAUAUGGUUUGAGAUUUGCUACCAAAAAAAUAUUUGGCUUUAAAUACAAAAUCUCUCUAGUUGAGAAUCAAUCUUAUGGUUACAAAAUGGAUGGUAAGUCAGUAAGACUUUCCACAAUGAAUCAAGCUCCCAGCACCCAGGAAGAGACCAAAAAUUGCAGCACUUCCAACUGUGGUUUGCCCAAUAUACCUUACUU
rnacentral:lncRNA from 1 species